UGGGACUUGUAACCGUCACUUCCAUCUUGAGUGGUUAAAAGAUAGAACAGUCUAGUCAAGUGCCAUGUCUCUUAUUCUUGAUCAGCUAUAGCUCUGGGGUUUUUGCAGAUUUUCAAAUAAAACUCAGAAUUCCUUGUAUGAUUCUCUCAGAUCUCUCUUUUGUGGUAUUUCUGGAUCCUUACCAAGGCAGUGAUGGUAUAUGCCUUCUCUCAAGAUAUGUAGUAUUUAUGGUAUAAAGCAUAGUGACAUUGCCUUCUCUCUCACCCUACUCUAAUAAGGCUUUAAUAUCUGGAGCUCAUAGGUGGGAGAUAAAAUAUACAUACUCACAAGACAUUUAUUGCAUAGUCAAACCAUAGAUCCAAAGAAACAAAUCAAUAAGUCAAAUCAAGAUGUGCAUGUGUGGCGAAUGAAUGGUGUAUGGUGAUGAUGGUGAUAACAAUGGUGAAAGUCUAAUUCUACUUUGCUCUUUGAGGGGAUACAUACCUUCCUUGCUUUUUAAAACUUUAUGACGAGAAUGAGAUGCUCUACAUUUUUUCUUUUCUCUCAGGUCGGUAUCUUGUACCCCUAAUUCUACUGUCGGACACUUGUCCAUUUUUACCUCUCGUCUCUCUUUUUCUUUUCUUUCGAGGUUCCGAGCACUUGCUCCUUUUUAUUUCCUCGUAUAUUUUUUUUAGAGCACUCAUCUCUUGAGAUAAUAUAGCAAGUGGUAGUAAAAAGAUAACUUGAGCAUUUAUUUCACAAGGGAAAACAGAAAUAUUUUUGGUUAUUCUCUCCUGGAUUAGGAGUAGAAUAUUUUUAGGUGAUUCUGGAGAUGGAAAUGGAUGGAUAUAUGUGGAUGGUACUUCCGGAGUAGAAGUAGCAUAUAUGAGUGAACGUGCAAGUGAAAUCUUGAUUUAACCACAUGACAAGCUCCUAAAGGUCUACACAGCUUGACCACACUCAAUGCUCAUAAGCAGUAAAUAGUAAAUGUGUGGCUCAAAGUCUAGAAAGCAUGUAUAUAUGGCUGUGGUAGGAAUUUAAACUCUCAUCAUACAGGAACUCAUCAUGCAACAUUUUAAAGAUUUUCAAAGAUAAAAUUCUCCAGAAUUCUAGCAUCUCUAGGAACAGAUAAACAGUAGCUCAACCUUUCCAUAUCGUAUCCGUUAACAACUUAAACUUCAGAUCAAGUUUUGAUCCCACAAGUUUAGGUCUAGAGCAAGCUUUAAAUUAUAACAGUUAUGUCUAAACUUGAGAGAGAACUUAAAAUGUGCAAAUUAGGCAGAGCAACUAUUCAUCAUAUCCAUGCUUGAGUUUUAUUAUUAAGAUACAGAUUAGCAUAGCCACUUUAUUUAUUUAUUAAACACACUAAGCAAAAGAUAUACAUAUAAGCAUAAAAUCUUUAUUUGAUUUUUCAUAGUUUAUGUAUUUUAAUAUUCUAAUAUAAUAUAAGUAUAAAGAUAGAUAGAAUACUUAUCGAGAUAAAUGGGGGUGCUCUCCCCAAGCAGAAUUUUGACGUAAUUUCUCUUGAUGUAGCUAGCAGGUGGCAGAGGUGUAUUUGAAAGUCAGCAGCAUUCUGACAGCGAUUAGAAUGUCCUCCGUCUGCCAGUCUUCUUCGUUCUUAAAUUCUGUGGAGCUCAAAUUGACAACAAAGCUUGUGGAACUUGAUUAAGUGUUAGCAUAAAUAUCUAGCCUUUAUUAUGUUGCGACUCCUUAAUAAUUAUUACUCCAUGUUUUUAUAUUUUUAUUUUAUAAAGCAGAAAAGAAAUUUUUAUUUUAUUUUUAUACCACCACAGUGAAUGUACUUAUGGGUUUUAUGCCACUCGCAUACUCACAUGGGGCUUACUGUUUUUCACAUUUUUAUUUUAUUUUUAGGAUAGUAUGAAUUUAAUUAGCUAAGUAAUCUAUUUGAAAUAAUUAAAAGGGAAAGGAUAACUACCAAGUUUACCUCUUGGCAAGGCGUUCGGUGUUUUUAAGUCCUCCGAACGGGACUCCGUUUUCUCAAUUGUCCUGAGGUUCGUUGGGUGGCGUAGUCGGUACUUCCGGGAGCGCCUCCUCUUCAUGUAUAGUUAUCUUCAUUUUCCAUACCUGACUCGGUGCUUCAGUCUCCUCUGGAUAAUUCUGUUUAAACUCUACGUCUUCUGACCUUACAACUUCUCCUUCAUAGUCUGCCCAUCCGUCCUUGAUCAUUUGCCUCCUCUGGUUGCGGUUGCGUCGUUUCCUUACCUGCUUAGAUUCUUCAACGAUAUAGUUAGGGUCAGUAAAGUAACGGCGUACCUUCUCUGAGGGGAAGUGCAUAUGGACUUCUCCGGUUCCAAUGUAGAUAAUUGCUUUAACGGUGCUGAGGAACGGUCUUUCGAGGAUGAUGGGUGGAUCGUACUCGUCUUCUCCCAUGUCAAUAACUUGAAAGUCUGUGUAGACAAAGUGAUCGUCUAUUUUGACUGGGACAUCAGUUACUAUUCCUUUAACUUCUCGAAAUGUCUGAUCUGCCAUCUGGAGCUGAAUGUAUGUUGGUCUUAGGGGCAUGGUCCCGAACAAGAGCUGAUAGGUGACUGCGGCUAUUAUGUUGACGCCCGAUCCGGUGUCACAAGUUGCCUUGUAGAAGUUGUAUCCAUUUAUGGAGCAGUAGAUGCUUGGCAUUCCUGGGUCGUCCUUCUUGGUCAAAAGCGGUGACUUAAGUUGGUGAUCUUGGCCUCCAUGAACUACAGUGACCAUCUUAGCUGACUCGGUCCACACUUGUUUGUUCUUGUUCCUCCUGUUGGUCCUCUUCCUUGAUUCACGUCUGGAUUGAUUUGGAAUUUGUGUAAUCUUGUUCUUGAAGAAAAAUGUCUCCUUCCUCCCUUUGACGUAGAAACUGAUCUUAGCAGCACUAGCGUAGAUGAUAGCUCCCGUGGUAUUCAAGAAUGGCCUCCCUAAGAUGAUAGGUGCUCUCUCAUCAUUUCCAGUCUCUACUACUAUGAAGUCUGCUAGAGCAUAUAAGGUACCAACUCGGACACAAAGGUUCUUCAAUAUUCCUUUUGGAAAAGUUAUCGUCUGAUCUGCAAACUGCAAACACAUGGUUGUUUCUAAUAAAGGAUAUGUAAAGAUUUUUUCAUAGAGUACCCUGGGUAUAAUGUUGACGCUAGAGCCAAAAUCACAGAGUGCUUCUGGGACAUCCACCAUGCCGAUGGAGAUCGGGAUGACGGGGCAUCCUGGAUCGCCUCUCUUGACCGGCAGAAGGUCAGUAGAGAAUUCAGUGACGGGGUUACUCCAAUUAUUACCUGCAUUAAACAUGUCUACAAGAUUUGCAGAUUCUAAUCCUUCCGGUUGUGAUGGUAUACCGGGGUUAGUAGUAGGAACAGCAGCAGCUAUUUGAUUUAACUGAGAUUCAAUCAUUUUAUUAAAGCUAAUUUGAUUCUUGGUGGCAGUAGAGAAAUUAUCCAUUCUAUUAUUUAUAUUUUCUAGCAUUUUAUCAUUAGAUGCCAAUUUCUUAGAUAGAUUAUCCAUUAGCUUUCCUUAAUUAGACACUAACUCUCUCAAAGGUGGAAAAUUAUUAUUAUUGUUGUAAGAAUUAUUACCUUGAUAAUUACCUGAGUAGUUAGGCCUCUGUUCAUUCCACCCUUGAUUUUGUUGAGGACGGUUGUAGUAGUAGUUGUUGUUGUUGUUGAUGUAGUUCACAUCCUCAAGCAUCUCAAGGCAGUGGUUGCCUGAGUGUCCAGAGUCUCCACACUCCUCGCAAGUCAUGUGAGAGUCGUAGAUGUGCAUAACUUCCUUCUUAUCUCCAGCUCUAUCGUCGAGCUUCUUCAUGAGGAGGUCUAGCUUUGCAGACAGCAUGUCUACCUCCUUCAGCUGAUGCAUACCUCCAUCUCUCUUGCGUGUCUGGGUCCUCUCUUCAUUCCAGCCUUGAUUGGACGCCAUCUUCUCCACAAGAGCUGUGGCUUGUGGUAUAGUAAGUGAUAAGAAUGCUCCUCCAGCUGCAGCAUCCAUGGUUUCUCGGGCACUGUUGCCGAGCCCGUGAUAAAAUGUCUGCAUCAAUAGCCAACUUUCCAUUCCAUGAUGGGGACAUUCUAGGAUGUAGUCUUGAAAGCGCUCCCAUGCUUCUGGAACAGAUUCAUCAUUUUGUUGCUGAAAACUUGUAAUCUUCCCACGGAGAGCAUUGGUCUUGCCCAUGGGAAAGAACUUUGCCCGGAAGUUUGUUGAGCAGAGUGCCCACAUAGUAUUCUUCUCCUUUGUAGCGUAGAACCACUGCUUCGCUCUUCCUAACAGUGAGAAUGGGAAGAGGCGAAGUAGUAUAGCAUCUUUGGAAACUCCUGAUAUGGUGAAUGUGUUGCAAAUCUCCAGGAAGUGUUGUAAAUGAGCACUAGCAUCUUCGUGUGCCUUCCCACAGAACUGGUUGGAUUGCACCAUGUUGAUAAGUCCAGGCUUGAGCUCAAAGUUGCCAUCGAUCUCUGCAGCAGGCCCAGUGCGGAUGUUGUCCGUAGUGGGAGCUGAGAACUCGCGGAUUGAUUUGUUCGCCAUGGCUUCGAACUCUGAAGACAUGUUCCGGUGAUCUUCUUGAUUGGAUGAAGCUUCUUGCUGAAGUGUUGAUGAUCUCUUCUUGAGCUUGGCUCUCGUCUUCUUGAAUAAUGCUUCGGGAUUGUCAACAAAAUUUCCUGGAAGAUGUCUUCUAUUCAUACAUUCCCCUGCAUAAGAUAAAAAUAGAAAAUAUCGGGGUAAAUCUAUAUGAGAGAAUAGAUAAGCUCAAUCAUAUUAGUGAUGCGAAUGAUAACUCAAAAUCUUUUAUUCCAUUCCUGAUUAGUAAUCAACCUUCCCCGGCAACGGUGCCAAAAAAUGCUUGUUGGGUAUUCUUAACAUCAUUACCAAAAGUAGACUAAGUUCUCUAAAUCUAGCAACGGCGCCAAAAAUGCUUGUUGGGUAUUCUUAACAUCAUUACCAAAAGUAGACUAAGUUCUCUAAAUCUAGUAAUGGUGCCAAAAACGCCAAACCUAUCCCUCACACCACUUAAGCCAAGUUGUCAUCCCCAGCAUGAUAUAAGAGACGCGGUAUUGAAAUAUGCAAUUGCUCUUCUAAAUAAAUAAUGAAUGGGAUCUGCAAGCGCACAGGUUAAUACCGAUGCAGCAUUUUAACUGGGAAGUAUUCUAGGUAUCGUUAUUUAUAUUUUUACCACUGGGAAGGGAUUAACAAUCAUCACUAUUGAUUACAGAAUAGAAUAUGAGAUUGAGCAUCUAUCAUUGCAUGUAUAAUUGAGAACAUUAUAUCUAACUCUUCAUACAGGGAUAAAUGUCACAUAAAAGAUAUAUGAGAUAAUAAUAGUGACAAAGAUAAUUAAUCUGAUCUAGCCACAUAAUAAAUAUGAUAAGCACCUCAAUUAGAUACUCUAGAAAGUCAUUAGCAUGUUAUUAGAACGAACUACAAGAAUAUUCCCUAAGUUAUUCUCAACAUAUAGUCUAGCAUUAUCAUAAUUAGUGCAAGCAUACUUAGCAAUCAUUGCAAGACAAGACUACGCCCAUGCAUAGUGAUAUUAGCAAGGAAUAUGAGAAACAUAGCAAUCACUCCCCUAUAAUAAUGUUGCUCUGCCAGCCCAAUACACGAGAGGGGGACUAUAUAAGAAUCAAUGAAGCUGUCACUAUCACGAACCACCCCACGAUCUGGCAUAUUGGGUACAAUCGCAGAUAAAUACGGUAUAAGCACCACGCCUACAAAAUAUCUAUCAUUUACCCAUGGAUUCGAUGGAUAAACGCUAUACGAUCCUAAGCAUGUAUAUAGAUCCAAUCUAACUAAGCUAAGUACAUAACUAUGAUAAACUAAGAACAAUAUAAUCUUGAAUAUAAGCAAAUAGAGCAAAGUCAUAAGCAAUAUAUUGAAGUAGAACAAAGUCAUAUUCAUAAUAUUGAAGAACAAAGAUAAUUAGAAAGUAAUUAGAAGCACAAUUAGAGAAUUACCAAGAAUCCUCCUGACAGAUCCGGAAACCAAUCGAAGAUUGACUCCUUCUAGUUCUAAUCCUAUGUAGCUAUGCUAAUCUAGAUAUCUAAUUGAUGUGGUGGCUCUAAUCUUGAUCAGGGGCUUCUUCUCCCUUGAGGAACAAUGAAUUAGGGUUGAGAGGCUCUCUCCUCCAGGAGCCAGGGUGUCUGGUUUUAUAGUCCCUUCAAGUGAAUAUGGGCCGUUGGAUCAAACCGACAUAGAUUGUAUGGUUUAGAUUCAUCCUUUAGGUCGGUGGAGAUCUCGCACGAAGCAGAGUCCUGAUUGGACUCAGGGAGGGGGCGGGCGCCCAGGAGAAUAGGGCGAGCGCCCUGCCUCUGGCCCCGUUUCGCCUCCGCUUCGGUCUCGUGGCUUCUGGAGUCUUCUAGAUGUAAGAUAAUUGCGCGGCACGUUAAUAUCUUUAUGUAAUCCCGACGUGUGGGCCUUUCUUCCGUAUUUCCUGAUAACCCCCUGCAGAAAUAGACAAACACCAAAACUCGUGGAAUUCUGUUAGAUAAAACCCUAAGUCUAGAUGUUGAUUUCAUUUGGAUCAUUUUCUUUGUUUAUUUGAUAAUUAAAUUUGAUACUUAAGGACCGUCAACAGUGAUGCACCCCGGCUGUCCAACAUUUUUGCUGAGGGAAGUUCUGAGGCUGAUCUUGAUGCUGCUGAAAUGUACAAGCCAGGAGCUCAUCCAGAUUUCAAGACCACUCAGUUGAAGCCGUUCUUCUAUGUGCUGAAUAACUUGAUAUGCUACACCAUUGAUCCCAAGUUUGGAGAUUCUAUUCACCUCCGCCUUGAUGCUCCCAAGAUCUUGGCUCGCUUUGGUGCUAAUGGUGGCCGAUUUGGUGUCUCGGACUUCAUGUGGAACAAGAUUGUGGAUGCGUCUGUUGAUCCACACAAGUAUUUACCCUAUGCUCCCUAUCUGAUGCAUAUCAUUGAGCAAGUUGCUGGAGUGCAGUUCUCGCACCCUUGUGUUCAUGCUCCGGUUCGUGCCAAGCACUUGGGUGCUCCUCAUGCUCCACCUCUCAGUCCUACUGGUGCUGCUACUCCCGCUGGUGAUGUUCCUGCUGCUGGUGCUGGUGAUGCUCAAGAGGAAGCUGUCCCUCCCUAUGACAGCGGUCGUGGACGCCGCAGCCCUACCCGUCAUGCGCUGCAGCGGUUCUUCUCCUAUUUUUGCUAUUGUCAGAAGAAGACCGAUCAGCGUCUCCAUUGUCUUGAAGAGAAGUCCGCUCUUCCUCCGUCCUCUCCUCUUCGUGAGUUCCAGGACCCCUAUGAUGAAUAUGACAACAUGCACAGGACUUCUGUUGAUGAGGAUGAGGAGCAGCAGGAUCCUCCACCACCCUCUGCUUUUGAUCCAUCUUAUGGUGGUGGGAUCCCUGCUGGUUUCUCCAUGGAGGACACCGAGGUAGGCUUUGCUUAUCAGGACAUCUUUGGACCCACGGAUGAUGUCACUAGGGCCUCUGCCUCUGCUGCACCUCCUCACGAGCAGUCUACCUCCGCUGAUCCUCAUGGUAAGGGGCCGCUGCGUACCUUGAUUGACUACGACGACGACGACGACCUCGAUGAUGAUGAUGAGGAGUAGUCUUUCUAGCUCUUUCUCGCAGCCUACCCUUUUUGGCACUUGCUGCCAAAGGGGGAGUGUUGGGCUUAUCUUUGAUGUAAUAAGUUAGUUGUUGGUGCCCUUCUUAAACUUUUCUAAGUGGUGAACUAUGUGUGGUGAACAAGAACUACUUUUGUGUGGAGGUUGAUUGUAAGCUAAACACUUUUAUUUCUUUAUUAUAUCUUGCUUGUGUUAGCUUAUUUGGACCUUUGUUGAUGCAAUGUUGUUUUUGAAUGGUUAUUGUGAGUCCUUCAGUUCUUGCAUAAUCAUUCAAAUUCUUCUUUUACUCUUUGUGAUAUAUCCUGUCAUACGCAUCACGGUUUGUUUCUUGUCACACACACACACACUCUUUUAGGCACCCCACGGAUUGCAACAUUUAGGGGGAGCUUGAUCUUAAUGUAUGUCAUCUUGAUAUUAAUCAAGAUUUGAAAUUCCAAAUCCCAUGCAUACAUUAAGGGGGAGCCAAACCUGAUUUUUGGAAUUCAAAAGCUCUACUUCUUUCAAUCCUUUAUAAGCCUAAGUUGGUUGUCAUCAAUUACCGAAAAGGGGGAGUCUGUAAGUGCAUUCGCCCCCGGUGUGGGUUUUGAUAAUUAAUGACAAUCAAAUUAGGAACUAACAUGUCUAUCAAGUGUAAUCUAUAGGUGUUAGUUCAUUGAUGGAAUCAAACAAACACAUUUGGUGAAUCACAACACCCCCAAAUUUUUCAUCUUUUGAGCGAUGUUUCAUCUCAAGAAGCUACCUAGUUUUAUUUCUUGUUUGAGUUAUAGGAAAUGCCACACUAUCAAGAGGGAUGCAAAUUGAGUUGGUAAGAUGAGGAUAAAGGUGCUCAUGUCAACUUAGCUUUUGCGCUUAAGAGACACACUUGCAUGCACGAACACCUACGAAGUUUCUUCUCUCCCAGGGUGAGCCGGUAGUACCGGCCCUCAGGGCCGGUGGUACCAGCAGUGCCAAUUCUUCUCCAGAGUUUUGCGAGAAAAUGAACUACCAUUAGUACCGGGCUUUGACCGGUGGUACCGGCUACCGCCGGUGGUACCGGUGAAACGCUGGUAGUACCGGAAGGCCAAAUUCUCGCAGAACUGCUGAAUGCGGGAAUUUGUACUGCCGGUGGUACCGGCCUUCCACCGGUGGUACUGGUAGGCCUUUUUCUCGCAUCUUCCACAGCCUUCUCGCGUUUAGAUCUGAGGACACCGGUGGUACCGGUGGUUGCACCGGAAGUACCAGCAGGUGUUCUGUACUCUAGUAUAAAUAGCUCUCUCCUCUUUUCUAACCGUUGGCUUGCUCAUUCUAGCUACUCCACAUCUGAGAAAGUAGUCUCCAAGCUUUGUCUCACCCACUCUCUCUCCCUCUUGCUCCUAUACUUCAUUUCUUGAGAGAUUCGAGCUAGAGAAGUGAGAUUAGAGAGUUGGGAGCUUCGAUAUGUGACUUGAGCACUUGGUUCCUCGUCUUGCCGGUUUGGUUUGUAUUUGUUACUCUUAGCUUCGAUCUGUGACUCUCCCUCUUGCUCCUAUACUUCAUUGUGGUUGCCCGUGUUGAUUCACUUGUGAGGGCACCCUGAAGUGUUUGUAUUACCCCUUUAUUCUUAGUGGAAUCAUCAAGCUAACCUUUGUGGUUGCUUGAGGAGGAGACCUAAGUGGUCAGACCUUUGUGGUCACCUCAACAAUGGGGACGUAGGAACUCCUUAGUGGAGAUUGCUGAACCUCGGGAAAAAUAUCUUGUCUUGCUAUGGCGGUAGCUUCGACUACACUUUGUCUUGUGUUCCUUCUCCUCCCACUCUUUGAUAGGUAAACAAGGGUCGAUCUAUGUUGUGGAGAAGAACCAAGCUAAGGAAUCUUCAACAACAUCCUCUCCUACAUCUAGGAAAGUGGGGUAACACUCAGAUCUGAAAUCUAAGCUCUUUACACUCUGAUUUCGUAGCUGUUUUAAGGAGUCGGUUGUUGACACUUGCUAACACCACUUGAAUAAUAGGUUGUCAUCCCCAGCAUGGCACUAGAGUGUACUAUGGUAUUUAUACGCACACAGAUAAUCCGCAGGCGCACGGAUACCGUUGAAGCUUUUACCUGGUUAAUGGUUUUAUCGUAUCCACAGGGAAACGGGAGAACUAACUACACUCUAACUUAACCAAGAUAGAUAGAUAGGUGUAAAUAGGAAAGAUGAUAGAAUUAAAUAAGAACAAUAUUAAAGGUAAGAUAACAGUGAGUGAUAAUAUGGGAAUAGAGAAUAGAGCAAUUCUAGUAUAUGGGCGAUGGUAGCAGAAUAGAGAGGAUAACUAUGGUUUUUCUACUUCAAAGGGGUAUGUCUAUGUCUGGGACGAACCACGUGAUAAGAUUACACCACAAAGGAUGCUUAUCCAUAGGCCGAUAAACCCUACCCGUCCUGCUAAUGAGAGGUGGACUACAGAGGACCAACGUAACUGUCACCUACGCGGCCUACCACACGAUCCAGCUAGACAGGGGAUAUGCACAAGUAAUCUAGGUCUAAGCACCACGCUUACACCUAUACUACAACUCUAACCUAUAGCGUCCUAUAGAUUAGAAGUACUCAAAAGAGUUGUGAACCAAAACAUACAUGAUUAGUAAUUGCAUAAUGAAUUAGAAGUAGAUUACCAGAGUCAUCCCAUGAGCAAGCUUGAUUAGAGCUUGAUCAUGACGAAGUACAACCGGAGGAAGAACCGACAGGCCGACCUCUCCUCUAAUCCUCCUUCGCUCUCCAUCUCGCUACUAUCUAGAUCUACUCUAGUUUAGAGAAGAGAUGAGAGCUCUCAUCUCUAAACCCUAGCUUUUGCUCUGUCUAUGAAUAAUGAAUAAUGAUCAAGGGGUGCCUCCUCCAGGGGCCAGGGGGUCUGGUUUUAUAGUCCCCUCAAGUGAAUAUGGGCCGUUGGAUCAAACCGACAUAGAUUGAACGGUUAUCCUUGAUCCUUUAGGUCGUGGAGAUCUCCCGAGAAACAGAGUCCUGUUUGGACUCCAACAGAGGGCGGGCGCGCAGGGAAACAGGGCGGGCGCCCUGCCUCUGGCCCCUCUUGGCCUCCGCUUCCUUCCUGUGGCUUCUGGAGUCUUCUAGAUGUAAGAUAAUUGCGCGGCACGUUAAUAUCUCUAUGUAAUCCCGACGUGUGGGCCUUUCUUUCGUAUUUCCUGAUAACCCCCUGCAGAAAUAGACAAACACCAAAACUCGUGGAAUUCUGUCAGAUAAAACCCUAAGUCUAGAUGUUGAUUUCAUUUGGAUCCUUUUCUUUGUUUAUUUAAUAAUUAAAUUUGAUACUUAAGGACCAUCAACAAACUCCCCCAAGCUUACCUCUUGCUCAUCCCUGAGCAAGGUUAGACUCAGCAAUGUAUCAGAAGUUGUUGCAAUAUCUUAAAAAUUUGAUGGUACACAUGCUUUUAAAUAAGAUCUCAUCUCUGAGUUAGAGUAAACUGUCAAGAACUAAAACUUACUUACUUUACCUUUCACCAUGGGACUUGUAACCGUCACUUCUGUCUUGAGCAGUUAAAAGAUAGAACAGUCUAGCCAAGUGCCAUGUCUCUUAUUCUUGAUCAACUAUAGCUCUGGAGUUUUUGCAGAUUUUCAAAUAAAACUCAGAGAUUCCUUGUAUGACUCUCUAAAUCUCUCUUUUGUGGUAUUUUUGGAUCCUUACUAAGGCAGUGAUGGUAUAUGCCUUCUCUCAAGAUAUGUGGUAUUUGCGGUAUAAGGCAUAGUGACAUUGCCUUCUCUCUCAUCCUACUCUAAUAAGGCUUUAAUAUCUGGAGCUCAUAGGUGGGAGAUAAAGUAUACAUACUUACAAGACAUUUAUUGUAUAGUCAAACCAUGGAUCCAAAGAAACAAAUCAAUAAGCCAAAUCAAGAUGUGCAUGUGUGGCAAAUGAAUGGUGUAUGGUGAUGAUGGUGAUAACAAUGGUGAAAGUCUAAUUCUACUUUUGCUCUUUUGAGGGGAUACAUACCUUCCUUGCUUUUUGAAACUUUAUUGAGGAGAAUGAGAUGCUCUUCUUUUUCUUUCCUCUCAGGUGGGUAUCUUGUACCCCUAAUUCUACUGUCGGACACUUGUCCAUUUUUACCUCUCGUCUCACUUUUUCUUUCUUUCGAGGUUCCGGGCACUUGCCCCUUUUUAUUUCCUCGUUUAUUAUUUUUUUCUUCUCUUUUCUUUUUUUUCAGAGCACUCAUCUCUUGAGAUAAUAUAGCAAGUGGUAGUAGCAAGAUAACUUGAGCAUUUAUUUUACAAGGGAAAACAGAAAUAUUUUUGGCUAUUCUCUCACGGAUUAGGAGUAGAAUAUUUUUGGGUGGUUCUGGAGAUGGACAUGGAUGGAUAUAUGUGGAUGGUACUUCCAGAGUAGAAGUAGCAUAUAUGAGUGAACGUGCAAGUGAAUCUUGAUUUAACCACAUGACAAGCUCCUAAGAGUCUACACAGCUUGACCACACUCAAUGCUCAUAAGCAGUAAAUAGUAAAUGUGUGGCUCAAAGUCUAGCAAGCAUGUAUAUAUGGCUGUGGUAGGAAUUUAAACUCUCAUCAUACAGGAACUCAUCAUGCAACAUUUUAAAGAUUUUUCAAAGAUAAAAUUCUCUAGAAUUCUAGCAUCUUUAGGAACAGAUAAACAGCAGCUCAACCUUCCCAUAUCAUAUCCGUUAACAACUUAGAUUUCAGAUCAAGUUUUCAUCUCACAAGUUUAGAUCUAGAGCAAGCUUUAAAUUAUAACAGUUAUGUCUAAACUUGAGAGAGAACUUCAAAUUUGCAAAUUAGGCAGAGCAACUAUUCAUCAUAUCCAUGCUAGAGUUUUAUUAUUAAGAUUCAGAUUAGCAUAACCACUUUAUUUAUUUAUUAAACACACUAAGCAAAAGAUAUAUAUAUAAGCACAAAAUCUUUAUUUGGUUUUUCAUAGUUUAUGUAUUUUAGUAUUCUAACAUAAUAUAAGUAUAAAGAUAGGUAGAAAUACUUAGCGAGAUAAAUGGGGGUGCUCUCCCCCAAGCUGAAUUUUGACGUAAUUUCUCUUGAUGUAGCUAGCAGGUGGCAGAGGUGUAUUUGAAAGUCAGCAGCAUUCUGACAGCGAUUAGAAUGUCCUCCGUCUGCUAGUCUUCUUGAUUCUUAAAUUCUGGGGAUCUCAAAUAGACAACAAAGCUUGUGGAACUAAUUAAGUGUUAGCAUAAAUAUCUAGCCUUCAUCAUGUUGAGCUUCCUCAAUAAAUAUUACUCCCUGUUUUUAUAUUUUUAUUUUAUAAAGCAGAAAAGAAAUAUUUAUUUUAUUUUUAUGCCACCACAGUGAAGGUACUUAUGGGUUUUAUGCCACUCGUAUACUCACAUGGGGCUUAGUAUUUUUUAACAUUUUUAUUUUCUUUUCAAGAUAGCAGGAUUAACUAAUAAUCUAUUUAAGGAAAGUAAAUAAUUAAAGGGAAAAGGAAAUGCAGAAAGGAUAAAUAUGGAUAACUAUCGAUCUUACCUUUCGGCGAGGGUUCAAUGUUUUAAGUCUUCUUAACAAAACUUCUCACCGUUUUCAUUCUUCAGGUGCGUCAUUUGAUUCAGGUGCGGACCUUGACGUCUACACCUCUUCGUUUGCCCAGCAGUUCGAAGUGCGGCGUUGGCAGUGUCCUGCUCAGUGUGUUUGUGCUUGUAGAUCUAGGUCCUUCACUUGGUAGAGUCUGAUAGUUAUAAAACUCCUCCGUGUUUUGCUCGAAGUGUACCUGCUCAUAGAGACAAGGCAGAGAUCAAGUGCAUGGGUCCUGUUGGUGGAAAACACCAAUAGAACCUAAAGUGUAUUUGUUCUUCUCUAACCCUAAGAAUAGUGAGCAAGACAAAGUUGAUGGAUGAAAAGUUCAUGAGUGUAGCACUUAUAACAUUUGUCAGAUCAGAUCACUCAACCUUAUGGAAAGAUAAUCUAUCUAUGUAUAUGUCUUUUUCUUUAUAUCUCUCAAUGAUUGAAUGUGUAACAUUUUAGCUCAUAUGAUUAGGAGUGUGGGAUCAUGGAGGUAGUACUAAGAACAAGGAUUAAAGGACUAAACAUGUUGAAUCAGUUGGGUUGGUUAAUCUAGAGUUGUAAAUCAUACAUGUUUGUGUCUUUUUUUAUAUGAACGCCAGAACCAAGGAGAAGCUUAUAAAAGUGAUAGUCAAGUACCUUAAGAUGUUACCUUGCUUGAAGAGUGAUGGUACAGUAUCACCUUGUGGAAGCUUUCCUUUCUUAGCGGUUGUGCAUCGUGUUUGUGGCACCCUCCAUGGAUCAUCUCUCUAUGAGCUAUGUCCUUCUUGUGCAAAUUGUUAAACUUUAUGUGUCACUCUCUUCUUCUCUGAUGUGAGUUUAUCUCAGGACUUCCCAAAUCGAUAUUGAAAGUUUUUCUGCAGGGGUUAGUCCGACAAAAAUAUACCAAUGUCUACACAAGCAGUUUUUAGUUCAAUAACCGAACUAGACUCCAUGUCUAAUCAGAUUAAGGAAGGUUGUUUAACCUAAGCACCAUGCUUAAUUUAAAAGCCAAUAGAAGUAUGUGCAGUACUUCCAAACUAACACUUACUAGUAAAUAGAUAAAGGUAACACGACAGCAUUUAUAGAGAUCUACUCAAGUGGAGAUGAAGUAGUGUGAUUAGUAUUUAACAAAUUGAGCAUGUCUUAAAGGUAGGGACAACUAACAUAGCAACAUGGCAAAGGAUGUUUUUAUGUAAAGUACUCCCCCAAGCUUGAAUUUUGCAGAAUUCAAGUUUGGAUGAAUUUAAUUCAGUGUUGCAUGAUGAUUGGUUGGACAUACCUUGUACUUGCUUGUCAUUCAUCUGAUCUUCUUGUUCCAAUCCUGGAAAGGUUAGUGACAAGAAUACCCGAAGGAAUAUUUUUACAAUUAUCCUUAUAUGCUCAAUACACAAGGUAAUGUUGCAAAUAAUUAAAAACUCAUGUUAUGAUCUGAUCAGUGCUUAUUUUAGGACACCAAGCUUGUCGUUGGGAAACCAUCAAUUUAUGUCGGUGAAUUUGUUUCCCUUCCAACGCUGACCUAAAUCAAGAUCAACUGAACGAGAUCUGCAAUAUUUAUUAUAGACAUAUGCAUUGACAACCGCCCUUUUAAAGUUUUUAUAAAUAGAAAGGAAGAGGGGGUUGGAGAUCUCAAAUGUGGUGAUGUUGGAGAGACCAAUAGAUUGGGAAGAUGUUGCAUAUGAGCAUGGAGUGAAUGAAGUAGCUAUGAAAUAAAUUCCAUGCUCAUUAAUGUUAUCUUCGUCUCCAAUCUGAAUAUUUGGAGUUUCUCCUGGAUUGGUCUCACCUAUAUCCUCUUCUGUAGUUGGAUGAAUCUCAUCUUCAAAGGGAGUCAAGAACUCAUCAUUUGAAAUUGAGCCAAAGUCAGAAUCCAUUAAGGCUUCUUCCUUAUCCAUCCAUUCUACACAUUCUAACCAUUUAGAACUUGUGAUCAAGAAAGGGGAGGUGUUAGAAUUUUCUAUAUGGCUUAGCUCUCCUUCACUUGAUAUGUCAUCCUCGACUUCUUCAUAAUAGGAACCAGGACAUUCUCUAAGAGAAACAUUAUUACAAGGAUUUGAAUUAUCCCUACUUGAAGGUCUCUUAUGGAACCAGAAGUCUAAACCAUCAGUAUCUGAAAUAUUUAAGGUCAGAAUUCCUUCCUCCCUUGGAGAAUUUUGGGGUAUUGAUGGUUUAGGAUCGAUAGCUAAAGUUUGGGAUUGAAGUGGUUGUGAUCUGGCUAUCGAAACAUCUUUUUCUUGUCUAGGAACUCGUUCUUUCUCUUUCUCAGGGAUAUAAAAGCUAGGAGACUUUCCACUUAAUAAAUCAAUCAAAUUCCAAGCUCACUAGCAGGUAGGUGGUGGAAAGAUCCUCCAGAGGCCGCAUGAAGGGUUUGCUUAUCUUCCCUACUAAGGCCCUCAAAAAAAUGAAUUAGAAGAACUUCUUCUGACACGAUCCAGCUAGACAGGGGAUAUCCACAAGUAAUCUAGGUCUAAGCACCACGCUUACACCUAUACUACAACUCUAACCUAUAGCGUCCUAUAGAUUAGAAGUACUCAAAAGAGUUGUGAACCAGAACAUACAUGAUUAGUAAUUGCAUAAGGAAUUAGAAGUAGAUUACCAGAGUCAUCCUAUGAUGAAGCUUGAUUAGAGCUUGAUCAUGACGAAGUACAACCGGUGGAAGAACUGACAGGCCGGCCUCUCCUCUAAUCCUCCUUCGCUCUCCAUCUCGCUACUAUCUAGAUCUACUCUAGUUUAGAGAAGAGAGGAGAGCUCUCAUCUCUAAACCCUAGCUUUUGCUCUGUCUAUGAAUAAUGAAUAAUGAUCAAGGGGUGCCUCCUCCAGGGGCCAGGGGGUCUGGUUUUAUAGUCCCCUCAAGUGAAUAUGGGCCGUUGGAUCAAACCGACAUAGAUUGAACGGUUAUUCUUGAUCCUUUAGGUCAGUGGAGAUCUCCCGAGAAACAGUGUCCUGUUUGGACUCCAACAGAGGGCGGGCGCCCUGCCUCUAGCCCCUCUCGGCCUCCGCUUCCUUCCCGUGGCUUCUGGAGUCUUCUAGAUGUAAGAUAAUUGCGCGGCACGUUAAUAUCUCUAUGUAAUCCCGACGUGUGGGUCUUUCUUCCGUAUUUCCUGAUAACCCCCUGCAGAAAUAGACAAACACCAAAACUCGUGGAAUUCUGUCAGAUAAAACCCUAAGUCUAGAUGUUGAUUUCAUUUAGAUCCUUUUCUUUGUUUAUUUGAUAAUUAAAUUUGAUACUUAAGGACCGUCAACAUCGGUGGUACCAGCAGUUUGCGUCGGUAGUACUGGUUGUCUUACACCAGUAGUACCGGUCCAAACUGUCGGUAGUACCGACAGGCAUUUGACUUCCGCAACUUGAGUUUUGAGUUUUAGGUUUUUAGAUACGCCUAUUCACCCCCCCCUCUAGGCUAAUUAGAUCCUUUCAAUCAUAUCGCAUUCAUACAUACAUUCUGUCUACUCCUUCCUUUAUGAUAUCAUUCCUUUUUAAUUAAUAAGUGUUGCUUAAAUAAUCCUCUCUCACCCACAGUUAUUUCCUUUCCACAGAUGGAUGUGCCCGCCUCACCCCUCCCCAGUGACACCUUUCUGAGCGAGUUUGGCACUCCUACUCUGCUUUGGAGGGUGCUGCAGUCAGUGGGGUAUAAUGAGCCACCUCAGUACUCCUGGUGGGAGGUGGAUAUGACAUGAGACUUGCAGUGGUUCACUGUGCAAGGAGUUGUCCCACCACAUGGGGGUAGGCCUACAUGGACAGGAUGGACCUGCAACUCAGAUGGGCAGACCCCAUGGGAAGCAGCUCAGGUUGUGUGAGGGUAUAAACCCCUAUACCCUUACGGCUAGGCUUGGGCCAGGAGGCUUGGCCCAUUACGAGACGAGUCCGAGGCUUGAUCCGACUGCUCGGAGUUUCGUGCAAGGAAACAAGACGUGGAGAUUAAGCAGGAUUCUAGUCGGUUAGAAUAGGAAUUGAUGUCGUACUAUCUAUGGCAAUUGUAACCGACUAGGAUUAGUUUCCACAUCUGUAACCCUGCCCUCUGGACUAUAUAAGGAGAGGCAAGGGACCCCCCUAGGACACAUUAUCUCAACACAAUUCAAUACAACCAGAUGCAGGACGUAGGUAUUACGCCCACACGGCAGCCGAACCUGGAUAAAAACCUUGUCCGUGUCUUGCGUCACCAUCAAGUUCGUAGCUUGCGCACCAUCUACCGAUAAACUACUACCAUGGGUAUACCCCAAGGUAGACUGCCGACUAGCUUUCGUCGACAGUGGCACGCCAGGUAGGGGGUGUGCGUACAGCUCUCCCGACGAACAAGAUGGUCAUCGUUCCGGCUUCCGCAGCCGUGGCUGAAGGCCUCACGUUCACCGUCAGCCAGAUCACGUGAACGACUUGUGGCGGCGGCCUCGCGACCACAAUUUCGAGGAAACCCAGAUUCAAUCUGGGACAACAGAGGCGUCGACUUUGAUCACGCCGAUUUCGACCACUCGACCCCCACUCCCUCGUUACGAGGCAAAGAGGGUCGACAACUCGGGUCUUCUCCAAGCCCUUGAUCGCGCUGACCUCAGGCUCCUCGAAGCCUCUAACUUGGUGGAUGCCAUCUCGCGCAAACCCGAUCAGGCGGCUUCAACAAACUUUUUCGACUCCUGUCGGCCAACUCGUGUCACCAUGCACGAACAGCUAGAAACGUCCCUAACGAUAACGUCGACCCCCACGGGACGGUGCGUCAAGCUCAAGACACACUACAAGAAACUUGCUAAUCCGUGACGAUUUCUUAGUGAGGGAAUUACAAACUGUCACUAACAACCACUGACACAUGUAAUCCGUGAUGAAAUUUAUUUUUUCGUCAAGGAUGAGCCCAUUGGAUAUUCCCAGCCCGCUAACUGGUGACGAUUUUAUCAGGAUCGUCGCGGUGUAUGAAUUUUGAAUUUGUCAUACUCUAAUUGGCUCAAAACAAUAUGCACGCUACCAGUAUUUAGUGCAAAGAAAAAUAGAAAAUAUGAUUGCAAAAAGUAUCAAACCCAAAAGACAAUCUGAUAAAUUAUUGUAACAAUAUAAUUUUGUUAUUACUUGUAUUUUAUUCGAACAAUUUUGCUACAAGCAUAUAUGGCAAAAUUAAAAAUAUGUUCCAUUUGCACAUUUAAACAAAAAAUUGCACCUAUAUGGGAUUUCCAUUUGACUAGUAUUUGUAUUUGUUUACCGACCCAACAUCACGGUAGGCCGCCUGGGCCAUUCACUCGACUUUAUGCCCGCCGACCACAUGGCCUUGCCCAUUUUGUAAACACAAAUAAAAAGUGCAGCCUAUAUAAAUUGAACCUGCAACACUUGACUUCAUAGAGGUGCAAGGCCAGCAAACAUUACAACUUUUUUUUAUAAAAAACAUUAUAAAUUUUGGAAAAAAGUUCACAAUGCAUCAAAAAGGAUAAUUUUUUUUUAAAACAAUACUGCUCCAGGCUUCGAACCCAGAAUCAGCCUUACAAAGCCAAAAUGCCUGACCACUGCGCUAUUCACUUGUUUAUGUUGGCUUUGGUUAUUAAAAUCUUUUUUUUAGUUUAUCGCCUUCCUUAUCAGCCUCCUCGGACGACAGUUCAUUCACGACCUUCACUUCGACUUGUGCAGCGCCGCCGACGGCGACUAUCGAAGCGCGAGCGCAAGAGCUCUGAUUCUUUUCUCAUCUCGGACGUGUUGUUGCUCCCGAACUUGCUCUCCUCCUCCUGUUGUUGCUUGUCCUGCCAUCGCCCGGCCUGGAGAGGAUGACAGGGACGCCUACCAGAUCGACCUCCGGGCCUUGUCAAUGGCGGAUGCAGCCAGUCCUUGGCCCCGCAAGGCGCCUUCGCGUGCUCCCUCCCACGAACGUGAUAUACGCGAAGAACGGCUUGAAUCGAGAAUAUGAAUAAAAGCUUUUGUAUUUUCAAUUAAUAUGCUUGUCAAUACUUGAAGAACAAGAGCAAGAACAUGAACCAAAACUUUUUCUGUUUUUAAUCUCAAGCAAAAAAAUGUAACCAGUUUUUCUCACUCAUUCGAACUCCAAAUGGUAUGUUCUUUUUUUCUAAAUUUUCCUAAAAUCAUGAUCUAUCAACUGAAAACAUGCUUUUUAAGUAAUUAUUAUUUCUUAGUUCUUCAUAUAUGGCUUAUUUUUCCAUCCAUUCAUUACUUUAUCUUCAAAUAUAACAUAAAAUAAUUUUAACAACUCAAAACUUUGUUAGAAAAUCCUAUAAUCUUUCACAAUAACAUAUUUUUGAUGUAUAAUGUUUAAUCAAAUGAUUUUGAAAAAGAGGUAUCAUGCAUUGUCUAACAAAUGGUAUAUCUCUCACACAAACUACAUGAGACAUAUACCAUUUGUGAAUAAUGUAUAGUCUCACUUUCAUAAAAUGGUUUGAAUUUUUUAUGACAAGCAUAUACACCCACAUUAUGCCUCCAUAUCAAUUCUUAAUAUUUUUAGACUACUUUAUGAUAUUAUUGUUUUUUUCUUUGGAGUCAUCAAAAUAGUAGUUCGAGUAAUGUCUAACAAAACACUUAAUUUUCCAUUGAUUUUGAGUAAGUGAGCUCAAAUACAACAUGCCUUGUUACCUAUAUAUUUUUUAAAAUUUUUUGAUAUUAUUUGAUAGGACGUGUAGUUCAAGUUGAAGUUAUUUUCUAAAAGCAUGCAAUAAUUCAUUUAAACUAUAGAAAGUAGUAAAUCGGUUUCAAAUUUUUUGAAAAAUCUAUGAGAGGACAUAUAUGCAGUCUAUUUCAUUUUAAAAAUAUAUUGGGUACAUGAAUAUAAUUGGCUUAAAAUGUUUACUUUACAAGAUUGCUUAAUCAAUGGAAAAUAAGAAAUACAUUAUUAGUAAAGCGCUCCAGCCUAAAACUCGUUAAAUAUUAGGCCCAGCGUCCUGGGCCUGGGCCGCGCAUUCGCGGCAGGCCUCGUGACCCGCCAGCCUGCUCUGUAUUUCCUGAAUCUGAACCAUCCAAUUCUGAUUGACGGCCACGAUUGCAGCAGUAGCGCAUAAAACUACCGUUCCCAUGAGCUUCCCAAACCCUAAGUUUUGUUUUUCCUUAGGCCCUCUUUAGUUCCCCACCUAAAAUUUUUUCACCCAUCCCAUCGAAUCUUUGGACACAUGCAUGGAAUAUUAAAUGUAGAUAAAAAAUAAACUAUGGUUGAAAAUCGCGAGACGAAUCUUUUAAGCCUCGUUAGUCCAUGAUUAGCCUUAAGUGCUACAGUAACCCACAUAUGCUAAUGACAGAUUAAUUAUGCUUAAUAGAUUUGUCUUGUAGUUUCCAGAUGAGCUAUGUAAUUUGUUUUUUUAUUAGUUUCUAAAACCCCUCCUGACAUUCUUCCGACACAUUCGAUGUGACACCAAAAAAUUUUUCAUCUCCAAUCUAAACAGGCCCUUAGUCUUCACCCCAAAGGCCCAAACCUAACUCAGGAACGCGCCACUGCCGCUCCCCCAUCGACCCUAACAUCGCGCCGCCAUGGCCAUAGUGCCCUGUUCCACCCACAGAGACAUCUUCGUGUCGCUCCUCUCGUGUGUCCGGCGCUGAGCCGAGUCGUGCUGCGGGAGAGUUCAACGAUGGGGCGCCAACACGGUGGCGGAGGUGAGAUCCAUGGCCUAGAAGCCUAGAUCCCUCGCUCUCAGUUUUGCUAUUUGCCAGCUGGGGCAGAGCGAACAUGAGAUCCACGUAUCCUCCUGUGGUUCAAAGCCUGCACCGGACGGCGUCGAUGGUGACUACAAGAGCACGCGCCAUUUCGUUUCCUUUUCCCGUAAGCACCCGCUCUUCACUCCAUCUGUUCGAUUAAUAACCUUUUCUUUGGUCGAUUAGGAUCAUCAGAUGAACAUUCUCCUCUGGACUAUAAUUUGUUUGAUUAAAAAAUUGUAUUUUAUCAGCUCUAAUGCAAUUAGAUCCGCUGGACUAGACUUCCUUCUAGCCCGUCUAAUGAUAACAAUCACAUUUUUAUAAUACGUCCCUUUUUUCUGUCAAUGAUUUGCUUCAUGGUCGAGAUUCAUGAUGUAGACUAUGGUGCUGAGUCAUUUUCGUUGGAUGCCGACUAAGGUGCUUUGGCCUUUUCUUUUUAUUCUCUGGUUUAUAUGGAGCAUACUUGUCUGUCACUUAAGCAAUAGUAACAGAUUGACGUAUCUUAUUCUGUCCUUUUUACCAACUAGUACUAGAUAACUGCUUGCCAUGUGCUGAAUGUUGCUUCCUAAAAGCAUAUGUGUUGCUCACUUUGUGGAAAUUUGGUUUGAAAGCAUAUAUGUUGCUGCCUAAGUAUUGUGUGGUAAACUGAAUUAUCCUGAAAUCAUAUAAAAGUGUCUAUCUAAAUACUGAAUUUCCUCAAAUUUUUAGACAGUUUGUUCCUGAUGCUUUGUUUGUGGAUCCUAAAUAGGCAUUGCAUUCUCUUGGCCGUAGAAUGAUAUUUUUCCUGAUGUUUGGUUCUCAACUGAUGUUAAUGUUGAUGGCUGGACUUGGGAGCAGCUCAACUAAAAUUUCCAUUUGACAUGUGUAUCUGCUCAUUUAUAUUCUUCAGCUGGGUUGCAGCAUGCUGUUACAUGGGCAUGUUGGGAUAGUAAAUGCCUAGACUGUUUCAUGUUGUGCAGAUAAUACAAGCAGCUCUGUUAUGUGGUUAUUUUUUAUUUUCUUGAUCUGGUUCACUACAUAUAUAUGGUUUUGACUGGCUGCUGCAGUAUCUGAAGGAGAAAGAAGACGGCGCACAAUGCCUCUGCUCCAAAGUGGGCGCCACAGAAGCAUAAGGGAACACACGGUUCACCUCUGUGUUCCCCAUUUCACCUGCCGGUAUGUACGCACUUAUUUUCACUCUACCCACUGGCGAUGUUUAGAUCAGUAUAAGAUUCAACACGCUGUGAUACUAGGUACAUCUAUCUUUUGUGUAGUAUUUUAGUAUUAUCUAUUUUGAGAUUAAGCACGCUGGUUUUAACCUACAACUACCAUAUUGAACGAAACUUACUUGUGACAAAUCCUUCAGAUAAAAUUUGAACCCAACAUUGUUUAUAUCAACAUAGUUUCUUUGUUUGAUUUUGAAAGUGGUGUAACAUCCGGUGAGCUUGUGCACCUUACUAAGAUGCUUCCAAUUCUAAUCUUCUUUGAAAGUACCUUACUGAAAUGGUUUAAAUUAUAAUGUUCUCUGAAAGUGCAGAUCUGGAACAUUUGGUGAUACAUUGUGUUGCUAGAACUUGACAUUCUGCUGCUGCAACUUGAUGAACUAUGCUGCUGCAACUUCAUACAUGGCUGCUGCUGCUGCUGCAACUUCAUGCAAUUUCGGGAACCUGUAAUUUGUUGGUGGCUUAUGUGCCAUGGUGCAUUGCACGAUGUGGUGCUUUAUGUAACUUUGUAUCUCAUCUUAUGAGAAUAAACUUGAGAUCUUAUGUGCUGCUGGAUUGAGUUCUUAUGUAAAUAAAAUUGAAUUGUUUGUCUAUGUGGGCUGUAUAUUUGUAUUUGCAAUAGUAAUGGGAUGUAUGUUGUAUGUGCUAUAAAUGGCUGAGAAAAUAAAAAAUGGCUGAAUUCAACAUGUAAAUUUUCUGAAUGCCAAUUGAAAAUGGGCUGAAUGCUAAUUGGAAAUGGGCUGGAAAUACGUCAAAAUUGCGUUGAGAAUAAGCUAGAAAAUGGCCCAUUUUUAUGUUGGGCUGUUAAUAAAUGGGCCAAUAUGCCACACAUCAUCCUUGUCAUCGUCCACAUCAUUAUCCAUGUAAGCAUCUAUGAUGAUGUGGCAUUUCAUCCGUGACGUUUACUUUUCGUCGUAGGGAAUGGACUUGGGUUGGGCUAACAGGGCAUGGGCUCAAAUGGUGAUGGUUUAAAUCUGUCACUGAUUACUUUGAUCUGUGACGGUUUUUGAUAAAUCGUCGCGAGGUUUAAUCCUUGACGCUCAAUCCGUGACGAUAUGUGGAACCAUCACAGAUGCUACAUAGUGACGGUAUUUUGGUGAUCGGUGACGAAAAUUUUUUGUCACUGAUGAGCAGGAUUCUUGUAGUGACAGCUCAAGACCAGAAUUGCCCUUAUGGUUAAAACAACUCAGCCGACCACUAUUCGCGGCACACCCAAUCUCUUUUCAGCAGGGCGGGCUUGUCGCCAGGACAAGCACCUCACCAUUAUGUCAACAUGGUAUCUAUCCGAGUCCUGCCGGACGACAAGGCUACCAGUAUGAACUCCAGCACAAGGUCCGUUCCCACCGAGGUUUUGCACUCCGAGGACGAAGAUUACGACCUGGAUUUACCACCAUAUCCUCCAGGUUUUUCUCAUUUCCCAGUCUUUCCACCUCAGCAAGGAGAUCUUAUCUUUAACGUCAGCAAUGACAAACCGGUCGUCGACGGCGAAACAGACGAGCAGAAGCAACUCCGCGAGCAGCGCAAUGCCGACCGUGCUCGGCGGCGCGCGGAUGAGGAACGGCAACUUGCGCCACACAACCUCAGUGAUGCUUUUGACAUGGUCGGAGAUCAGCCAGUCUACAAGACACCAAGCGCUAAUGUGGCUGUCGCCAUGGCAAACCUGGACCGGCUCCCUGAUACCCCGAAGUGCCAGGGCGUCCGAUCCAGUAUACGAGCACAUCUGAUCGCCGCGACGGGACAGACAGCCACCUUGCUCAAAAGGGUCCAAGCCGUCUCCUACACGGAGGUUUCUUCCGACCAGACUCAUCGUAGCCGGACUUCACCACGACCCAGCGGGCGCUAUCAUAGCCGCUCCCCCGACGGUCGCAAGAAGGUCGCUGGACACGACAACCGAGGUCAGGACACGUGCGGUUACCGCGAGCAGAGGCGCGGGCGUGGUCAGGAAGUAAACCAAGAUAGGGAUCUACGCUACAACAUUCCCCCCAAAGAUGCCCGCAACCGCAUCAACAGGCGCGCUACGGAAAGAGCGGUACACGAAAAUCUGCGACGCAUUGAGUACGAUGCUGCACACGGCCCCCCGGCCUAAGACAGUUCUCUUCACACCUUCGCCAAGUCGUAUGGCCCCGCAAUUUUAAGCUCGAGAAGCUUAAAAAAUAUGACGGCAAAGAAAACCCUGAAAACUGGAUUACUCUCUACGAGAUCGCAGUCCGGUCAGCAGCAGGAGACGAGCACGUCAUGGCAAAUUACUUCCCAGUCGUCCUUGACUAGGCUAGCCAUCAGUGGCUCCUCGGCCUGCCCGAGGACUCCUUCGACUCCUGGGAAGAGCUGCGCCAGGCGUUUAUUGACAAUUUCAUCGCUACCUGCGAACAGCCUGGGAACAAGUACGAUCUCGAGAGAAUAAGGGUCAGGAAGAACGAGCCCUUACGCGAUUACAUUCGACGGUUCUUAGAUAUGCGCCUUAAGAUUCCAAAAAUCUCUCACGACGAGGCCAUAUCAGCUUUCAUCAAGGGUCUACGCUUCCAUGAAGCACUAAGGAAUAAGCUACUACGCAAAAGGCCAACCACGGUUGCCGAGCUCCUCGCCACGGCAAAAAACUGCGCCGACGCCGAUGACGCAGAAAAGGUCAUCCAAGAAGACGCGAGGGGCACCGACCAGCCUCCUCGGCGAGACGACAGUCGUGGAUGCUUCGACAACCGGAACCCUCGCCGUGGCGACAACCGCGACCACCGAGAAGGUUGGGACAGGCGACGUGACAACCGCGACGAUUUCAGGGGCAAGCGACCUCGUGACCACGACCAUGAGGUGAACACAGUCAAGCGCCCCAAUGGGCGACGAGACUACCAGGAAGACUACAACAAGACGGUGAAAGGGCCAUGCCAACUUCAUCCCAAGUCCAAUCACACGAUGGAAGAAUGUUGCAUCCUCAAAAGCAUCUACACACAGCGGGCUGCUCAAGGGGAUUCCGCCAAGAAAAACGGGAAACAGGACAGACAUGGUCACGAAGACGAAGACGACAACCAGGAUAGGGACCCACGACACUAGUAUGUCAGUCCCACCGACAUGGUGCACUCCAUCUUCGGAGGCAAAGUUUCCAUCGAGUCUAAACGAGAGAGAAAGCUCCUGAAGAGAGUCUGCCUCAAUGUGGACAGCGCAGACGACCUGGUCGCCGACCCAAAGUUUCCUCCCUGGUCGCACAGGGAGAUCUCCUUCAACAGGAAGGACCAAUGGGCCACCAUCCCAGAACCAGGAUGCUUUCCUCUGAUCCUGGACCCUUGCAUCAAUAGUGUCAGAUUCGAGCGUGUGCUCGUUGACGGGUGCAGCUCCAUUGACAUCCUUUUCCGCAACAGCUUGCCUGCCCUUAGGCUAACCCCGGCGCAACUAAAGCCGUAUGAUGCUCAGUUUUGGGGCGUCCUUCCAGGCUAGAGUUCAGUACCCCUCGGACAGAUAACGCUGCCAGUCUAGUUUGGAACGUCGGACUACUUCCGCAUAGAGUUCGUCAACUUUGUGGUCGCUGACUUCGACGGCACCUAUCACACGAUUCUAGGCCGACCAUCGCUCACCAAGUUCAUGGCAGUUCCACACUACUCAUACCUGGUCCUCAAGAUGCCAAUAGAGAAGGGCGUCCUAACCGUCAGAGGCAACGUCUACACCGCAUACACUUGCGAGGAGGAAAGCUUCAAGAUCACCGAGGCAAUCGAUCCCUCGAUUUGUAUGGCAGAAACUGUAGCCCAAGCCAAGCAAGCUCCACCCGACCAGCUCCAGCUACCCGAGCAGGAGACUCCGAGGAAAAACUCAAAGUCCAAAGAGCACAAGGAGGUACAGUUGGUCGACGGCAGCCCUGAGAAGACGGCUCUCAUUGGGGCCAACCUGGACCCUAAAUAGGAAGACGCGCUCGUCAGGUUUCUAAGGGACAACGUAAGCGUUUUCGCAUGGAAACCCGCGGACAUGCCCGGCGUCCCACGAAACCUGAUCAAGCACUCCUUAAACGUUUCGAAGACCGCAAGACCUAUCAAGCAGAAACUACGGCGGUUCGCUCGCGACAAAAAGGAGGCUCGGCUUCUAGCAGUCGGAUUCAUUAAAGAAGUGUAUCACCCCGAUUGGCUCGCCAAUCCGGUUCUUGUAAGGAAAAAGAAUAAUGAAUUGAGAAUGUGCGUUGAUUACACUGAUCUCAAUAAACACUGUCCUAAAGAUCCUUUCGGUCUCCCUCGUAUCGAUGAGGUGGUCGACUCAAAGGCCGGAUGCGAACUCCUCUCUUUUCUAGACUAUUACUCUGGCUACCACCAGAUUUCACUAAAGGAAGACGACCGGAUCAAAACAUCUUUUAUUACUCCUUUCGGUGCAUAUUGCUACACCACCAUGUCCUUCGGACUCAAGAAUGCUGGAGCCACUUAUCAACGAGCCAUUCACCAAUGCCUCCACGACGAGAUUCAUGAUGACCUCAUCGAGGCUUAUGUCGAUGACGUUGUUGUCAAAACAAGGCAAGAGAGCACUCUGAUCGACAAACUAGACCAAACUUUUACGGCACUAAAUAAAUACAAGUGGAAGUUUAACCCCAAAAAGUGUAUCUUCGGGGUCCCCUCUGGUCUACUACUCGGCAACAUCAUCAGCCGCAACGGCAUACGGCCGAAUCCUUCAAAAGUUAAGCCGGUGCUCGAUUGCGACCACCCAAGAAUGUCAAGGAUAUUCAAAAGCUCACCGGAUGUAUGGCCGCUCUCAGCUGGUUUAUCUCUAGGCUAGGAGAAAAAGGCCUUCCCUUCUUCAAACUUCUAAAGGCGUCGGAAAAAUUCUCCUGGACAGAGGAAGCUAACGCUGCGUUCACCCAGCUCAAAACUUUCCUCACCUCACCACCCGUCCUCACAGCACCUCAACCUAAUGAGGACAUGCUACUUUACAUAGCAGCAACCGAUCGGGUUGUCUCCACGGCAAUGGUGGUCGAGCGGCACGAACCAGGCCACGUCUACAAAGUCAAGAGGCCUGUUUACUUCAUAAGCGAAGUCCUAAACGAAUCCAAGACCAGGUAUCCUCAGAUACAAAAGUUAAUCUACGCCAUCCUGAUAACCUCAAGAAAGCUGAAGCAUUACUUCGACGGCCAUCGGGUCUUAGUAACUACUAGUUUUCCCCUAGGGGACAUUUUGCGCAACAAGGUCGCCAACGGCAGAAUUGUAAAAUGGGCAAUGGAAUUAUGCCCAUUCUCCCUAGAUUUCCAGAGUCUCACUACCGUCAAGUCCCAGGCCCUGGUCGACUUCAUCGUGGAAUGGACGGACCUCAACGAGCCCCCCCCUCCGGAUACCUCCGACCACUGGUCAAUGUUCUUCGACGGGUCCCUAAACAUCAAUGGCGCCGGCACUGGGAUACUUUUUGUAUCACCAAACAAGGACAAACUCCGCUACGUCCUUAGGAUUCUCUUCCCGGCAUCUAACAACGUCGCCGAAUAUGAAGCAUGCUUGCAUGGCAUCCGACUGACUGUCGAACUGGGAGUCAAACGUCUUUACGUCCACGGUGACUCUGCCCUGGUCAUCAACCAGUUAAAUAAGGAAUGGGACACAACUCAUGAGAAAAUGGACCUCUACUGCAAAGAAAUCCAGAAAUGGGAAUCCGAUUUUUUCGGCAUCGAAUACAUCCACGUGGUCCGGGACAGGAAUCAGGCAGCAGAUGCGUUGUCGAAGAUAGGAUCAUCUCGGGCCCAGGUCCCGCAGGGUGUUUUUGUCCAAGAUAUUCACACCCCAAGCGUCGGUACAGACCUGGUCGACAAGCCACCCAAUGAGGCGAUGCUCAUAGACGAGACUACUCCAACGACCAGCAACCACGACUGGCGCACUCCCUUCAUCAAGUACCUAUCAGACGGUUCGGGAUUCCAAGAUAAAACGGAGAACGAGCGCCUUAUGCGGCGGUCUAAGAAUUACAUACUGGUCGAUGGCAAACUUAUGCGUAAGAACGUAAGCUCAGAAGUAUUGCUGAAGUGCAUAUCCCAAGAUGAUGGCAUCAAGCUACUGGAUGAUAUACACGCCGGGUCCUGUGGCAACCACGCCACCUCCAGAACACUGGUCGGGAAAGCUUUCCGAGCAGGUUUUUACUGGCCAACAGCAGUUACCGAAGCUGAGAAACUAGUCAAGCAUUGCAAAGGAUGCCAGUUCUUCGCCAAGCGGACCCACGUACCUGCUCACGAGAUCCAGACGAUUCCGUCGUCUUGGCCGUUCGCUUCUUGGGGCCUCGACAUGAUCGGGCCAUUCAAGCCGGCUCUUGGCAACUUCAAAUUCGUGUUUGUACUAAUCGACAGAUUAUCAAAAUGGAUUGAGUACAUGCCACUGGUCAAAGCAACUUCCGAGAAGGCUAUGGAGUUCCUCAAUCAAAUCAUACACAGAUCGGAGUUCCUAACAGCAUAAUUACUGACCUGGGCACCCAGUUCACCGACACUACAUUCUGGGACUUCUGUGAUGACAGAAGCAUAGUCAUAAAGUACGUGUCGGUAGCCCACCCGUGGGCCAACGGUCAAGUGCAGCGAGCAAAUGGAAUGAUUAUCGAUGCUCUGAAGAAAAGGCUGUAUACUGAAAAAGACAGAGCACCAGGACGAUGGAUAAAAGAGUUACCAGUUGUGGUCUGGGGUCUCCGAACGUAGGCUAGUCGAAACACGGGUAUAUCGCCCUACUUCAUGGUUUAAAGCACCGAGGCAGUGCUCCUUUCGGACGUGGUCUUUGGAUCUCCAAGAGUUGAACAUUUCGACUAGCCUUCGGCCGACCUCGCCAGAGAGCUCAAAACCAACUGCACAGAGGAAAAGCGCCUAAUCUCAUGCCUUCGAACAGCGAAGUAUCUCGAAGCUAUCAGGCGGUACCACAACAGGAACGUCAAAGAUCGCUCCUUCGUGGUCGGUGAUCUGGUACUCAAAUGGAAAACAAACCAGGAAGGAAUGCACAAGUUAUCUACACCUUGGGAAGGUCCCUUCGUGGUCGCCGAAGUUACACGCCCUACAUCUUAUAGACUGGCAUACCCAGACGGAACACGCUUACCCAACUGCUGGCACAUAGAUAAACUGCGCCGUUUUUAUCCCUAAGCUCCAGUACACUUUAUUUGUAAAUCUUUUAUGAUGAGUAAUAAUAAAAUUUGUCUUUCUUGCUAUGUACUUUUUUUCAUACGCAGAACAUUCGACAAGUGCUACAACUACUAUCAAGACAAAGGUCCUCAAAGGUCGUCAACUCGACUCAGUGAUGCAUCACUCAAACAAUGUUACAACGCUCAAAACCAUGGUUAUGAUAAAUUAAGCUUUAUUACAAACUUUAUACACUAAGUUUACAAUAAACACCCCUCUGGGCGGUCUCUAGUCUACUCCUACAGACUACUUUACAGGCCUACUCCUCGGGCUGAUCACCCGCACGGUCCUACUGUCCAGUCGAAGGGGUCGGGGCCAACGGCGCCUGGCUGGUCGAGACCGCAGGUGUCGACCGCCCAUCUCCUGCAAUGGAUGCCCCUAACAACUCCCUAGCUAACCUGUCUGAUCCAGGUUGGUUGAGGGGAGUUGACGUCCCACAGAGGUUUAUGUCGCCGAUCACUGUCGACGACAGGUCGAGUAGGCCGACAUGAAGGUCAUCUACCUCCUGCGGACCAACCUCCUUGGAUACCCCCUCUCCAGCCAGGACAGAUCAACCAGAGGAUAGUGGGCACGUACCAUGCUGAGGACGUGUGCUUCGGCGAACUCUCCGGCGUCCAUGACGAACUGCUGCAGCCAACCCCACGCUUGUUGCGCCUUCUCGACCGGAGUCAGCCACGGUGCGCGGGGCUGGUCUUCGGGGAGCUCGGGGCUGAUCAAGUCGAGCACUGGGGCUACUCCUUUCCAGAUCUUGAUACAGUUGGUCUUCUAGGAGUCCCGUUCCUUGACCAGCUCGUCGAGGUGCUUCUUGGUGUUAACUUUAAGCACUAUGAUAAAAUUUCCAAAGAGAACCAAGCCAGAAGUCAGUACAAACAUGGCAAGAGGAACAUUGCGUAGUCAACAAAAGGGCGAAACAGCUCUUACCAGCCAAUUCUCGACUCUUGUCCUUCAGCUCCUCGCCAGCCCGGCGCCCGGCCUCCAGUGCGCCGGUACGCUCCUGGUCGAGUCGCUCCUUUUCCUCUCGGAGGCGCAAAACCUCCUCCAGAUCUGUAGAAAUAGUCGCUGGUCAACAAAACCAAUUGCGCAGUUCAACUACAGCUGCUCGGAACGCAUGACUUACCUUUUUUCUCCCGAUCCUUGUUGGCUAGUCGUCAGUUAAGAUCGAGCAGGCGCUCUUCCUGAGCCGCCUUCUCGGCCGCUUUCUCCUCGGCUUCUGACCGAAGGCGGUCCGCCUCUGCGGCUAGGGCCUUAUUCUCAGCCACGAUCCCUUCAAUUUGGUCGAAGCACCUUUUACGGUACUUCGCCGUUUGCAUCGCGCCCUGCAAGAAGUAAACGUAUUGUUCAAUGGACAAGCAAACAGUACAUAAAUUUUCUGGCUGAGCAGAGGACCACUUACCUUAACCUCAUCAACGAGUCACUUAGCUACGCGCUCCACCCUCGCGGCCUCCUCUGUCUCCGCGAGUUCUUCAUACCAAUGAAGUGGUCCCCACGUUGGCGCCACACGUAAACGUGCUGGCGACCAUCAUGGGGGCGACACUAGAUUUCUUCCACUUCAUCGUCAGAGGCUGCCUGGGUCUCCUCGCCCUCUGUGCUACCACCAGUUGUGGUCAUGGGUAUCACUGGACCCUUACCCCGGCUAGGGGAGCCCUUUGGCGAAGAGGUUUCUGCUCGGGGCGGGGUUGGGGCCCUCUUUUCAUCUGGCGGGGGAGUCGGGGCUCUGUCUCCCUCCUCUGUGACACUGCUCGGGGGGUGUCCUUGCGGCCUCAUCGUCCCUCGUCAGUGUGCCCGCCCCGGUCCUUGCUUGAGCUGGGCUCUCCUCGGUAGUCUCCGCCACAGUCACCACCGUGGGCUGCUCCUCGAUUGGUGCCUAGGUGGUCUCCUCGCUGGGGUUUUCAAUGACAACCGCUGGCUCAGCCAUUUUCUAGCCGGCGACGUUGCCCGGAUCAACAUCUGACGCCGCACUAGCAAAAGAAGAUAUCACGCUGACAUCACAAACUCGCAACAAAAAAAAAACAAACAAUAACAAGGAGGAAGUGUAGAAGACGGGUUGUAGAACUCACAGGUCGGAGCGCCUGUGCGUCGCUGCGAAGAACCUCCUCCUGGUCCUACCAGUCGCCGCUACUGCCUCUGCCCCUCCACGUUGCGUCGGCUCGGUGUGCGGGGUCGGAGGAUCACUGGUCUCCCGACCAGCGGUGGCCGACGCAACGUCAGGUCGACUGCGUGGUCUCCGGACCAAAGAUGGCGCAGCCUCCUCCUCUUUGUCUUUGUCGUCAGUGUUCCUCACGAGCCGACGACGUUUCAGAGCUUGGCUGGUCUCUGCCGGCAAUGCCUCCGAAGGGGUUGGCUCUGCGGCCAUUGGCCUCUUCGCCGCCACCCUGUCCUCGGUGGUCGGCGCCGGCCGGUUUUUCUCUUCCUCGCUGCUAUUGUAUUGGGGACACCGAGCAGCAUCGUCUACUGCUGGGUCCAUCUCAGCAGGCUGCUCCAUGCUAGGUGCCAGUGAUACAUACACUGAGCACCGGUCAAUGUCUCCAAUCUGCAGUAGAACCAACAACAAGUCAUCAACCAAGAAACAACAGUUAUUCACAUGACGAUACAUAUCGGUAACAGUGCUCGUUUACCUUAGGAGCUGGUCGUCCUAGCUUGAAGGCGUGCAUCUGAUCAUCGCUCUGAACGAAAUUGUCAUCAGACAAGUUGAACAACUCAUUCAUCAGCUGCUGGACCUCCGUCUUCUCCAGACCACUCGGGCACAUCCUGGUCGGGUCUUGACUCCCAGCGUACUCAUACGCCGAGUGUACCCUCCUCUGGCAGUGCAUCACCCGUCGUACAAGGAAAUUCCCGACCACUCCUGGCCCGUCUAAGCGGGACCAGUCGAUCAGGAUCAUCAGCUCCGCCACUUGACCGUCAUACUCUUGAUGAUCUGUCCAGCUGACCCUCUUCUUGGGGAUGUAGCCGACGUCACAGAACGUGGUGCUACCCGGCUCCUCCCUGAUGUAGAACCACUUCUUCUACCAUUCGGUGAGAGAAGUGUUCCAUGGGCAGCUGAGGUAUCGGUUCUUCAUCCCGUCGCGCAGAUUGAGGUAUACUCCACUUGCAAUCUUGGAACCGCCAACUGCUCCUUUCUUCCGCAAAUAGAAAAGAUAACGGAAGAGGUCGAAGUGCGGCUCUAUUCCAACAUAGGCCUCGCACAAGUGGAUAAAGGUAGAAAUGAGGAGAAUGGAGUUCAGGUGUAGGUUGCAGAUCCCGAUCUCAUAGUAAAGAAGAAGGCCCUGGAGAAAAGGAUGGACAGGAAUCCCAAAGCCCCUCUUGAAGAAAUCUUCAAAAACAACAAUCUCACCGGCGCGGGGGUCGGGGUAGCUCUCCCCCUCUGGCGCCCACCAGCCGCCGAUCUCCUGGUUAUGUAGCAGACCCAUUUCGACGAGGUCGUUGAGGGACCUCGUGCUGCUCCGGGACUUCUUCCACUCCUUGGCCAUCAACUCGGCCCUUUUCUUCGAUUCGCUUUUCGCCAUUGACACCGGAGAAAGAACUUUGAGCUAGAAGUUAAAGAUGGCAGUCGCAGGAGGUAGGAAUGGCAAAGGCAGAAGGUUUGUAGGCAAAGGCUGGGUAAAGAAUAUGGAUGCUGCAUUGAGCUUUUUAUAACAGCAGCUCCACCUCUACCACUUCCCGCGUUAUGGGGAAGUGGGCAGAUCUUGCGGCGGCUGUGGCGCUUCGGUUCUCAAUACUUAUCACAAUUAAUAUGGUGACUUUUCCGCAUAAUUGAUGGUUUCCAUGUCUUGGGCUGCGCAAAGAGCGGGUGCACAGUUACCAGGCGAGCCUUUUUACGCGACAGCCUGACAAUGUACCAGGGCGCUCUGUCACAUCACACAUUAAUACGGCGAUAUGUUCUUUUCAAGAAAGAGAAGUGAGUCAGUUGGUGGAACAGGCGUGACAUACUCGACUGACUGCAUCGACCACCGAGCAUCACAAGCUCAGGGACUGGUCGACUAGUCUGCUCCUUUGACAUUUCGAUUGAUUGCACCGACCACCGAGCAUCACAAGCUCAGGAACUGGUCGACUAGCCUGCUCUCUUGGCAUCUACAUUGUUUGUACCGACCACCGAGUGUGGUACGCUCCGGGAAUGGCCGAUUAGUACACUCGUCUGAAAGUCUGGGGACUGUACCGAGCAUGUUUUGGUUCCCAACCAUGCUCGGGGACAAGUCGAUCAUGCUCUAUGGCAUGCUCGGGGACUGUGCUGACUAACAAUUGUGUUCGGAGACUCAUCAGUCACUCCCUGUGCUGUGCUCGGGGCUUGCCUUGAUCACUCUCCAACCACAAAUUGGGGACUGUUCUUCUCAGUUACAUAUGAAUUGGACUCAUAUACAACUGAGGGGUAGUUUUAUUUUUUAGACCUUGCUACAAGGCUCAUACUUCGCCUUCCAGCAAGCUCGGGGACUACAUCGAUACGAUGCAUCUGGCGAUGCAUCUCAGUUUUAGAAUUUCUAUGAACUUUUUUGACCCUGGCACCACGUGCCUACGUCACCUACUACUAAGCUCGGGGACUAAGUGGGCACAUUUCACCUUGCGGUGAACAUGCUUGCUUUUUAAAAGUUUGUACUUUUCAGAAAAGUAAAGUGGGCACACUUCAUCAGAAAAAAAAUAUUUUUUGAUUUAGAGCACCAUGCAUUCUUCGAACAAUCGGCUUCUUCGACGUUGAUGUUUGUCGACUGGUUUUCAAGUUGGCCGGAGUACCGCUGCAACUGCUCGGGUAAUUUUCCUGGUUGUCAAAGAUGUCAAGUCUUGUUGGUCGAAGAAGCUCAAGAUGGCGUGUUGCAUUACAAUACAUGGUGCUCGGAGACUAGCUGUGUGGGUAUAAACCCCUAUACCUUUACGGCUAGGCUUGGGCCAGGAGGCUUGGCCCAUUACGAGACGAGUCCGAGGCUUGAUCCGACUGCUCGGAGUUUCGCGCAAGGAAACAAGACGUGGAGAUUAAGCAGGAUUCUAGUCGGUUAGAAUAGGAAUUGAUGUCGUACUAUCUAUGGCAAUUGUAACCGACUACGAUUAGUUUCCAGAUCUGUAACCCUGCCCUCUGGACUAUAUAAGGAGAGGCAAGGGACCCCACUAGGACACAUUAUCUCAAUACAAUACAAUGCAACCAGACAAAGGACGUAGGUAUUACGCCCACACGGCGGCCGAACUUGGAUAAAAACCUUGUCCGUGUCUUGCGUCACCAUCAAGUUCGUAGCUUGCGCACCGUCUACCGAUAAACUACUACCGUGGGUAUACCCCAAGGUAGACUGCCGACUAGCUUUCGUCGACAGGUUGCAGCCCAUGGCAUGCUGCUCAACAUCUGUUAGAGGGUUGGUGAUGAGCUGACAGGAGGGCUAGUGGCCUCCAUUCCCAUGCUGACCUAGUAGCAGCGGAGUGGAAGCAGGCUGAUGGAUGUGCGUUGGUCCGAGGUCGAGGAGAGCGAGCUAAGAGCUCCAGUCCUGCUAUGAGCGCUAUGAUGGUUGUGCUCAAGCUGUUUAGUUAGUGAGAGGACACCUAUGCGCACAUGAUGGGUGUUGUUCGCCAGGCUCAGGAGAUACAACAAAAGGCUAAAAAGCGUGCUCACAAGUUUCGCAAGCAAGCUAGAUGCUUGGAGCAGGCCCAAAAGGACCGCAAUGAUUCGGAGGACAUUGCGGAGUAUUGUAGGUAGCAGUGGGUGAAGGCCACUAGGGAGAGAGAUCAUAAGCAGGUGCAGAUGAGUCAGUUGGCUAGGGAGAAGGAGACCGUGCAGGAGCGCUUGGUGCAGAUCACUAAUGAGAGGGAUACUGCACUACUUGUGUCGGAGAACAGGCGCCGGGCAUGGGAGAUGCACCGUGUCCAAUCGGCGGAGUGGGAGAACUAUCUACAGGAUCAGAUUGAGGCUGGUCUUGUGGAGAUUCACCACCUCAACAACUUGCUACACCCUAUUCCCCAUCCUACACCAGUGUACCCGGAGGUGGGAUCUCAGGUGAUCGUGGCUGAUGACGAUGGUAUGGAGGUAGAUGGACCGGCCGCGGCUGCACCACCCUUGCAUGAGGACAUGGAGGACGAGGAGCUUGAGCCGGUUAGCGACGAGGAUGGAGAGGCGAUCUUUGACGCUGACUCGGGCGACGAGCCUGGAGUGUAGUGGGUAGUUGGUAACCGUCUUGUGAGGUUCUUUUGUAGUUUGACGUGUGGCAGUUGUGCCCUUGUAAUCAUGAUGUAAUCCUGAACCUUGAUCUAAGACUUGUGUCUGUGCUAUGGUGAUGUAAUAACUUUAUGGACCAAGAUGUUGUAAUGACUCUAUCAUGUUUGAACGGCUGUUGAUGAUAUUUCCCUUUGUUGUGUGUUUUAUGGAUAUCUGUGUCAUGUGCUGUGAUUGGUGAUGUUGUUUUGUGGAAUUGAAUUAUUGUGCCUCUUUCUAUAAAGUUAUUCCCUCGAAUACUUUCAGGCAUGAUUAUAAGUUCUUAUAUGGCAAAUCUUAUCAUCAUCAAUACUCACUGACUGUGUCUUUACAGAUGUAUAGAGGCACUUGAGGUGCGGGAAAUCAUGCAAACAUGGAUCCACCCCCUCCUCCUCCACCACCGAAUCUAGAAGGGCUGAUGAAGCAAUGGUGGAAAAUCAGAGGUUGCUGACAGAGACUAUCCGUCAGAUGGCAAAUCAGGGUGGUCGGGACGUACAACAUGGGCCAGCACCUAAUUAGCACAACAAUUUUAAGGAUUUCAUGGAUACCAAGCCUCCAUGUUUUAGAGAGGCUGAAGAACCCCUUCGGGCAGAAGAAUGGCUGAACAUGGUGGAACAGAAGUUCCGCUUACUUCGGCUGACUGAAAGUCUAAAGGCGGAAUAUGCAGCUCAUCAAUUGUAGGGUACGGCUGGUAUCUGGUGGAAUUAGCAUAGGGAGGCUCUUCCAGAUAACACUAUGGUUGACUGGAAUCUCUUCCGUGAAGCUUUCAAGUGACAUUUCAUACCUCCUGGGGUCAUGGAGAUGAAGCACACUGAGUUUAUGCAGUUAACUCAGGGCAACAAAACUCUGAAGGAGUAUUUGCAUGCUUUUAAUCAUCUGUCAAGGUAUGCCCCUGAGUUUGUGAGCACUGGAUCAAAGAAGAUUGCUAGCUUCAAGAGGGGUCUUGGCCCCAAGUUGUUGAAGACUAUGGGCUGCACUAAGUGUGCCACCUUCAAUUAGCUUGUCAGUGAUGCUCUUACCCAAGAGAAUUACAACACUGUGUAUACUGCGACCAAGACUCGCAAACUAGCAUUUGAGGCCAGGGAAGGGGCAUCUCAGUCCAAGGCUCCAGUGGCAGCUAGGCCCCAGUAUUGUGCUCCAACUCCUAAUAUGCGAUACCGUCCUCCAGCAAAGAAGAAUCAAGCAAAGACGGGGUUUCGCAAAGGGUACUCCAUUGCUCUUCCUAGGGGGAACACUGGGCCUAGCUAUGCCAAGACUCCGCCUAACAACAGUCCACGCUGGAACUGUAAUCAGACAGGGCAUUGGCAAAGCAACUGUCCUUACCCACCAAAGAAGGGCAACCUAGGGAACGUCCGUCAGGGGCGUGUUCACUACACUACAGUAGAAGCCAUCCCUGCUGGUGAGGUAGUUAUGGCUGGUAAGUUCUUGGUUAACCAAUGUGAUGCACUUGUGCUUUUUGAUUUAGGAGCAUCGCAUUCCUUUGUGAGUUUAGAUUUUGUGUCUGAGCAUAAUUUCAAGGCAGUUACACUUGAUAAAGGCAGUUAUCGCAUUAGUGCCACUGGAAAUAAUAUUUCUACAAAUCAUGUGGUUUUGGGGGCAACUCUGGAAAUAGGAGGCUGUCAGUUCCUGGCUGAUCUGGUUGUUUUGCCCGGUGUGGGUAUAGAUGUAAUUCUGGGAAUAAAGUGGAUGAGUGGUAACGGGGUUCUCAUCGACACCACUACUCGCGUGGUGAUGCUGAGAGACCCUGGUACUAAGGAGGUGUUCUUAGUGCAACUUCCUCGUGAUAUUCAUAUCCAUAGCACAAUGAAUGCAGUUACAUCUAGGGCCAUCAAGGAUAUUCUGGUGGUGUGUGAGUUUCCGGAUGUAUUCCCUGAUGAUUUGCUUAGGCUUCCUCUAGACCGGGAUGUGGAGUUCAAAAUUGAAUUGCUUCCACGUACUGCACCUAUCUCUAGAAGACCAUAUAGAAUGCCGCCAAAUGAGCUAGCUGAGCUUAAGACCCAGUUGAAUGAACUAUUGAAGAAGGGUCUUAUUCAUCCUAGGUCUUCUCCUUGGGGUUCUCCAGCUGUUGGGUAUUUUAAACGCAAAUAGAAAAAUCUGCAAGCGCACGGAUACCGAUGUAGCCUUCACCCAAGAGUAUUCCAGAGUAUCGAUUUUCCACAGAGAACGUGAGUGUACUAAUUAAGAUCCAAGAUCGCCCAAGGAUAACUAUGUAAUUAUUUUUGGUGGGAAGAGAGGAAGUUUCCUGAGAGUUCUCUAGUUGAUCUAAGAAUCAUGAAUUACUUCAAGAUUAUCUAUAUCGGGACAUCAGAGCACUAACCACAGAAAGAGAUGAGAAGGGGGCUAGGAAGGUCUGACCACGGUCCUACAAACACCGAUCCGAACGAGGUGGAAUACGUCGACCGUUAGGGCUGUCACUACCCUAAGGCUACCACAACAAUCCGCAGGAUUGGGUGCAAUUCCAGGUAAUUGCAAGACUAAACACCAUGUCUAAUCUAUUAAUUACUACUCUAGCGUUAUAAAAACUAGAGCACUUGAUGCAAGCGGGAAUCCAAUAAAUAACUUGAAUGUAAAUAAAAGUAAUUAAAGAACUCAGGAAUUGUGAAUUAAAGAACCUGGAGAACGAUGAAGAACGAACCAGAUGCUGCAAAAGUACAAUGUUGAGAAAGAUCCGACAGACCCGGCUCCUCCUCCGCUCUCCUCUUCUCUCUCCCUAUUUUCUAGAUUACAACUAGAACUAACUAGAACUAGAAUUAGAGGAACUAGAACUAGAACUAGAACUAGAUGAACUAGAACUAGAUCUAGAUGAACUAGAGGUAGAACUAGAAGAACUAGAGGGAUCCUCUCUACUUGGAUGAAGAAUGAAACCCUAGCAUUGAUUCUGUAGAAGAGGUAUGAUCUCCAGGGGCCAGGGGGCCUUUCUUAUAUAGUCUAUUCAAAUGAAUCUGGGCCGUCGGAUCAAACCGACAUUAAUCGCAUGGUUUUCCUUGAUCCUUUAGGUCGGUGGAGCGUGGUCUGCGAAUCGGGUCCGAUUUGGACACUGUAGCUGGGCGGGCGCCCUAAGGACUUGGGCAGGCGCCCUGUCCCUGAGUCCUCUCGGCCUCCGCUUCGUUCCCGUGGCUUCUGGAGUCUUCUAGGUGAUAGAAAAUUGCGUGGCACGUUAAUAUCUCUAUGUAAACCCGACGUGUGGGCCUUUCUUCCGUAUUUCCUGAUAACCCCUGUUGACGGUCCUUAAUGCUCACAUUUAACCAUCAAUUAAUCAUGGAAAAGGAUCUAAAUGCAACCAACACCUAGACUUAGGGUUUUAUCUGAUAGAAUUCUAUGAGUUUUGGUGUUUGUCUAUUUCUGCAGGUGGUUAUCAGGAAAUACGGAAGAAAGGCCCACACGUCAGGAUUACAUAGAGAUAUUAACGUGCCGCGCAAUUUUCUACCAUCUAGAAGACUCCAGAAGCCACGGGAACGAACGGGAAUGAAAUCGGGCUCGGAGGGAGGGCGCCCGCCCAACUCUCCUGGGCGCCCGCCCAGCUAUAGUGCCCAAUCAGGACACGUUUCGCGGAUCAUGCUCCACCGACCUAAUACUUCAAGGAAAACCACACGAUCAAUGUCGGUUUGAUCCAACGUUCCAGAUUCAUCUGGAAAGACUAUAUAAGCAAGGCCCCCUGGCCCCUGGAGAUCAUACCUCUUCUACAGAAUCAAAGCUAGGGUUUCAAUUCUUCAUCCAAGUAGAGAGGAUCUCUCUAGUUCUUCUAGUUCUACCUCUAGUUCAUCUAGAUAUCUAGUUCUAGUUCAUCUAGUUCUAAUUCUAGUUCCUCUAGUUCUAGUUCUAGUUAGUUCUAGUUGUAAUCUAGAAAAUAGGGAGAGAGAAGAGGAGAGCGGAGGAGAAGCUGGAUCUGUCGGAUCUUCCUCAACAUUGUACUUUUGCAGCAACUGGUUCAUUCUUGAUUGUUCUCCAGGUUCUUCAAUUCAUAAUUCCUGAGUUCUCUAAUUACUUUUAUUUACAUUCAAGUUAUUUAUUGGAUUCCCGCUUGCAUCAAGUGCUCUAAUCUUUGAAACAUUAGAGUAGUAAUUAAUAGAUUAGACGUGGUGUUUAGUCUUGCAAUUACCUGGAAUUGCACCCAAUCCUGCGGAUUGUUGUGGUAGCCUUAGGGUAGUGACAGCCCUAACGGUCGACGUAUUCCACCUCGUUCGGAUCGGUGUUUGUAGGACCGUAGUCGGAGCUUCCUAGCCCCCUUCUCAUCUCUUUCUGUGGUUAGUGUUCUAAUGUCCCGAUAUAGAUAAUCUUGAAGUAAUUCUUGAUUCUUAGAUCAACUAGAGAACUCUCAGGAAACUUCCUCUCUUCCCACCAAAAAUAAUUAUAUAGUUAUCCUUGGGCGAUCUUGGAUCUUAAUUAGUACACUCACGUUCCCUGUGGAAAAUCGAUACUCUGGAAUACUCCCGGGUGAAGGCUACAUCGGUAUCCGUGCGCUUGCGGAUUUUUCUGUUUGCGUUUAAAAUACCCAACAAGCUUUCUGGCGCCGUUGCCGGGGAACGGUAGCUGUGCUAGUUUCGAACCAAGUCGUCCGUGUAUCCUUUUUCUUUUCCUUUUUCACCACACUCACCUUAUCAUUUUCACCAUACCACAUGGAUUUCACUCGAAGCAUUAAUGAGCAUAGAAUUUAUUUCAUAGCCACUUUAUUUACUCCAUGCUCAUAUGCAACAUCUUCACAAUCCAUUUGUCUCUCCAACAUCACCACAUUCGAGAUCUCCAACCCCCACUUCCUUUCUAUUUAUAGAAACAUUAAAAGGGCGGUUGUCGAUGCAUAUGUCUAUAUCAAAUAUUGCAGAUCUCGUUGAGUUGAUCUUGAUAUAGGUCAGCGUUGGAGGGGGAACCACUUCGCUGACAUAAAUUGAUGGUUUCCCAAGGACAAGCUUAGUGUCCUAAAACAAGCACUGAUCAGAUUGUAACAUGAGCUUUUAAUUAUUUGCAACAUACCUUGUGUAUUGAGCAUAUAAGGAUAAUUGUAAAAAAUAUUCCUUCGGGUAUUCUUGUCACUAACCUUUCCAGGAUUGGAGCAAGAAGAUCGGAUGAAUGACAAGCACAAGGUAUGUCCAACCAAUCAUCAUACAACAUUUAAUUAAAUUCAUCCAAACUUGAAUUUUGCAAAAUUCAAGCUUGGGGGAGUACUUUACAUAAAAACAUUCUUUGCCAUGUUGCUAUGUUGGUUGUCCCUACCUUUGAGACAUGCUCAAUUUGUUAAAUAGUAAUCACACUACUUCAUCUCCACUUGAGUAGAUCUCUAUAAAAGCCAUCACGCUACCUUUGUUUAUCUUAGCAAGUGUUAGUUUGGAAGUACUGUACAUACUUCUAUUGGUUUUUAAAUUAAGCAUGGUGCUUAGGUUAAACAGCUUUCCUUAAUCUAAUUAGACAUGGAGUCUAGUUUGGUUAUUGAACUAAAAACUGCUUGUGUAGACAUUGGUAUAUUUUGUCAGACUAACCCCUGCAGAAAAAAAAGAAAACUUUCAAUAUCGACCUGGGAAGUCCUGAGAUAAACUCAUAUUGGAGACAAAGAGAGACACACAUGAAGUUUAACAAUUUACACAAGGAAGACAUAGCUCACAAGAGAUGAUCCAUGGAGGGUGCCACCAACACGAUGCAUAACCGCAAAGAAAGGAAAGCUUCCAUAAGGUAAUACUGUACCAUCACUCUUCAAGAAAGGUAACAUCUUAAGGUACUUGACUAUCACUUCUAUAAGCUUCUCCUUAUUUCUGGCAUUCACAUGAGUAAAAGAGACAAACAUGUAAGAUUUACAACUCUAGAUUAACCAACCCAAUCGAUUCAAUAUGUUUAGUCCUUCCACCUUUGUGAUCCCACACUCCUAAUCAUAUGAGCUAAAAUAUUGCACACUCAAUCUUUGGAAGAUAUAUAUAUAUAUAUAUAUAUAUAUAUAUAUAUAUAUAAACAUAAGUAUAGAUAGAUUAUCUUUCCAUUAGGUUGAGUGAUCUGAUCUAACAAAUGUUUUAAAUGCUACACUCAUGAUCUUAUUAUCCAUCAACUGUGUCUUGCUCACGAUGCUUAAGGAUAGAGAAGAGCAAAUACACUUUUGGUUCUAUUGGUGUUUUCCACCAACAGGGCCCAUGCACUUGAUCUCUGCCUUGUCUCUAUGAGCAGGUACACUUCAAGCAAGAUAUGAGGGACUUUUAUAACUCCCACACUCCACCAAGUGAAGAACCUAGAUCUACGAGCACAAACACACUGGAGAUAUUGGACACUCAGGCAAUCACUACCCUGAGAUGCUUGAGGACAUAACUACUGGAGUAACCCUGUUGUGGAAGUAAUUACUGACCUUCUGCCGGUCAAGAGAUACAACCCAGGACGUCCCGUCAUCCCGAUCUCCAUCGGCAUGGUGGACUUCCUAGAAGCACUCUGCAACUUUGGCUCCAGCGUCAACAUUAUGCUCCGGGUACUCUAUGAAAAAUUCAUUACACAUCCUUUCCUGGAAACAACCAUGUGUUUGCAGCUUGCAGAUCAGACACUAAGUUUCCCAAAGGGAAUAUUGAAGAACCUCUACGUCCGAGUUGGUACCUUAUACGCUCCAGCAGACUUCAUGGUGAUAGAGAUUGAUACUGAUGAGAGGGCACCCAUCAUCCUAGGGAGGCCAUUCCUGAACACCUCGGGAGCUGUCAUCUACGCUAGUGCUGCCAAGAUCAGUUUCUACAUCAAGGGAAGGACAGAGACAUUUUCCUUCAAGAACAAGACUACACAAAUCUUAGAGCAAUCCUGACAUGAACCAAGGAAGGACCAACAGGAGGAACAGGAACAAGCAAAUGUGGACCAAGUCAGCUAAGAUGGUCACUGCAGUUCAAGGAGGUCAACACCGUCGACUUAAGUCAUCGUUCCUGACCAAAAAGGACGACCCAGUCACCUAUCAGCUCCUAUUCGGAACCAUACCCCUGAAACCGACAUACAUUUAGCUCCAGAUGGCAGAUCAGACAUUCCGAAAGAUUGAAGACAAGUACGAUCCACCCAUCAUCCUCGGAAGACCGUUCCUCAGCACCGUUAAAGCAAUCAUCUACAUUGGAACUAGAGAAGUCCACAUGCAUUUCCCCUCUGAGAAGGUACGCCGCUAUUUUACUGACCCUAACUAUAUAGUUGAAGACUCUAAGCAGGUCAGGACAAGAAGAAGACGACGCAACCGUAACCAGAGGAGGCGAAUCAUCAAGGACGGAUGGGCAGACUACGAAGGAGAAGUAGUAAUGUCUGAAGACAUACAACUUGAACAGAACUGUCCUAAGGAGACCGUAGCACCGAGUUAGGUGUGCAGAGAGAAGAUAGUUAUACAUGAAGAGGAGGCACCGCCGGAACCACCGACUACGCCAUCUAGCAAAUCCCAGGACGACUCAGGAAACGGAGAGUCCCGUUCGGAGGACUUAAAAACACCGAACGCCUUGCCAAGAGGUAAACUUGGUAGUUAUAUUUUUUCUUUCAAUUAUUUAAAAUAGUUUGCUUAGUUAAUCAGGUUCACAUCAUCUUGAGAAGAAAAUAAAAAUGUUGAAGAUAGUAAGCCCCAUGUGAGUGUGCUCAUGGCAUAAAACCCAUAAGUACAUUCACUGUGGUGGCAUAAAAAUGAAAUAAAUAUAUUCCUGUCCUAUAAAAAUAAAAUUAUAAAAAUAAAAUUAUGAUCCUACUAAUGAGUAACAUUUAUUGAGGAGGCUCAACAUGAUAAAGGCUAUAUAUUUAUGCUAACACUUAACUAGUUCCACAAAGCUUUGUUGUUUAUUUGAGCUCCACAGAAUUCAAGGAUCAAAGAAGACUAGCAGACGAUGGACAUCCUAAUCGCUGUCAGGGUGCUGCCGACAUUCAAAUACACCUCCACCACCUGCUAGCUACAUCAGAAGAAAUUACAUCAAAAUCCAGCUUGGGGGAGAGCACUUCCAUUUAUCCAGCUAAGUGUUUCUACUCGCGAUUAUACUUUACUCAAAUAAUAAAAAGAUGCAUAAUCAUAAAAACCCAAAUAAAGAUUUUGUGCUUAUAUAUAUCUUUGCUUAGUUUGCUGAAUAAAUAAAUAAAUAAAUAAAGUUUGCUAUGAACCCUCAUGAUAAGCUCUGACAUGGAAAUGAUGAAUAAUUGCUCUGCCAUGGCUAGUUCUCAAAAUUGAAAUCUCUCUCAAGUUUAGGCAUGACUUGUAUUAGUUAAGAUUUGCUCUAAACCUGAACUUGUGGGGAGAGUACUUGAUUUGAAGUCUAAGUCGUUAACGGAUAUGAUAUGGGAAGGUUGAGCUACUAUUUAUCUGUUCCUAGAGAUGCUAGAAUUCUGGAGAACUUUAUCUUUGAAAAUCUUUAAAAUGUUGCAUGAUGAGUUCCUGUAUGAUGAGAGUUUAAAUUCCUACCACAGCCAUAUAUACAUGCUUGCUAGACUUUGAGCCACACAUUUACUUUUUACUGCUUAUGAGCAUUGAGUGUGGUCAUGCUGUGUAGACCCUUAGGAGCUUGUCAUGUGGUUAAGUCAAGAUUCAUUUGCACGUUCACUCACACAUGCUGCUUCUACUCCGGAAGUACGCAUCCACAUAUAUCUACCCAUUUCCAUCUCCAGAAUUACCUAAAAGUAUUCUACUCCUAAUCCGGGAGAGAAUAGCCAAAAACAUUUUCCUAUUUCUGUUUUCCCCUGUGAAAUAAAUGCUCAAGUUAUCUUGGUUACUACCACUUGCUAUAUUAUUUCAGGAGAUGAGUGCUCUAAAAAAAAGAGAGAGAAAAAAAAAGAAAAAAAAUACGAGGAAAUAAAAAGGGGCAAGUGCCCGGAACCUCGAGAGAAAGAAAAAGUGAGACGAGAGGUAAAAAUGGACAAGUGUCCGACAGUAGAAUUAAGGGUACAAGAUACCCACGUGAGAGAAAAAGAAAAUAUAGAGCAUCUCAUUCUCCUCAAAAAGUUUCAAAAGAGCAAGAAAGGUAUGUAUCCCCUCAAAAGAGCACAAGUAGAAUUAGACUUUCACCAUUGUUAUUACCAUCAUCACCAUACAUCAUUCAUUCGCCACACAUGCACAUCUUGAUUUGACUUAUGGACUUGUUCUUCUAGAUCCAUGGUUUGACUAUGCAAUAAAUGUCUUGUAAGUAUGUAUUAGCUAUCUCCCACCUAUGAGCUCCAGAUAUCAAAACCUUAUUAGAGUAGGGUGAGAGAGAAGGCAAUGCCACUAUGCCUCUUACCAAAAAUACUACAUACUUUGAGAGAAGGCAUAUACCAUUACUGCCUUGGUUAGGAUCCAGAAAUACCACAAAAGAGAGACUAGAGAGAGUCAUACAAGGAAUCUCUGAGUUUUAUUUGAAAAUCUGCAAAAACUCCAGAGCUAUAGUUAAUCGAAGAACAAGAGACAUGGUACUUGACUAGACUGUUCUAUCUUUUAACUACUCAAGACAGAAGUGGCGGUUACAAGUCCCAUGGUGAAAGGUAAAAUGAGUAAGUUAUAAAUCUUAACAGAUUACCCUAACCCAGAGAUGAGAUCUUGUUUGAACGAAUGUGUAUUUUUAAGGCAUAAAACCACUGCAGAAACUCUUGAGUCCAUCUUUGCUCAGGGACGAGCAAAGGUUAAGCUUGGGGGAGCUUGUUGAUGGUCCUUAAUGCUCACAUUUAACCAUCAAUUAAUCAUGGAAAAGGAUCUAAAUGCAACCAACACCUAGACUUAGGGUUUUAUCUGACACAAUUCUACGAGUUUUGGUGUUUGUCUAUUUCUGCAGGGGGUUAUCAGGAAAUACGAAAGAAAGGCCCACACGUCGGGAUUACAUAGAGAUAUUAACGUGCCGCGCAAUUUUCUACCAUCUAGAAGACUCCAGAAGCCACGGGAACGAACGGGAAGGAAAUCGGGCUCGGAGGCAGGGCGCCCGCCCAACUCUCCUGGGCGCCCGCCCAGCUACAGUGCCCAAUCAGGACACGUUUCGCGGAUCAUGCUCCACCGACCUAAUACUUCAAGGAAAACCACACGAUCAAUGUUGGUUUGAUCCAACGGCCCAGAUUUAUCUGAAAAGACUAUAUAUGCAAGGCCCCCUGGCCCCUGGAGAUCAUACCUCUUCUACAGAAUCAAAGCUAGGGUUUCAAUUCUUCAUCCAAGUAGAGAGGAUCCCUCUAGUUCUUCUAGUUCUACCUCUAGUUCAUCUAGAUCUAGUUCUAGUUCAUCUAGUUCUAGUUCUAGUUCCUCUAGUUCUAGUUCUAGUUAGUUCUAGUUGUAAUCUAGAAAAUAGGGAGAGAGAAGAGGAGAGCGGAGGAGGAGCCGGAUCUGUCGGAUCUUCCUCAACAUUGUACUUUUGCAGCAACUGGUUCGUUCUUCAUCGUUCUCCAGGUUCUUCAAUUCAUAACUCCUGAGUUCUCUAAUUACUUUUAUUUAUAUUCAAGUUAUUUAUUGGAUUCCCGCUUGCAUCAAGUGCUCUAAUCUUUGAAACAUUAGAGUAGUAAUUAAUAGAUUAGACGUGGUGUUUAGUCUUGCAAUUACCUGGAAUUGCACCCAAUCUUGCGGAUUGUUGUGGUAGCCUUAGGGUAGUGACAGCCCUAACGGUCGACGUAUUCCACCUCGUUCGGAUCGGUGUUUGUAGGACCGUAGUCGGAGCUUCCUAGCCUCCUUCUCAUCUCUUUCUGUGGUUAGUGUUCUGAUGUCCCGAUAUAGAUAAUCUUGAAGUAAUUCUUGAUUCUUAGAUCAACUAGAGAACUCUCAGGAAACUUCCUCUCUUCCCACCAAAAAUAAUUAUAUAGUUAUCCUUGGGCGAUCUUGGAUCUUAAUUAGUACACUCACGUUCCCUGUGGAAAAUCGAUACUCUGGAAUACUCCCGGGUGAAUGCUACAUCGGUAUCCGUGCGCUUGCGGAUUUUUCUGUUUGCGUUUAAAAUACCCAACAACCCCCUGCAGAAAUACACAAACACCAAAACUCGUGGAAUUCUGUCAGAUAAAACCCUAAGUCUAGGUGUUGGUUGCAUUUGGAUCCUUUUCUAUGAUUAGUUGAUGGUUAAAUGUGAGUAUUAAGGACCGUCAACAAGCUCCCCCAAGCUUAACCUUUGCUUGUCCCAGAGCAAAGAUGGACUCAAGAGUUUCUGCAGUGGUUUCAUGCCUUAAAAAAUACACAUUCAUUCAAAUAAGAUCUCAUCUCUGGGUUAGGGUAAACUGUUAAGAUUUAAACUUACUCAUUUUACCUUCCACCAUGGGGCCUGUAACUGUCACUUGUGUCUUGAGCAGUUAAAAGAUAGAAUGGUCUAGUCAAGCACCAUGUCUCUUGUUCUUCGAUUAACUAUAGCUCUAGAGUUUUUUUGCAGAUUUUCAAAUAAAACUCAGAGAUUCCUUGUAUGACUCUCUCUAGUCUCUCUUUUGUGGUAUUUCUGGAUCCUUACCAAGGCAGUAAUGGUGUAUGCCUUCUCUCAAAGUAUGUGGUAUUUUUGGUAUGAGGCAUAGUGGCAUUGCCUUCUCUCUCACCCCACUCUAAUAAGGUUUUGAUAUCUGGAGCUCAUAGGUGGGAGACAGCUAAUACAUACUUACAAGACAUUUAUUGUAUAGUCAAACCAUGGAUCCAGAAGAACAAGUCAAUAAGUCAAAUCAAGAUGUGCAUGUGUGGCGAAUGAAUGGUGUAUGGUGAUGAUGGUGAAAGUCUAAUUCUACUUUUGCUAUUUUGAGGUGAUACAUACCUUCCUUGCUCUUUUGAUACUUUUUGAGGAGAAUGAGAUGCUCUAUAUUUUCCUUCUUUUUUUUCUCUCAGGUGGGUAUCUUGUAUCCCUAAUUCUACUAUCGGACACUUGUCCAUUUUUACCUCUCGUCUCACUUUUUCUUUUCUUUCGAGGUUUCGGGCACUUGCCCCUUUUUAUUCUUUCACUUUUUCUUUUAUUCUUUCUUUUUUUUCUCUUUUUUUAUUAGAGCACUCAUCUCCUGAAAUAAUAUAGCAAGUGGUAGUAACCAAGAUAACUUGAACAUUUAUUUCAUAGAGGAAAACAGAAAUGUUUUUGGCUAUUCUCUCCCGGAUUAGGAGUAGAAUAUCUUUGAGUAGUUCUGAAGAUGGAAAUGGGUGGAUAUAUGUGGAUGCGUACUUCCGGAGUAGAAGCAGCAUGUGUGAGUGAACAUGCAAGUGAAUCUUGAUUUAACCACAUGACAAGCUCCUAAGGGUCUACACAGCUUGACCACACUCAAUGCUCAUAAGUAGUAAAGAGUAAAUGUAUGGUUCAUAGUGUAACAAGCAUAUAUAUAUAUGGCUGUGGUAGGAUUUUAUACUCUCAUCAUACAGGAACUCAUCAUGCAACAUUUUAAAGAUUUUCAAAGAUAAAAUUCUCCAGAAUUCUAGCAUCUCUAGGAACAGAUAAACAGAAGCUCAAUCUUCCCAUAUCAUAUCCGUUAACGACUUAGACUUUAGAUCAAGUACUCUCCCCACAAGUUUAGGUUUAGAGCAAAUCUUAAUUAAUAACAGUCAUGCCUAAACUUGAAAGAGAUUUCAAUUUUGAAAAUUAAUCAUGGCAGAGCAACUAUUCAUCAUUUCCAUGUGAGAGCUUAUCAUGAGGGUUCAUAGCAAACUUUAUUCUUUUAUUUAUUUAGCUAACUAAGCAAAGAUAUAUAUAUUUAAGCACAAAAUCUUUAUUUGGGUUUUUAUGAUUAUGCAUCUUUUUAUUAUUUGAGUAAAAUAUAAACGUGAGUAGAACAUUUAGCUGGAUAAAUGGGUGUGCUCUCCCCCAAGCUGGAUUUUGACGUAAUUUCUUCUGAUGUAGCUAGUAGGUGGUGGAGGUGUAUUUGAAAGUCAGCAGCACCCUGACAGUGAUUAGGAUGUCCUCCGUCUGCUAGUCUUCUUUGAUCCUUGCAUUCUGUGGAGCUCAAAUAGACAACAAAGCUUUGUGGAACUGGUUAAGUGUUAGCAUAAAUAUCUAGCCUUUAUCAUGUUGAGCCUCCUCAAUAAAUGUUACUCUCUUUAGUAGGAUCAUAAAUUUAUUUUUAUACUUUUAUUUUUAUAGGACAGGAAUAUAUUUAUUUCAUUUUUACGCCACCACAGAGAAUGUACUUAUGGGUUUUAUGCCAUGAGCAUACUCACAUGGGGCUUACUAUUUUUUAACAUUUUUAUUUUCUUUUCAAGAUGAUAUGAACCUGAUUAACUAAGCAAACUAUUGAAAAUAAUUGAAAGGAAAAAGAUAACAACCAAGUUUACAUCUUGGCAAGGCGUCCGGUGUUUUUUAAGUCCUCAAAACGGGACUCUCCAUUUUCUCAGUUGUCCUGGAAUUCGCUGGAUGGCGUAGUCGGUGAUUCCGGUGGCGCCUGCUCUUCGUGUAUAACUAUCUUCUCUCUACACACCUGACUCGGUGCUACGGUCUCCUCAGGACAGUUCUGUUCAAGCUGUAUGUCUUCAGACCUCACUACUUCUCCUUCGUAGUCUGCCCAACCAUCCUUGAUGAUUUGCCUCCUCUGGUUGCGGUUGCGUCGUCUUCUUCUUGUCCUGACCUGCUUCGAGUCUUUAGCUAUAUAGUUAGAGUCAGUAAAAUAGCGGCGUACCUUCUCAGAGGGGAAGUGCAUGUGGACUUCUCCGGUUUCAAUGUAGAUGAUUGCUUUAACGGUGCUGAGAAACGGUCUCCUAAGGAUGAUGCGUGGAUCAUACUUGUCUUCAACCUUUCGGAAUGUCUGAUCUGCUAUCUAGAGCUGAAUGUAUGUCGGUUUUAGGGGCAUGGUUCCGAAUAGGAGCUGAUAGGUGACUGGGUCGUCCUUUUUGGUCAGGAAUGGUGACUUAAGUUGAUGAUCUUGACCUCCAUGAACUGCAGUGACCAUCUUAGCUGACUCGGUCCACAUUUGCUUGUUCCUGUUCCUCCUGUUGGUCCUCUUCCUUGGUUCAUGUCGGGAUUGCUCUGAGAUUUGUGUAGUCUUGUUCUUGAUGGAAAACGUCUCAUUCCUCCCUCUUGAUGUAGAAACUAAUCUUGGCAGCACUAGCGUAGAUGACAUCUCCUGAGGUGUUCAGGAAUGGCCUCCCUAGAAUGAUGGGUACCCUCUCAUCAGUACCAGUCUCUAUCACCAUGAAGUCUGCUGGGGCGUAUAAGGUACCAACUUGGACACAGAGGUUCUUCAAUAUUCCUUUUGGGAAACUUAGUGUACGAUCUGCAAGCCUGGGCAUAAUGUUGACGCUGGAGCCAAAGUCGCAGAGUGCUUCUAGGAAGUCCACCAUGCCGAUGGAGAUCGGGAUGACAGGGCGUCCUGGAUCGCCUCUGAGUAGUUUGGCCUCUAUUGAUUCCAACCUUGAUUUUGUUGAGGACUGUUGUAGUAGUAGUAGUUGUUGAAGUAGUUUACGUCCUCAAGCAUCCCAGGGUAGUGAUUGCCUGAGUGUCCAGUAUCUCCAGUGUGUUUGUGCUCGUAGAUCUAGGUUCUUCACUUGGUGGAGUCUGGGAGUUGUAAAAGUCCUUUAUAUUUUGCUCGAAGUGUACCUGCUCAUAAAGACAAGGCAGAGAUCAAGUGCAUGGGCCCUGUUGGUGGAAAACACCAACAGAACCAAAAGUGUAUUUGUUCUUCUCUAACCUUAAGCAUAGUGAGCAAGACAAAGUUGAUGGAUAAUAAGAUCAUGAGUAUAACAUUUAAAACAUUUGUCAGAUCAAAUUGCUCAACCUAAUGGAAAGAUAAUCUAUCUAUAGUUAUGUUUUUUUAUAUAUAUAUCUUCCAAAGAUUGAGUGUGCAACAUUUUAGCUCAUAUGAUUAGGAGUGUGGGAUCACAAAGGUGGAAGGACUAAACAUAUUGAAUCGAUUGGGUUGGUUAAUCUAGAGUUAUAAAUCAUACAUGUUUGUCUCUUUUAUUCAUGUGAACGUCAGAACCAAGGAGAAGCUUAUAAAAGUGAUAGUCAAGUACUUUAAGAUGUUACCUUACUUGAAGAGUGAUGGUACAAUAUCACCUUGUGGAAGCUUUUCUUUCUUAGCGGUUGUGCAUCGUGUUUGUGGCACCCUCCAUGGAUCAUCUCUAGUGAGCUAUGUCUUCCUUGUGUAAAUUGUUAAACUUCAUGUGUGUCUCUCUUUGUCUCCAAUGUGAGUUUAUCUCAGGACUUCCCAGGUCGAUAUCGAAAGUUUUCUUUUUUUCUGCAGGGGUUAGUCUGACAAAAUAUACCAAUGUCUACACAAGCAGUUUUCAGUUCAAUAACCAAACUAGACUCCAUGUCUAAUUAGAUUAAGGAAGGCUGUUUAACCUAAGCACCAUGCUUAAUUUAAAAACCAUUAGAAGUAUGUAUAGUACUUCCAAACUAACACUUACUAAGAUAAACAAAGGUAGCAUGAUGGCUUUUAUAGAGAUCUACUCAAGUGGAGAUGAAGUAGUGUGAUUACUAUUUAACAAAUUGAGCAUGUCUCAAAGGUAGGGACAACCAACAUAGCAACAUGGCAAAUUAUGUUUUUAUAUAAAGUACUCCCCCAAGCUUGAAUUUUGCAAAAUUCAAGUUUGGAUGAAUUUAAUUCAAUGUUGUAUGAUGAUUGGUUGUACAUACCUUGUGCUUGUCAUUCAUCCGAUCUUCUUGCUCCAAUCCUGGAAAGGUUAGUGACAAGAAUACCCGAAGGAAUAUUUUUACAAUUAUCCUUAUAUGCUCAAUUCACAAGGUAAUAUUGCAAAUAAUUAAAAGCUCAUGUUACAAUCUAAUCAGUGCUUGUUUUAGGACACUAAGCUUGUCCUUGGGAAACCAUCAAUUUAUGUCGGCGAAGUAGUUUCCCCUCCAACGCUGACCUAUAUCAAGAUCAACUCAACGAGAUAUGCAAUAUUUAAUAUAGACAUAUGCAUCGACAACCGCCCUUUUAAAGUUUUUAUAAAUAGAAAGGAAGUGGGGGAUGGAGAUCUCGAAUGUGGUGAUGUUGGAGAGACAAAUGGAUUGUGAAGAUGUUGCAUAUGAGCAUGGAGUAAAUGAAGUGGCUAUGAAAUAAAUUCCACGCUCAUUAAUGCUUAGAGUGAAAUCCAUGUGGUGUGAUGAAAAUGGUAAGGUGAGUGUGGUAAAAAAGGAAAAGAAAAAGGAUACACGGACGACUUGGUUCGAAACUAGCACAGCUACCGUUCCCCGGCAACGGCGCCAGAAAGCUUGUUGGGUAUUUUAAACGCAAACAGAAAAAUCCGCAAGCGCACAGAUACCGAUGUAGCCUUCACCCGGGAGUAUUCCAGAGUAUCGAUUUUCCACAGAGAACGUGAGUGUACUAAUUAAGAUCCAAGAUCUCCCAAGGAUAACUAUAUAAUUAUUUUUGGUGGGAAGAGAGGAAGUUUCCUGAGAGUUCUCUAGUUGAUCUAAGAAUCAAGAAUUACUUCAAGAUUAUCUAUAUCGGGACAUCAGAGCACUAACCACAGAAAGAGAUGAGAAGGGGGCUAGGAAGUUCUGACUACGGUCCUACAAACACCGAUCCGAACGAGGUGGAAUACGUCGACCGUUAGGGCUGUCACUACCCUAAGGCUACCACAACAAUCCGCAGGAUUGGGUGCAAUUCCAGGUAAUUGCAAGACUAAACACCACGUCUAAUCUAUUAAUUACUACUCUAGCAUUAUAAAGACUAGAGCACUUGAUGCAAGCGGGAAUCCAAUAAAUAACUUGAAUGUAAAUAAAAGUAAUUAAAGAACUCAGGAAUUAUGAAUUAAAGAACCUAGAGAACGAUGAAGAACGAACCAGAUGCUGCAAAAGUACAAUGUUGAGGAAGAUCCGACAGACCCGGCUCCUCCUCCGCUCUCCUCUUCUCUCUCCCUAUUUUCUAGAUUACAACUAGAACUAACUAGAACUAGAACUAGAGGAACUAGAACUAGAACUAGAUGAACUAGAACUAGAUCUAGAUGAACUAGAGGUAGAACUAGAAGAACUAGAGGGAUCCUCUCUACUUGGAUGAAGAAUUGAAACCCUAGCUUUGAUUCUGUAGAAGAGGUAUGAUCUCCAGGGGCCAGGGGGCCUUUCUUAUAUAGUCUUUUUAGAUGAAUCUGGGCCGUCGGAUCAAACUGACAUUAAUCGCACGGUUUUCCUUGAUCCUUUAGGUCGGUGGAGCGUGGUCCGCGAAACGGGUCCAAUUUGGACACUGUAGCUGGGCGGGCGCCCUAAGGACUUGGGUGGGCGCCCUGUCCCUGAGUCCUCUCGGCCUCCGCUUCGUUCCCGUGGCUUCUAGAGUCUUUUAGAUGAUAGAAAAUUGCGCGGCACGUUAAUAUCUCUAUGUAAACCCGACUGUGGGCCUUUCUUCCGUAUUUCUUGAUAACCCCCUGCAGAAAUACACAAACACCAAAACUCGUGGAAUUCUGUCAGAUAAAACCCUAAGUCUAGGUGUUGGUUGCAUUUGGAUCCUUUUCUAUGAUUAGUUGAUGGUUAAAUGUGAGCAUUAAGGACCGUCAACACCAGCUAUCUUUGUGAAGAAGAAAGAUCAAUCUUUGCGCAUGUGUGUGGACUGUCGUCCCCUGAAUGCGGUGACCGUCAAGAAUAAGUAUCCUCUUCCUCGCAUUGAUAUCUUGUUUGAUCAGUUGUCUAAAAUGAAGGUAUUCUCCAAGAUCGAUUUGCGGUCUAGGUACCAUCAGAUCAGGAUCCGUCCUGAAGAUAUACCUAAGACAGCUUUCUCGACGAGGUAUGGGUUGUAUGAGUAUCUCAUCAUGUCUUUCGGUCUUACGAAUGCACGGGCACACUUCAUGUAUCUCAUGAUGUGUUUGCAGAUCAGUAAGAUGGCCGUUGGCUUCGUCGUCCCUGAGGUCAGACUUCCAUCUCAUCUGCUGUACCUUUUUUCUGCAUUCCUGUUCAUCUGCGAUUUAUCUUACCGAAUAUUCUCCUUCUCCUUUUUCUUUGUAUCUUUAUUCCCCAAAACACUAGGAGUUAUCCAACAAAAUUGUCAUUCCUACCGAUCAACCACAUCUUCAAUGCCUCGGCCCUCUAGGGGAUCCAGAUCCAACCGACCUUAUCAAUGCAGAAACCAACAGGAUUCCCUUUAGAGCUGAAAACUUUGCUUUAGAUCUAUGGAAGGACACCUUUCGCUCUUGGCCCAGCCCUACUGCAGGGUGGAAAGACUGGUUCUUGAGGGUCAGUAACUCUUAUGAAGUUCAAUGGGGUGAGAGGAAAUUAGCUCAAUGCAUUAGGCUGUCCAUUGCCGAUAUGCACAGGAACGAGUCAUUGCUGAUAGCUGCAUCUUACUUUUGGUCAGACACUCUCAAUGCUUUUGUUUUUGGCCACGGCCCUGCUUCUCCUACCCUUGCCGAUGUAGCCAUGCUUACUGGGUUAGAUAUAUCUUCCGCCGAUAGCACCCACUUUUUUGAUACCGCCCCCAGUGCCAAAGUGGAGACUCGCGCUACCGGCGGUUGGUCAGGGUACAUCCAGAAGUACCGCGGGAGAGGGCCUGUCACCAUAAAGGAGCAAACCACCUUUCUGAACAUGUGGCUAGACAAGUUUGUAUUCUGUGGUCGAUCGGCAGGACCGACUUCUGUCUAUCUAUCGGCAGCAGAAAGACUGGCUAGCGGUGGUCAAUUUCCUCUCGGCCGUUAUUUGCUCGGCGCUGUUUAUCACCUUCUUCAUCAGGUAGUCCAGAAACUCCUGCUCGGCCAACCUAUCGGCAACUUGGGAGGUCCUUGGUGGUUUAUUAAUAUGUGGCUCAAUUUGCACCUGCACAAGCGCCUCGAUCUCAACUUGUUCUCUCAGCACUUCCCAAGAGAUAUAGCCGAGAACCAUGUGUUGGGUGAAGAGGAAUCGGCAACACGUGCCCCCCUGAACUUUGGCGAAGCUGUUAUAGUUUUACCCGGUUCAGGGAACACUCCGGAUCAGAUCGGCCGAUUCUUCGAGACGUUGUAUGAAGGUCUGGCCAGAGAUGAACGACCAUGGCUGGCUUAUGACGACCCAGAUAGCAUGCUCCCUCUAACCUUCAAUCCGUUUGACGAAGCUCUUGAUAGGGACAAUGAGGUGAUGAUGGCAAUCGUGACUCCCAGAGCCAUACCAGUGAAUUUCUUCGGCAGCACGAAAACCUCUCCCCAAACCUAUGAAUUUUAUAAUCCAUCGGCAUUAGCUCGCCAGCUAGCUUUCGGCAAAUUGCCGAUCGCACUUCCUUAUGCCGAUGUAAUAAAGCCGAGAGAACCCAUCGCCAACCUCCUCGAGUGGACUCGAGUAGCCCAGCUACCACCAAAUGCCGAUACGGAUGUAGAUCUGUCAGAAUGGGUUCCAGCCGCCUUUAUCACCCAGGCAUACAAACUAUGGUGGACAGAAUGGAAAGAGAAUCUGUUCUGCAGAUCGGCCCUCUCAUACCGCGGCAUGAUCGACCCCGAAUAUGAAGUCCCUGAUGACACUGUAAGUAUUUUGAACUGAUGUCUCAUUUUCCAAUAUUACUCCCAUCGGUAACUUACCCCUGUAUUCCUUUUGCAGAUUGACAACACCCCCCCAUCAGUCAGCAGGAGUGGCAAGCCGAUCGACUUCUUCCCAUCAGGCCCGAUCUCCUCAAUCGGCCAUAAUGCUCCCACUCUGGCUUCCAUCGUGCACCGGGGUGCGCGUCUCAAGAAAGUUACCACCAGGAAAACUCCACCGGUAACUGCUUCCACUCUGGCGCAAGCUUUCAAGGCAAUCUGUUAAAACCUUUUUUCAUCUACGCUGACUAUCUUUGUAUCGGCUGUCUGUGCUCAUAAACUCCUUUUUGUUGUCGCAGCAAACUGGUGCAUCGGCGAAAGUCAAACGCCAAGGCGCCGAUGCCCCCCAGUCUAGCCAGCCAAAGAGGAAGGGCAUCCACGGUGCUAAGGCUGGAACAAAGCGCCAGAAAGUGGCAACUCCUCCUCCUCCUCCGGUGUUUUCAAUCCCGGUGGAAUCUUCCCCUUCUUCUCCAGACGUCCAGGCACAGCAAGUACUAUCUCUACAACCAACACAGGAAGCACCACAGAUGGAAGAACCCCAACAGGAAGAACCUCAAACGGCAGGUAUGUCAACUGAUGUAGGUGAACAAACAACUGGCCCGGCAGGUACAGUUACAUCAUCGGCGGUCUCCUCAAUUCAAACAACUGUUGUUUCUCCUCCGGGUAACAUAUCUCAACAAUACUCCUACUGAUAAACUUAUUCUCAUUUAUUCUUAUAAUCCUUCCUGCCUUCUUUCAGGCGAUAUCGUUCUAUCGGCAACAUUUGCCGAUCAACCUGCAGCUCCAUCGGCUUCUCUGAGUCAAAGGCAAGAAAUCGCCUUGAAGCAAGUAAGUCAUCCACUUUUCCAUCAGUAUCGUCUGCCGAAGUUUUGACCAUAAAAUUGACCUAUUUCAUUUUCAUUUUCAGGAACAAGAUUCUCCCAACAGCUUGUUCUCCUUCGCUAUUGAUAUCUUCGAAGAAGAAGGCGAGGAAGUAAGCUCCUCUCGGGCAGUUGGAAUUGUAUCGGCAGAAACCAGAGCUAAGCUGGAGGAGCUAUCGGCCAUACUUCAUCAAGACACAACUCAACUAGUCAACGAUUCUGACCCAGCCAAGGCCCUGUUCAAGACUCUUAGAGGCCAAAUUCCUGCCGAUGCUGAAGAAACACUCUUCCACGCUGCACAUCUAGAAAGCCGCCAGCUACAGUACCAGAGAGCUACUCGACGCCUUGCCGAUAGAGCUGCUCAAAUCCAGCUCUCUGAGGAGAUGAUGAAAGAAAAACUCUUAGCUGAUGAGAAACAUAAGAACAUCGGCACCUUAAAGUCCUCAGGUGAUGCACUGAAGCAGAAAGUGUCUGAUCUAUCGGCAAAAAGAGAAGCUCUGCUGGCUGAACUCAAGCAAGUAGAAGACGCUCUGUCCCAAGCCCAGCAAGAAGAGAGUCAACUGCCGGAGACCAUCAAGCAUCUUGAACAGGAACGAAACGUCCAUGGUCGCAAAGCGCUGCAACUGAAGAGGAAGUUGAAGCCGAUCGAAGGUUCUGCCGAUGAUGAUAUCAAAGAGAUAGAGACAGCCAACCAGAUUCGGCUGCGCGCCAUAUCCGCAAUCCAAGCGCUGCUGAACAUCUGAAGCUUUCAUCGGCGACACACCUUUGUCUCUCCGCUUUUAGCUUUUAGUCUAGCCGAUAAGACUGUUAUCGGCAUCUUUUGAAACAUUAAGUCUGCCUUUGAACAUUUAAAUCCAGCCGAUAGGAGUGUUAUCGGCACUUAAACUUUUAUGCGUCGAUCCAUAUGCUGGGGUAGUACUUCUUCAAAUAUUUGCCAUUUAAUGCUCUGGGAAAUUCAACUCCUUCGAGAGUUUCUAGAAUAUAGGCAUUACCAGGAGCUGAGUGUCUUAUCCGAUAAGGACCUUCCCAAUUAGGAGACCACUUCCCAAACUUUGAACUUUUAGUCCCGACUGGCAAAAUCAACUUCCAUACCAAAUCCCCAUCGGCAAACUCCUUAGCCUUCACUUUUUUAUCAUACCAUCUAGCAACUCUCUUCUUAUUUUCUUCUAUACUCAUUAAGGCCUUUAACCGAUGUCCCGCUAAAUCAUCUAACUCAUCGGUCAUCAAAGUGGCAUAAUCAUCGGCAGCCAAUUGAUCUUGAAAAGAUAAUCGCCUAGACCCAGCCUUAAUCUCCCAAGGCAACACCGCAUCAUGUCCAUACACCAAUUGAUAGGGUGACACCUUGGUUGAUCCAUGGCAAGCCAUCCGAUAAGACCACAGCGCUUCAUUUAACACUGUAUGCCACCGCUGUCACAGAACCGACCAAAUUAUAAGAGUUCAAGUGCAGAAACGAUCGUCAAACAAUCAAGUUUCUAGACUUGAGCCCAUAUAAUCCCGGUAGUCAAUCGAAAUCACGAAGGACUUCAAACCAACUCGCAACAAACCAAGAUCGUAAUAGUUCAACAUAAACACAACGAAUGUUACAUAGUCAUUCAUUGCCGUCGAAGCGGCACCACAUCGGAGUAUUAAGUUAUUACAACACAUGUUCGAAGUAGCGGAAGCAAAAUAAGUACACACACUUGUUUAAAGCUCAGUUCACAAGCUUGUUACUGCCAGAGUCUAGGUCAUCCUUCCAAAAGCAUCAUAGAUGAGAAGAUUAGAGAACCGUGCCCAACGGUUAGUCCUCAUCCCCAGCGGGAUGGAGACAGGUCUUGCAGAAACCGUCAUAGAAGAUAUCAUCUGCAACAGGUGGGAAUAAACCCUGAGUACGAGGAUGUACUCAGCUAGACUUACCCGUCUAGUAAAACACAAAAGACACCAAGGAUCAUGCAAGGCUACAUUUUAAGUGGAGCUGACUGACUCACCUUUUUGCCAAAAGCUUAACUUACAACUAAAUCAUUUUAAGAGCAUCAAUUUAUUUAUCAACAGCCUACCACUAGAUUAGCACCUGUACUACAACACAUCACUUGAUUAUUACAAACAAUAGUAACCAUAUCAAAAUUCAUCAUAUGUUCUUCAUGCUAUCAUUGUUAUCAUGAACCAAGUUUAUUAGUGAAUGCUACGUUUGCCGCUGCUCUGUCAAGUUCUCACUAACCGGGAGAGACGGCGAUUCGAAUCGAAUUCCUAUCCAGCUGGAGGUUUACUCCUAGCACUCACCCAAGCAUCCCCUGCCGGAGAGCCAACGGGUUACCUUUGGUACAACUCAGGAAUCGCGGCUCCGAUCAGCGCCGCACUCCCAGGGCUACCACUCUGCCAGGGAGGUCAGGAAUUUUAACUCACCUGCCUUUGGGCUUACGCCAAUGGUCCCCCGCACACCGCACUUCCUCCGGUAGUGCGCACUUUAUACUUGCCGGUCUUCCGGCCUGAGUCAUACUACUCGGCUUCGCGGUCGGAACGAGUUAUCCGGCCAACUAAGUGUCAGGCAUGCGUUCAACAUGACAAGAGGACGUACAACGAUCGGUCCUUAGCUGCCACAGACGGAGUUACUACACACUUGCAAAACUCCGCCCGGCUUAAGUCAAUUUGAUCAGGUUCCAUCCACGAUAGCACAUAUAGACCAUCGUGAUCCGACACAACCCUAUAUCGCGCGGAUGACAGGAUAUCACCCGACUUCUACCGGUUUAAGCAUGACUAAGCUGCUACUCGAUCCUAACUCUACAACCAGGGAGGGUAAGUUAUCUGGACAAGGAUAGAGUAGGAUGCAGCAACAGUUUCAUCACAACUCCUAUACGUAAUGCAUCAAUAGAUAUAACGUAUUAAGUAAACUUUCGAAAAUAGAGGAGGCUUAAAAUGCUCCGGGGCUUGCCUUUCACGAACGAUGCCGGCUCGUGACUUGGGCACUCAACUUCUUCUUCGGGCUCCUCGAGUCCGGCUUGCUGGACCUCCACCUCCUGGCUGCCUUCCUGGCCUUCGGGAUUCGCUUGGAGCUCGAAGGAAACUGCCACGUCCGGUGCACCUAUUGCAUGCUCGAUGAAUGAGAAAGUGCACAUGCUACAGAUGAAUGCUUAACAACACAAGCAACUCACUGGACACUCAUUUACGGAACAAGAGUUAUACUAACUCACAUGAAUAAACAAGUUAACAUAACCCAAAACCUAUCAUGGCACUAAAGCAGCAAGCAACAUAAACAAGUAUGCUCAGUAAAUAAAUCAUAAGUAUAGAUAGACAGGUCCAACAACAUGAGUGAGGACAUUCUGGAAAGCUUAGGAAAUUGUCUACAACUCAUCUUUAAACAUGACAGCAAGAUUCAAACAUUAAAUUAGUCUUUUUAACAAAGUUCCAGAUCCUGUUCCAGAAAAACAGAGAACCCCUAUUUCUGGAACCCAACUUGGAACAGCUAUAACUUUUAAACUACUUGGCCAAAUGACCUCAAAUUUAAACCACAGUUAGUUCAACAAGUUUAGAACAACUUUGUUUUAUAUAAGUUUCACAGAAAGUCAACUUAUCAUUAAGCAAAGUUAAAUUAUUCACUUGCUGUCCAAACAGCAUUUAACCCUAUAGUUAAUUAUUUAAUGACAUGAUCAAAGCAUAAACUAGGCCAACCAUAUGACUCAUGAGCACAAACAUAAUACAAGGUCACCAGAUCAUCAGUUGAAAACCCCAAAACAAUUACUUAACAAGGCAUUUAUUAAUUAAUUUUAGAUAAGGCAUAUUUACAAGAUAUUAGUUAAAGUGCUCAGAAAAAUCUACAAAAAUUACAGAGGCACAAGGAUAACAUCAGAUCACCACCAUAAAAAUUUCAGGACCAAUGCACAUACCAAAUUAAAGAUAUGCAUUUAACAUGUAUCAAGGCAUUUAUUUCAUAAAUUCAUAAACAUGACUUAUAUAAUGUCAAACAACAGAUUUCAGAUUAUUUACAUCUUAGGAAUACCAUAAACAAGUUUACCACCAAAAUAGAGCACCAGCAUAAGCACCAAUUAUUUUAUGUAAUUUAAUUAAAGAAACAAGCCAUAUUUCAAACACAAAUUACAUAUCACCACUGCAGUGCUCCAAAAAUCAUGAAAUAUUUAUCAGAGCACCCUAAUGCCAUGCAAAGACUACCAUAAAAUUUUCAAAGCAAACUAAGCAGUAUAACCAGAGAUAUGCAUUUAUCCAUAAAUAACAAGAUUAAAUCCUUAAUAAAUAAUUUCCCAGAAAACAUGAUUCAUUUUAUAUUUUUAUUAAAUACUAUCCAUCUCAAGAAACAACACAAAAUUUGUUUCACAAUUUUUGGAUCUCAGAAACAGGAGAUAUGAUUUUUGCAAGAAAGCCAAAAAUCAGGAUUUUGAAUAAAAGAAAAGGAGGGAAAGAGAGAGUCGCUGACAGGGGGUCCCACCCGUCAGGCUCUUCUUCCUCACGGCCGAGGCGAUCUUCGCCGGCGAUUUCUCCGCGACGGCGAGGUCUCCGGCCAAACCCAGGGCAUCAACGUGAUCCCCAAACCCUAACGACUCGAUUGACCCUACUUUUGCCACGGCGGAGCCACCGGAAGGAGCUCACCGUCGACAAUGGCGGCUCGGCGGAGGUGCUCGGCGUUACGCCGGAGUCCUCAGGCCGGUAGAGCGUGACCUAAGGCCUUCUACAGCACCAGCAGACUAAGGCGAAGCUCCCUAGGUACACGGCUUGGCCUGGAUCCCCGUGGAAAGCGCUGGCCACGAGAGGACCCAACUCCGGCGGAAGCACAGCGGCGCUGCGCACCGUGUCCGGCGACGGAGAACCCGGUAGAGCGUCCACCAGGUGGCGCAAAAGCUCGCUAAGGACCUAAGCUACCUCUAGGACCUAACCAAGGACGAUGAGAAGCCUCACAGCGCUCGGCAUUGAGUUCGCCGGAGAAGAGGGUCACGGCGGACCGAUUUGGGGGAAGAAAGAAAUGUCGGCUCACCGGUGGGUCUCUCGGCGAGUUAGAGGGUGGAGCUUGGAGAGCGGCUCACGGCGGAGCUUUGGGUGGAGUUUGGUGGACGGGGACGCAGAGAGGAGCGCACACGAGCUCGCCGGAGUGAGCUCGCGGCGGAGAGCUCGCUGCGGGCGAGGUUCAGGCGAGAGAGGGCGAGGCAGAGCGAAAUGGACGCGUCCACGCGCUCGGGGCGACGCCGUGGUGGUCAUGCACGCGACGAGAGCUGACAAGCGGGGCCAGGAACGGCGUACGGGCGCCAAAUGGCGACGGAGCGCUGCCGGCGGUCGGCCACGUCGACGAGGUCCAAGUCGAUUCAGACAGUGCAUCGACCGACUGACAGAGCGACUUCACCGGUGAUUAUCUCCCAAACCAGAGCGAAUUAGGAGAUGGCGUAGUUGACAAACUUGGAGUAUUAGACGAGAUCUACAACUUUGUCAACUAGAGCAAAGACUAGAUCGGCCUGGAUUGAAAGAUAUAGAGUUUCCAAAAUCGAUCACGCAAACUGCAAACCACCCGGGGACUUAGAAAAUUUCUAAGUGUGGAAAACAGCCCCAAAUCUGCCUUGUGGGCCACUUUUGAGCUAUUUGUGAUCAUUUUCAUGAGAUGGCCAUAAAACAACUUUUGUUCCUUAUAAAAUUUGCUACAACUUUGCUGUAGGAAGUUUUGACAUGCAAACAUUUUAUGAAACACUUUUUAAAAGCCUAAGCAAAAGAGGUUUCUAGGGUCUAUUUGAAUAAGUAUGACUUAAGUGAUUAUUUUGGAGAAGUGAUCAACAUGAACAUUGUUCCCAAGAUUAAGUCAAGCAUAGAUAAACUAUUUACCAAGGCAUUAAGCACAAACACAAGCAUUGUUCACUCAAACAUAAGCAUAGGAAGCCUAUUUAAGCAAUUUAAAACACAUUUUUGCAAAGGAUGACAUGUCUCAAGAUAGAUGAUGAUCAUGGAUGCUUUGAAUAAAAGAUGAUGCUCAUGCUAUGCACAUGUUUGAUGUAACCAUAACACUGGGGUGUUACAGCCCUCCCCCCUUACAAAAAUCUCGUCCCGAGAUUUGAAAGCUUACUGAUUUUCGAAGAAGGUUUUGUAGACUUCUUUUAAAUAAUCCUCCGUCUCCCAAGUGGCAUCUUCUUCCCCGUGGUUGCUCCACAACACCUUGUAGAGUUUAACCACACGAUUACGCGUUUCUCGUUCCUUGCGAUCAAGAAUCGCUACGGGUUUCUCCUCAUACACCAAGUCUGAUUUUAACUUGAUAUCUCGAAUUUCCACUCGUUCCUCCGGUAUACGAAGGCACUUCUUCAGUUGUGAUACGUGGAAAACAGGGAAGAUAGCUCGAAGCGCAACUGGGAGUUGAACUUUGUAUGCCACAUUCCCUUUCUUUUCGAGAAUCCGAUAAGGUCCCACAUAGCGAGGCGCAAGCUUUCGCUUGACUCCAAAUCUUUGUACACCCUUCAUCGGAGACACCUUGAUGUACACAUGGUCACCAACUGAAAACUCAAUCGGCUUCCUUCUCUUGUCAGCAUAACUUUUCUGACGAGCUUGAGCAGCUUCCAGGUGUUGCUGGAUAACACGGACUUUCUGCUCCGCUUCGUUCACGAAAUCGAUGCCGUAGUAUCUUCGCUCUCCAGCUUCUACCCAAUUCAACGGGGUUCGACACUUUCGACCGUACAAGGCUUCAAAUGGAGCCAUUUUAAUACUCUCCUGAUAACUGUUGUUGUAGGAGAACUCAGCUAAUGGCAACCACUUGACCCAAGAACCUUUUGACGAGAGAGCACAUGCCCUCAACAUAUCUUCAAGGAUCUGGUUAACUCGUUCAGUUUGACCUGCUGUUUGGGGAUGAUAAGCAGAACUGCGGACCAAGUGAGUACCAAUCUGCUCAUGAAGACAUUCCCAAAAACGAGCAGUGAACUGUGGCCCACGAUCAGAUAUGAUUGUUCGAGGCACACCAUACUGACGAACAAUGUGCUCGAAAUACAACUCCGCAUACUGAUGGGGACGAUAAUCAGUUCGGACUGGAAUAAAUCGAGCAACCUUGGUCAAACGAUCCACAACCACCCAGAUAGAGUCAUAACCCUUAACAGAAGUUGGGAGUCCACUGAUGAAAUCCAUGCUGACUUCUUCCCAUUUCCAACCAGGAAUUGGCAAGGGUUGAAGUAAACCAGCUUUCAUGUGAACAGCCUUCACACGACAACAAUUGUCACAGCGAGCGACGAAAGCCGCUAUCUCCUUUUUCAUCUUUGUCCACCAAAACAAAGGUUUCAGAUCCUGAUACAUCUUGCUACUACCAGGAUGGAUAGACAUUUUGGAUGAAUGAGCUUCAGAUAGGAUCUGAUUUCGCAGCUCGCGAUCUUUUGGGACCACAAGUCGAUCCUUGAACCAAAGGAUUCCGUUUUCAUCAACUCGGAAAUGCUUGGUUUCUUCUUCUUUCAUCUUCCUCUUGAUAUGGUAGAUGCCUACAUCUGUUUGCUGCAAUUCGAUGACUCGAUUGCGAAUGGUACUUUCCAGAGAAAUCUGGUUGAGCACAAGUGGAUGCAUAAGAUGUGACAACAACGGAUCUUCCACUUGGAUUGAGUGACAGUGCGCUUUCCGACUCAAGGCAUCCGCCACCACGUUUGCCUUGCCCGGAUGAUAGUGCACUUGGAGAUUGUAGUCCUUAAUCAACUCAAGCCACCUUCACUGCCGCAUGUUCAGUUCAGGUUGAGUGAAGAUAUACUUGAGGCUCUUAUGAUCGGUGUAGAUAUUACACAGAUUACCCAGCAAAUAAUGCCUCCAGAUUUUCAAAGCAUGAACAACUGCUGCCAAUUCUAAGUCAUGAGUGGGGUAAUUGACCUCAUGCUUUCGAAGUUGGCGCGAGGCAUACGCGAUAACUCGACCUUCCUGCAUCAAUACACAGCCUAAACCAAUGCCUGAUGCGUCGCAAAAGACAUCGAAAGGCUUCUCGAUAUCAGGUUGAGCUAGGACAGGAGCUGAUGUCAACAGUGUCCUUAACUUGUGGAAUGCCUCUUCACACUUAGGUGUCCACACAAACUUCUCAUCUUUCUGAAGUAGACGAGUCAUAGGCUUGGAUAUUUUGGAGAACUCCGGAAUGAAUCGACGGUAAUACCCAGCCAGACCAAGAAAACUCCGAACCUCGUGUACCGAAGUUGGAACUUUCCAAUCCAGCACCUCUUGCACCUUAGCCGGAUCUACUGAUAUGCCUUCUUCAGAUAAGACAUGGCCCAAGAAAGGUACUUUCUUUAGCCAAAACUCGCAUUUGCUAAACUUAGCAUAAAGCUGAUGUUCGCGCAAACGCGACAACACGACACGCAGAUGCUCUGCAUGCUCCUCUUCAUUGCAAGAAUAUACCAAGAUAUCAUCAAUGAAGACCACCACAAACUUGUCCAAUUCGGGCAUGAACACCGAAUUCAUAAGAUACAUGAAAUGAGCAGGUGCAUUCGUAAGCCCGAAGGACAUGACAAGGUACUCAUACAACCCAUACCUCGUCGAGAAAGCCGUCUUAGGUAUAUCUUCGGGACGAAUCUUGAUCUGAUGGUACCCAGAUCGCAAAUCAAUCUUGGAGAAUACCUUAGCUUUAGACAACUGAUCAAACAAGAUGUCAAUGCGAGGGAGAGGGUAUUUGUUCUUGAUAGUCACUGCAUUGAGGGGACGAUAGUCCACACACAUGCGCAAAGACUGAUCCUUCUUCUUCACAAAGAUAGCCGGACAACCCCAAGGAGAAGAACUAGGACGAAUAAGACCCUUCUGCAACAACUCAUUUAGUUGGGUCUUAAGCUCAGCUAAUUCAUUGGGCGGCAUCCUAUAAGGUCUUCUAGAGAUCGGAGCGGUGCCUGGAAUCAAUUCAAUUUUAAACUCCACAUCCCGAUCCGAAGGAAGCCCGGGUAGAUCAUCAGGAAAAACAUCCGGAAACUCACACACCACCGGAAUAUCCUGAAUAGCCUUAGAGGUAACUGCAUUCACAGUGCUACGGAUUUGGAUAUCACGAGGGAGUUGCACUAGAAAUGCCUCCUUGGUAUCUGGGUCUUUCAACAUCACUACGCGAGUGGUGGUGUCAAUAAGAACUCCAUUACCACUCAUCCACUUCAUCCCCAGAAUUACAUCUAUGCCCACACCGGGUAAAACAACCAGAUCAGCAAGAAACUGACGGCCUCCUAUCUCCAGAGUUGCCCCUAAAACCACUCGAUUGGUGGAAAUAUCAUUUCCCGCAGCACUAAUACAAUAACUGCCCUUAUCAAGUGUGAUGGUCUUGAUGCUAUGCUUAGAUAUAAAUUCAGAACUCACAAAGGAAUGCGAUGCUCCAGAAUCAAAAAGCACGAGUGCAUCAUGUUGGUUGACCGGAAACUUACCAGCCGUGACUACCUCACCAGCAGGGAUUGCCUCCACAGUUGUGUAAUGAACACGCCCCUGACGGACGUUCCCCUGGUUGCCCUUCUUUGGCGGGUAAGGACAGUUGCUCUGCCAAUGCCCGGUCUGAUUGCAGUUCCAGCACGGACGGUUGGCAGGUGGAGUCUUGGCAUAGUUGGGGCCCGUGUUGCCCCUAGGAAGAGCAAUAGAGUACCCCUUGCGAAAACCCGUCUUUGCCUGAUUCUUCUUCAUUGGAGGGCGGUAUCGCUGGUUGGGGGUUGGAGCACGGAAUGGUGGCUUAGCUGCCACUGGAGCCUUGGACUGAGAUGAUCCUGCCCCGGCCUCAAAAGCCCUCUUGCGAGUCUUGGUCGCAGUGUACACAGUGUUAUAAUUCUCUUGAGUAAGAGCAUCACUGACAAACUCAUUGAAAGUUGUACACCUAGUGCGGCCCAUAGUCUUCAGCAAUUUGGGACCCAAACCCCGCUUGAAACUAGCGAUCUUUUUCGUCUCCGUGUUCACAAACUCAGGAGCAUACCUAGACAAGUGAUUGAAAGCAUGCAAAUACUCCUUCAGAGUCUUGUUGCCCUGAGUCAGCUGCAUGAACUCGGUGUGUUUCAUCUCCAUAACACCCGGAGGAAUGAAAUGCCCUUUGAAAGCAUCGCGGAAAAGAUUCCAAUCGAGCACGGUGUCGGCUGGAAGAGCUUCCCGAUACUGGUUCCACCAGAUGCCUGCCGGCCCUUGCAGUUGAUGAGCUGCAUACUCCGCCUUCAAACCUUCAGUCAAACGAAGUAGGCGAAACUUUUGUUCCACCGUAUUCAGCCACUCUUCAGCUUGAAGGGGUUCCUCAGCUUCUCUGAAAGGUGGGGGCUUCGUAUCCAUGAAAUCCUUGAAGCUACUAUACUGGUUAGGAGCUGGCCCUUCUUGUGCAUUACGGCCACCCUGAUUUGCCAUCCGAGUGAUGGUCUCAGUGAGCAUCCUCUGGUUUUCCACCAUCAUUUGCAUCAGUUCAGCUGGGUUUGGUAGUGGAGGAGGAGGUGGUGGAUUCAUGUUUGCACGCUGUUCCGCACCCCGGGUGCCACGAGACAUCUGUAAAGACACAGUCAGUGAGCAUUGAUGAUGACAAGAUUUGCCGUAGAAGAACUUAUAUUCAUGCCUGAAAGUAUUCGAGAGAAUAGCUUUACAGAAAGGCACAACAAUUCCAUUCCACAAAACAACAUCACCAAUCCAACACAUGACAUAGAUAUCCGCAAUACGCACCACAACGGAAAACAUCGGCAUAACAUAACGAUCAUAAAGACUGCACAUAAGGUCCAUGAAGUUAUUACACCCUUUCAGUACAUGUCAUGAGUCAAGGUCAAAGUUUCGGAUUACAACAUGGUUACAAAAGCACCAUAACCGACUGGCAUACAACCAAAAGAUCCUGGCAACAACUACUCACUACUCCCUACACUCCAGGCUCGUCGUCCGAAUCAGCGUCGAAGAUCGCCUCUCCAUCCUCGUCGCUAACCGGCUCAAGCUCCUCGUCUUCCACGUCCUCGUGUAAAGGUGGUGCAGCCGCUGCUGGUCCAUCAACCUCCAUACCAUCAUCAUCGGCCACAAUCACCUGAGGUCCAACCUCUGGAUACACGGGUAUAGGGCGAGGAAUAGGGUGUAGCAAGUUGUUGAGACGGUGAAUCUCCACAAGACCAGCCUCAAUCUGACCCUGUAGAUAGUUCUCCCGCUCAAGCGACUGAACUCGGUGCAUCUCCCAUGCUCGGCGCCUGUUCUCCGACACACGGAGUGCAGUAUCCCUCUCACGGGUGAGCUGCACCAAGCGCUCCUGCAAGGUCUCCCUCUCUCGAGCUAACUGGCUCAUCUGAUCCUGCUUAUGAUCUCUCUCCCUGAUGGCCUUCACCCACUGCUGUCUACGGUACUCCGCUAUGUCCUCCCAGUCAUUGCGGUCCUUCUGAGUCUGCUCCAGGAGUCUAGCUUGUUUGCGAAACUUGCGAGCACGCUUUUCAGCCUUCCGCUGCAUCUCCUGAGCCCUGCGAACAGCCACCAUCACCUGUGCAUAGGUGCCCUCUCGCUGACUGAUCAGCUUGAGUACAGCCAUCAUAGCACUCAUAGCAGGACUAGAGCUCUCAGCUCUCUCUCCUCUACCUCGAACCAAAGCACAACCAUCAGCCUGUUUCCACUCCGCGGCUGCUGGGUCAGCACUAGGAAUGGAGGCCGCUGGUCCUCCUGUCAGCUCGUCACCACACCUCUGACAGAUGUCGAGCAGGAUAGCCUGGGCUGCAACCUGAGCUGCCUCCCAAGGAGUCUGCCCAUCUGAGCUGCAAUUCCAGCCUGUCCAUGCAGGCUUGUCCCCAUGUGGAGGGACAACUCCCUGCACAGCAAACCACUGGAUCCCUCCUGCACUCUCCACCUCCCACCAAGAAUACUGAGGUGGCUCAGUAUACCCAACAGUCCGUAACACUCUCCAGAGCAGGGUAGGAGUACCAAACUCGUGCAAGAAAGUGUCACUGGGACGAGGUGAAGCGGGUGCGUCCAUCUGUGGAAAGGAAUAGGAGUGCCAUGGGUAAAAGAGGAUUAGUUGAAGCACAUUUAUUUAUUUAAAAAGGGACGAAAUUGUAAGGGAAGAAACGGACAGAAUGUAUGUAUGAAUGCGACAUGAUGCAUGCACGAACCGUACGUCCUCACAAACUUAGAAAAUUAAUAUUCUAACAGAUAUACGGUAGCAUACAUUCGUCUCUCGAUACGGUAACUAUCGGUUUACACGUGCGCUGUUAGAGUACCUGCAGAAAACUUCAUUUCAGCCCAACAGUUCCCAAUAUAUCACUCAAGAAAGCAGUAAACUAAGUGCUCAUUGCUUGGACAUGCCCAACAUGUCCCAACAAUGACACCACAACUACCCGAGAAAUUAAUAUACUCCCCAAUUAAGUUUCCUUCGUGGUUCCAUGGUUUCGACAUGUAACCAUUCCAGAAAACCACCGCGAACACUCCCCUAGACCGCCGUUUGGACGAUCAUGCUCUCACAGCUCACACUUACCAGAGCGUAGGUGCGACGUUGCAUAAUUUUAAAUCUAGCGACAUAUGUGGCUAAUUCACAUAUGAAGGCUACCUCCACCAUUAGACCACAGGGUAGCAUAGUGCGGUCAUCACACAUCCAUACCUGAGUACUGCCGGAGAUGCAUAAAUAAAACCCCCCAAGUCAGUACUUAAAUAGCCACCUAAAGUCCUUAUAUGGGCAAGGAGGAUUCGACCACUGGCAUAACUUAAUUAUUUGUUUUACACCAUUUUAUUUAAAAAUUCUUUUGUUUUAAAUACACAAACGCUGCAUUUAUGAUGCUGAACUUGCUCCGAUGCCAGCUGUCACAGAACCGACCAAAUUAUAAGAGUUCAAGUGCAGAAACGAUCGUCAAACAAUCAAGUUUCUAGACUUGAGCCCAUAUAAUCCCGGUAGUCAAUCGAAAUCACGAAGGACUUCAAACCAACUCGCAACAAACCAAGAUCGUAAUAGUUCAACAUAAACACAACGAAUGUUACAUAGUCAUUCAUUGCCGUCGAAGCGGCACCACAUCGGAGUAUUAAGUUAUUACAACACAUGUUCGAAGUAGCGGAAGCAAAAUAAGUACACACACUUGUUUAAAGCUCAGUUCACAAGCUUGUUACUGCCAGAGUCUAGGUCAUCCUUCCAAAAGCAUCAUAGAUGAGAAGAUUAGAGAACCGUGCCCAACGGUUAGUCCUCAUCCCCAGCGGGAUGGAGACAGGUCUUGCAGAAACCGUCAUAGAAGAUAUCAUCUGCAACAGGUGGGAAUAAACCCUGAGUACGAGGAUGUACUCAGCUAGACUUACCCGUCUAGUAAAACACAAAAGACACCAAGGAUCAUGCAAGGCUACAUUUUAAGUGGAGCUGACUGACUCACCUUUUUGCCAAAAGCUUAACUUACAACUAAAUCAUUUUAAGAGCAUCAAUUUAUUUAUCAACAGCCUACCACUAGAUUAGCACCUGUACUACAACACAUCACUUGAUUAUUACAAACAAUAGUAACCAUAUCAAAAUUCAUCAUAUGUUCUUCAUGCUAUCAUUGUUAUCAUGAACCAAGUUUAUUAGUGAAUGCUACGUUUGCCGCUGCUCUGUCAAGUUCUCACUAACCGGGAGAGACGGCGAUUCGAAUCGAAUUCCUAUCCAGCUGGAGGUUUACUCCUAGCACUCACCCAAGCAUCCCCUGCCGGAGAGCCAACGGGUUACCUUUGGUACAACUCAGGAAUCGCGGCUCCGAUCAGCGCCGCACUCCCAGGGCUACCACUCUGCCAGGGAGGUCAGGAAUUUUAACUCACCUGCCUUUGGGCUUACGCCAAUGGUCCCCCGCACACCGCACUUCCUCCGGUAGUGCGCACUUUAUACUUGCCGGUCUUCCGGCCUGAGUCAUACUACUCGGCUUCGCGGUCGGAACGAGUUAUCCGGCCAACUAAGUGUCAGGCAUGCGUUCAACAUGACAAGAGGACGUACAACGAUCGGUCCUUAGCUGCCACAGACGGAGUUACUACACACUUGCAAAACUCCGCCCGGCUUAAGUCAAUUUGAUCAGGUUCCAUCCACGAUAGCACAUAUAGACCAUCGUGAUCCGACACAACCCUAUAUCGCGCGGAUGACAGGAUAUCACCCGACUUCUACCGGUUUAAGCAUGACUAAGCUGCUACUCGAUCCUAACUCUACAACCAGGGAGGGUAAGUUAUCUGGACAAGGAUAGAGUAGGAUGCAGCAACAGUUUCAUCACAACUCCUAUACGUAAUGCAUCAAUAGAUAUAACGUAUUAAGUAAACUUUCGAAAAUAGAGGAGGCUUAAAAUGCUCCGGGGCUUGCCUUUCACGAACGAUGCCGGCUCGUGACUUGGGCACUCAACUUCUUCUUCGGGCUCCUCGAGUCCGGCUUGCUGGACCUCCACCUCCUGGCUGCCUUCCUGGCCUUCGGGAUUCGCUUGGAGCUCGAAGGAAACUGCCACGUCCGGUGCACCUAUUGCAUGCUCGAUGAAUGAGAAAGUGCACAUGCUACAGAUGAAUGCUUAACAACACAAGCAACUCACUGGACACUCAUUUACGGAACAAGAGUUAUACUAACUCACAUGAAUAAACAAGUUAACAUAACCCAAAACCUAUCAUGGCACUAAAGCAGCAAGCAACAUAAACAAGUAUGCUCAGUAAAUAAAUCAUAAGUAUAGAUAGACAGGUCCAACAACAUGAGUGAGGACAUUCUGGAAAGCUUAGGAAAUUGUCUACAACUCAUCUUUAAACAUGACAGCAAGAUUCAAACAUUAAAUUAGUCUUUUUAACAAAGUUCCAGAUCCUGUUCCAGAAAAACAGAGAACCCCUAUUUCUGGAACCCAACUUGGAACAGCUAUAACUUUUAAACUACUUGGCCAAAUGACCUCAAAUUUAAACCACAGUUAGUUCAACAAGUUUAGAACAACUUUGUUUUAUAUAAGUUUCACAGAAAGUCAACUUAUCAUUAAGCAAAGUUAAAUUAUUCACUUGCUGUCCAAACAGCAUUUAACCCUAUAGUUAAUUAUUUAAUGACAUGAUCAAAGCAUAAACUAGGCCAACCAUAUGACUCAUGAGCACAAACAUAAUACAAGGUCACCAGAUCAUCAGUUGAAAACCCCAAAACAAUUACUUAACAAGGCAUUUAUUAAUUAAUUUUAGAUAAGGCAUAUUUACAAGAUAUUAGUUAAAGUGCUCAGAAAAAUCUACAAAAAUUACAGAGGCACAAGGAUAACAUCAGAUCACCACCAUAAAAAUUUCAGGACCAAUGCACAUACCAAAUUAAAGAUAUGCAUUUAACAUGUAUCAAGGCAUUUAUUUCAUAAAUUCAUAAACAUGACUUAUAUAAUGUCAAACAACAGAUUUCAGAUUAUUUACAUCUUAGGAAUACCAUAAACAAGUUUACCACCAAAAUAGAGCACCAGCAUAAGCACCAAUUAUUUUAUGUAAUUUAAUUAAAGAAACAAGCCAUAUUUCAAACACAAAUUACAUAUCACCACUGCAGUGCUCCAAAAAUCAUGAAAUAUUUAUCAGAGCACCCUAAUGCCAUGCAAAGACUACCACAAAAUUUUCAAAGCAAACUAAGCAGUAUAACCAGAGAUAUGCAUUUAUCCAUAAAUAACAAGAUUAAAUCCUUAAUAAAUAAUUUCCCAGAAAACAUGAUUCAUUUUAUAUUUUUAUUAAAUACUAUCCAUCUCAAGAAACAACACAAAAUUUGUUUCACAAUUUUUGGAUCUCAGAAACAGGAGAUAUGAUUUUUGCAAGAAAGCCAAAAAUCAGGAUUUUGAAUAAAAGAAAAGGAGGGAAAGAGAGAGUCGCUGACAGGGGGUCCCACCCGUCAGGCUCUUCUUCCUCACGGCCGAGGCGAUCUUCGCCGGCGAUUUCUCCGCGACGGCGAGGUCUCCGGCCAAACCCAGGGCAUCAACGUGAUCCCCAAACCCUAACGACUCGAUUGACCCUACUUUUGCCACGGCGGAGCCACCGGAAGGAGCUCACCGUCGACAAUGGCGGCUCGGCGGAGGUGCUCGGCGUUACGCCGGAGUCCUCAGGCCGGUAGAGCGUGACCUAAGGCCUUCUACAGCACCAGCAGACUAAGGCGAAGCUCCCUAGGUACACGGCUUGGCCUGGAUCCCCGUGGAAAGCGCUGGCCACGAGAGGACCCAACUCCGGCGGAAGCACGGCGGCGCUGCGCACCGUGUCCGGCGACGGAGAACCCGGUAGAGCGUCCACCAGGUGGCGCAAAAGCUCGCUAAGGACCUAAGCUACCUCUAGGACCUAACCAAGGACGAUGAGAAGCCUCACAGCGCUCGGCAUUGAGUUCGCCGGAGAAGAGGGUCACGGCGGACCGAUUUGGGGGAAGAAAGAAAUGUCGGCUCACCGGUGGGUCUCUCGGCGAGUUAGAGGGUGGAGCUUGGAGAGCGGCUCACGGCGGAGCUUUGGGUGGAGUUUGGUGGACGGGGACGCAGAGAGGAGCGCACACGAGCUCGCCGGAGUGAGCUCGCGGCGGAGAGCUCGCUGCGGGCGAGGUUCAGGCGAGAGAGGGCGAGGCAGAGCGAAAUGGACGCGUCCACGCGCUCGGGGCGACGCCGUGGUGGUCAUGCACGCGACGAGAGCUGACAAGCGGGGCCAGGAACGGCGUACGGGCGCCAAAUGGCGACGGAGCGCUGCCGGCGGUCGGCCACGUCGACGAGGUCCAAGUCGAUUCAGACAGUGCAUCGACCGACUGACAGAGCGACUUCACCGGUGAUUAUCUCCCAAACCAGAGCGAAUUAGGAGAUGGCGUAGUUGACAAACUUGGAGUAUUAGACGAGAUCUACAACUUUGUCAACUAGAGCAAAGACUAGAUCGGCCUGGAUUGAAAGAUAUAGAGUUUCCAAAAUCGAUCACGCAAACUGCAAACCACCCGGGGACUUAGAAAAUUUCUAAGUGUGGAAAACAGCCCCAAAUCUGCCUUGUGGGCCACUUUUGAGCUAUUUGUGAUCAUUUUCAUGAGAUGGCCAUAAAACAACUUUUGUUCCUUAUAAAAUUUGCUACAACUUUGCUGUAGGAAGUUUUGACAUGCAAACAUUUUAUGAAACACUUUUUAAAAGCCUAAGCAAAAGAGGUUUCUAGGGUCUAUUUGAAUAAGUAUGACUUAAGUGAUUAUUUUGGAGAAGUGAUCAACAUGAACAUUGUUCCCAAGAUUAAGUCAAGCAUAGAUAAACUAUUUACCAAGGCAUUAAGCACAAACACAAGCAUUGUUCACUCAAACAUAAGCAUAGGAAGCCUAUUUAAGCAAUUUAAAACACAUUUUUGCAAAGGAUGACAUGUCUCAAGAUAGAUGAUGAUCAUGGAUGCUUUGAAUAAAAGAUGAUGCUCAUGCUAUGCACAUGUUUGAUGUAACCAUAACACUGGGGUGUUACAACCGCCUAGGAUUUUCUUCAAUCUUUCGCUUAAUAAGCUUGAUAAUUCCUUUGUUAGACGCUUCGGCCUGCCCGUUGGCUUGAGCAUAGUAAGGAGAAGAAUUCAACACCUUAAUUCCCAUACCGAUUGCGAAUUCAUCGAACUCCCCUGACGUGAACAUGGUGCCCUGAUCGGUAGUAAUCGUUUGGGGAAUCCCAAAUCGGUAAAUAAUAUGCUCCCUCACAAAAUCAAUCAUAUUGGCCGAUGUGACUUUCUUCAAGGGAAUAGCUUCGACCCACUUAGUGAAAUAAUCAGUGGCAACUAGAAUGAACUUAUGCCCUUUGCUAGAUGGUGGAUAAAUCUGACCGAUCAGAUCGAUGGCCCACCCCCGGAACGGCCAAGGUUUUAUUAUAGGAUUCAUAGCCGAUGCGGGUGCUCUCUGGAUAUUACCGAACUUUUGACAACCUUGACAUCCCUUGAAAUAUCUAAAACAAUCUUCAAGUAUGGUUGGCCAAAAAUAUCCAUUCCUUCGAAUCAUCCACUUCAUCUUGAAAGCUGACUGAUGCGCUCCACACACUCCUUCAUGGAUUUCCCCCAUUAAACUUCUGGCUUCAUCAUCACCUAAGCAUCGGAGAAGAAUUCCGUCGAUAGUUCGAUAAUACAAUUCAUUUUCAAGGAGCACAUACUUGGUCGCUUGAAAUCGAACCCGUCUUUCAACUUUCUUAGAUGGAUCUUCUAGAUAGUCGACAAUUUCUUUCCUCCAGUCACCGGCACUGACUGCCGAUGUUGCAUUAAUCAUUGGCUGAUAUCCUGAGGCAUGCUGGGCUAACCGAUUAGCGUCCUCAUUAUGCAAUCGGGGAACAUGCUCCAAUCGGAAGUUCUUGAAUUCCUUUAACAGUUGCAUACUUUUCUCGAAAUAGGUUAUGAGAACUUCAUUUCGGCAUUCAUAGCUUCCGGCCAACUGAUUUAUAACCAACAUGGAAUCCCCGAAUACUUCAACAGCAUCAGCACGAACCUCUCUUAACAACUCCAAUCCCUUGAUCAGAGCUUGAUACUCAGCCUGAUUAUUAGUUGAUGUAGCAACAAUCGGUAAGGAAAAUUCAUACUUCCUCCCCUUAGGAGAAACUAACACAAUGCCGAUUCCUGCUCCCCGGUCACAGGUAGAUCCAUCAAAGAAGAGCGUCCAGGGUGCAAUUUCUAAGGUUUCCACUAGGCCGCAAUGUUGAGUCACAAAAUCGGCCAUAACCUGCCCUUUGACCGCUUUAGCCGAUUCGUAACGCAAAUCGAAUUCCGACAGCGCUAAAAUCCAUUUACCGAUCCUUCCACUCAUAAUCGGCAUAGAUAGCAUGUAUCGGACUACGUCAUCUCUGCAAACAACAGCACAUUCGGCCGACAAUAGGUAAUGCCUUAGCUUGAUACAUGAAAAAUACAAGCAUAAGCACAACUUCUCAAUGGCCGAAUAUCUGGUUUCAGCAUCAAUCAACCUCCUACUCAAAUAAUAAAUUACUCUCUCUUUCCCUCCAAAUUCCUGAACCAAAGCUGAGCCGAUAACCGAUCCAUCGGUAGAUAAAUAUAAUUUGAAGGGUUUCCCUUGUUGAGGUGGAACUAAAACUGGAGGAUUUACUAGAUACUUUUUGAUUUCGUCUAGAGCCAACUGCUGCUCUUCUCCCCAAACAAACUCCUGAUCGGCUCUCAAUUUCAGAAGAGGACUGAAAGCACGAAUUCUCCCAGAUAAAUUUGAUAUAAAUCUUCUGACAAAAUUCACUUUGCCGAUCAAAGAUUGGAGCUCGGUUUUAUUGGUAGGGGCCACUAUUUUAUUGAUGGCAUCAAUAGAUCUUCGACUAAUUUCAAUACCCCUCUGAUGUACCAUGAAACCAAGAAACUGCCCCGCCGAUACACCAAAUGCACACUUGUUGGGAUUCAUCUUCAAUCCAUGCUUCCUUGUGCACUCCAGCACUCUUCAUAAAUCGGCAAGAUGCUUCGAGAAAUCUCCAGACUUGACCACUACAUCAUCAAUAUAAAUUUCUACGAUCUUGCCGAUGAACUCAUGAAAUAUAAAAUUCAUAGCCCUUUGAUAAGUGGCACCAGCAUUCCUUAACCCAAAAGUCAUGACUAUCCAUUCAAAUAGUCCAACAUGACCAGGACACCUGAAUGCGGUUUUUGGAAUAUCCUCCUCUGCCAUGAAUAUUUGAUUGUAACCCGCAUUACCAUCCAUGAAGCUGAUGAUCCGAUGGCCAGCCGCAGCAUCAACCAGUAGAUCGGCGACAGGCAUUGGGUAUCCAUCCAUCGGCGUAGCUUUAUUGAGAUUCCUGAAAUCAAUGCACACCCGAAGCUUCCCGUUCUUCUUGUAAACCGGAACAACAUUGGAAAUCCACUCGGCAUACCGACACUGCCGAAUAAACUUAGCUUCGAUAAGUUUAGUGAUUUCGGCCUUAAUAUCAGGUAGAAUAUUAGGAUUACAUCGGCGGGCUGGUUGCUGAUGUGGCCGAAAUCCAGAUUUGAUGGGUAACCGAUGUUCAACAAUUGAUCGGUCCAAACCAGGCAUCUCUGUAUAAUCCCAAGCAAAGCAAUCUUUGUAUUCCUUUAACAAAUUAGUUAACUGCCGUUUACACUCAGAAUCUAAUUUAGCACUAAUAAAAGUAGGCCUAGGCUUAUCACCACUACCUAUAUCUACCUCUACCAAAUCAUCGGCCGAUGUGAAUCCCUGGCCUAAUUUUCCAUCAUCGGCGAAUCUAUCCAUUAAAAACUGUCGUCAGAACCGACUGCUUGGAUCGGUGGAAUCUCAUAAUCGGCAACUUUGAGAAAAUCCUUCUCCCAAACUUCUCCUGAAAUGCACCUAGUCUUUUCAUAAGUAUCCGCUUCUGCCGAUGCGAUAACAUAAGAAGAAUCCCCUGGGACGAUCUCAAUCUUGUCACCUACCCACUGAACCAAGCACUGAUGCAUUGUAGAUGGACACAACAAUUGGCAUGAAUCCAAUCUCUCCCUAAUAAUAAAUUGUAGGCACCCUUCCCGCUGAUCACGAAAAAGGUUGUCGGCAAGGUUUUGCUGCCGAUGGUCAACUCUGCACAUAUCGCCCCCUUGACCGGAGACACGUUUCCCUCAAAGUCUUUGAGCAUCAUAUCGGUCUUGGUCAAAUCUUGAUCCCCUCUCCCAAGCUUCCGAUAUACUGCAUACGGCAUAAUAUUAAUAGCAGCUCCACCAUCAACCAGGAUCUUAGUCAUUGGCUGCCCAUCAAUCCUUCCUUUGAGGAACAGAGCUUUAAGAUGCUGCCUCUCGUUAUCAGCAGGUUUCUCAAAGAUAGCCGUCAUCGGAUCCAGAGCCAACUACGCUAUCUGAUCAGAAAAUCCCAACUCAUCGUCACUGGCUGGUGCAAGAAACUCCAUCGGCAACAUGAAUACCAUGUUGACGCCUGCCGAUGGACCUUCCCUCUUAGUGUCUGCCGGCUGCCGACUUUCAGAACUUUCUCCUUUAUUUAACUCCUCCUGCCUUUCUCGCUGCAACCUCCUUUUCUGUGUCUUGGUUAAUCCUUGAGGGCACCAUGGAGGAAGUGGCCUUUGCCUUACUGCCGGGCGUCGAUUCUCCCUCGAAUCCAUACGAUGUGUGUUAGCAUCUCUGCAAAAUAUAAACUCAUCGGGAACCCGCGCAUUAGCCAUCUCCUCAAGCUCUUCCUGGUUCCUGGGAAAAUACUGGACACGGUCACCGAGCCGAUCGCGAACGCUAAGCCUGCCCCCAAGCCGAUCAUGAACUGACGCCCUUCCUCUGAUCGGCCCAUUAAAUCGCCGUUCAUCAUCAUGAUAACGCCGAUCGUUCCUAUCGUACCGAUCAUAACCGUUGCACUCAGGGCAGUCUCUGACAGUAGGGAGCUUGAUAUUUUCCUCCCAACAAUGGAUGAAGAAUGGGCAAUUCCAAUGAUCCCUGUGCCGAUUCCACUCCUGUCGGCGUCUUUCUUCUUCUCGUUGAUAAUCUUCCUGCUGGCGCCGAUACCGAUCUUCCCGUUGUUGCCAUCUCUCUCGAGGCCUUCUAUGAGUUAUGACGAUGCCAGAUCGAGGAAGCCUUCCUGAACUAGUUCCUUCCUGGACCAAGCCCUUACUUCUUGCAUCGGCAGUAGUAACUUGAUGCUGAGGAUCUACCGAUGCACUCUUCUCAGCUGUUUCCGAUGUUAAGACCUUAGCCUUCCCCUUGGCAUCCAACAUGUUUGUCGGGAAAGGAUGUUGGUCUAUCUUCAUCGGCUUUUGGGCUUUAGAACUGUCAAACUUGAUUCUCCCUGACUCUAUGGCCGAUUGCAACUGCUGUCUGAAUACCUUGCACUCGUUGGUGUCAUGUGAAGUUGCAUUAUGCCACUUGCAAUAUCUCAUCCUCUUCAACUCUUCUGCCGACGGGAUCACAUGGUUGGGUGACAGCUUGAUUUGACCUUCCUGAAGUAGAAAGUCAAAUAUCCUAUCGGCCUUGGCGGUGUCAAAGGCAAACUUCUCUGGUUCUUUCUGCCCAAAAGGACAAGACAUCGGCUUCUUGUUUUUUACCCACUCUGCCAAACCGAUUACUGGUUCCUCGUCGGAAUCUGAGCUUGUUGCUUCGUCAACAAAUGACACUUUCUUAUUCCAUGCCCUCUUAGGCUCGAAAGGCUUGAUGUCUUGAUCAGAUAUCCUCUGCACCAAAUGACUUAAACUUUCGAACUCCUGAGAUGCAUACUUAUCCCUGAUAUGUGGCAACAAACCCUGGAAAGCCAAAUCGGCUAGCUGCCGAUCAUCCAGAACCAGGCUAUAGCAUUUAUUCUUGACCUCUCGUAUCCUCUGCACAAAUCCCUCAACCGACUCAUCAUUACGUUGCCUCAAUUUAACCAAGUCGGUGAUCUUCUUCUCAUGAACCCCCGAGAAGAAGUAUCUAUGGAAUUGCUUCUCUAGAUCGGCCCAAGUAAUUACUGAGUUGGGAGGUAAUGAUAUGAACCAAGUAAAGGCCGGUCCAGACAGUGAUGACGAAAAUAGACGAACCCUCAAUUCGUCCGUGUUACCAGCCUCUCCACAUUGAAUAAUGAACCUGUUGACAUGCUCCAUGGUUGACGUAUCGUCCUGUCCGGAAAACUUUGUAAAAUCUGGUACCUUGUACCGAUGUGGAAGUGGGAUCAAAUCGUACGCUGGAGGAUACGGUGUCCGAUAAGAAUAAGUGUUGACUUUGGGUUUUAUCCCAAAUUGUUCCCUCAUUACUUCAGCAAUCUUAUCGGCCCAAUAAGCAUCGGCAUCUUGCCGAUGAGGCUGCUGCGGAUCUGGCGCUUGGUGGCGAACCUCCACGUGUCUGUUUGGGAUGUGACCUGUAUGAAACAUCGUAUUGGUCACCUGUCCUCCAACCUGCGAACCACCAAACUGCUGUCCACCGAUUGGCUGUCCUCCGAGUUGCUGUCCAAAAUUUAUUGGCUGGUUGGGAAUUCCCUGACCUUGGAACCCGGGAUAAACCUGCCCCUGCUGGAACCCCGUAGUCUGAUAACCCUGCUGGGGCGACUGUGGAAAGGCUUGCUGUCCAAGCCAUCCAUUAUUAGCGUUCAUCGGCAUAGAUGCUGCCGAUGAUUGGUAAUUGGGUACCGUCGUUGAAUUGACAUACCCCGACUGGGCCAUAGGCCUCUGUUGCAUUAGCAUUGACUCUGCUGAUGCGUUGGGCAUCUGGAACAUUGAAUCUUGAGGAUUUCCAGUGUGAGGCCUUGCAGUAGUAGUUGUGGUAUACCGAGGACUCUGGUUUACCGGCACAUUGGAAGGUGCCGAUGUCAUAGGAGUUUUGCCCCUCAUGUCAGCUAUCUGUGAUGUUCCCGGCGUCAACUCUGGAGGCAUACCAUAACCCCACCAGUUGGGAGGAAGAGUUAAUCCCGACAUUGCCGAUGCCAACAUAUCUGUUGUCAGUUUAUGCUGCCCAACUGAAAUUUGUGGGUUGGUCGCCAUCGGCAUAGAUAGUGCACCAGUAGUCCCCAAUGUACUCGGAGGAACGGCAGACUGUGCACUCGCACUUGUCAAGGCAGCCGAUGGAGCCGUGACCUCUGGUGCCGUGGGUUGAUGAUGGGAAGGGCCCACAUAAUCCGGCGGGAUUUGUCCUUCCUUGAAGGUUCUUGCCACGGCGUUGAAAACCGUAUUAGACAGUACACCAGCUUGGUUAAUCAAGGCUCGAUUGAUGGCAUUAUCAACCAUGUCUUGAAGCUUGCCAGGAUUGGUGUCAAAGGUGACCUGCCGUGGUGCCGGCAGUGCAUCUUUCUGGACCACUUCGCCGCUCCUGUUUAUGCUGAAAGACUUCAGACAUUGCUGCUUGAACUCUUCCAUGGCUUGGGCAAUAGCUUGCUUCUGCUCAUCCUUGAGGUUAGCUUCCGUCACGGGGAUGACGUUGUCUUGAUCGAGGUCAGAGAUCGACAUGUUGAUCUUGAUCUUGAAUCUGUCCCACUGGGCGUGCCAAAAGAUGUGUUGAUGCAAAACUGAUCUGCAAACACAAAGGGCUAAUACCCGAUACAAACGUUAAGGCGUGCCAGCCGAUUUAACCUUACUAUCGGCAAAGGUGGUAACUCGAAUACUUUAGUCCUGACAACAGCGAUGCGCCCGGAUGUCACGGCUAAGAGGUAUUCACGCGGAACUUGAGAACACGCCGAGCUUAAGUCGACGAAUUCCUAAGAACUCGUAGUAAAAAGGAAAAAGUAUGACGAAGUCGUCGAAAAAGUAGAUGCUGGAAUAUGAGUAAAAACGUGUAUUUGAUUGAUUGAUAGAUGUCCUGAUUACAAGGUCCUAGGGCUUAUAUUUAUACCCUGCUCAAAGAGCUACGACCAGACACGAUUAGAAUUCGAAUUCCAAAUUACACGGAACCCGUAUACAAAACGAUGCGAAUAACUAAGGAAAUAAUAAAACCAUCCUUCGUGACAAACCGAAACUCCUCCACAUGACCACUGGCAGCUUCCGGACUCCUCCUUCGCGUCAUCGGCAAUCCCCUUGCCAUAGUCAUCGGCAGACCCUUUUACUUGGUCAUCGGCACCAUAUUACUGCCUGAGGACUUAGUCACACUCAACCUUUCCCUCAUCGGCAACCAUCCUUACCAGCAACCCGCAUCGUACUGCCACCCUAUCCUGCCAUCCUGGACACGUGCCCAAAAAUGGUGUCAACACAUGAAUUCGGUUUUCAUGCCCAAAUUGGACAAGUUUGUGGUGGUCUUCAUUGAUGAUAUCUUAGUAUAUUCUCGCAAUGAAGAAGAACAUGCAGAGCAUCUAUGUGUAAUGUUAACUCGUUUGCGUGAGCAUCAGCUUUAUGCCAAGUUUAGCAAAUGCGAGUUCUGGAUAAAGAAAGUACCUUUCUUGGGCCAUGUCUUAUCUAAAGAAGGCAUAUCAGUGGAUUUGGCCAAGGUGCAAGAAGUGCUGGAUUGGAAGGUUCCAACUUUGGUGCACGAGGUUCAGAGUUUUCUGGGUCUGGCUGGGUAUUAUCGCCGUUUCAUUUCAGAGUUCUCAAAAAUAUCCAAGCCUAUGACUCGCCUACUUCAAAGAGAUGAGAAGUUCAUGUGGACGCCUAGUGUGAAGAGGCAUUCCACAAGUUGAGGACAUUGCUCACAUCAGCUCCUGUCCUAGCUCAACCCGAUAUCGAGAAGCCUUUCGAUGUCUUUUGUGAUGCAUUUGGUAUCGGUCUGGGCUGUGUGUUGAUGCAAGAAGGUCGUGUUCUCGCUUAUGCCUCGUGCCAACUUUGAAAACAUGAGGUCAAUUACCCUACUCAUGAUUUAGAAUUGGCCGCGGUUGUCCAUGCUUUGAAGAUCUGGAGGCACUAUUUGCUAGGUAAUCUGUGCAAUAUCUACACUGACCAUAAGAGUCUCAAGUACAUCUUCACCCAACCUGAAUUGAACAUGUGGCAGCGAAGGUGGCUUGAGUUGAUUAAAGAUUAUAAUCUUCAAGUGCACUAUCAUCCAGGCAAGGCAAACAUGGUUGCGGAUGCCUUUAGUCCGAAAUCACACUGCCAUUCAGUUCAGAUUGAAGAUUCAUCGUUGUCACGCCUGAUGCACCCACUAGUGCUUCACCAAAUUGCGUUGGAAAGUUCUCUUCGCAAUCGAGUGAUCGAAUUGCAGCAAACUGAUGUAGGUAUCCACCAUAUAAAGUGGAAGAUGAAAGAAGAAGAAACCAAGCAUUUCCGGGUCGAUGAGAACGGAAUUCUAUGGUUCAAAGAUCGGCUUGUUGUACCAAAGAACCGUGAGCUCCGAAAUUAGAUCUUAUCUGAAGCUCAUUCAUCCAAGUUGUCUAUCCAUCCUGGUAGUAGAAGGAUGUAUCAGGAUCUGAAACCUCUAUUUUGGUGGACAAAGAUGAAAAAGGAGAUUGCUGCUUUUGUUGCUCGUUGUGAUAACUGUUGUCGUGUGAAGGCAGUUCACAUGAAAGCAGGUUUACUUCAACCCUCACUAGUAUGGACUUUAUCUCUGGACUCCCAACUUCUGUUAAGGGUUAUGACUCUAUCUGGUUGAUUGUGGAUCGCUUGACCAAGGUCGAUCGCUUUAUUCCAGUUCAAUCUGACUAUCAUCCACAUCAGUAUGCGGAGUUGUACUUCGAGCACAUCGUUUGUCAAUAUGGUGUGCCUUGUACUAUCAUAUUAGAUCGUGGACCGCAGUUCACUGCCUUUUGGGAGUGUCUUCACGACCAGAUUGGUACUCACUUGGUUCGGAGUUCUGCAUAUCAUCCUCAAACAGCUGGCCAAACGGAAUGUGUUAACCAAAUCCUAGAAGACAUGUUAAGGGCAUGUGCUCUCUCUUCAAAAGGUUCUUGGUUAAAGUGGUUACCAUUAGCUGAGUUCUCUUAUAACAACAAUUACCAAGAGAGCAUCAGGAUGACUCCUUUUGAAGCCCUGUAUGGCCGAAAGUGUCGAACCCCGUUGAACUAGGUAGAACUCGGGGAACAAAGGUAUUACGGUAUCAAUUUCAUGAACGAAGUAGAGCAACAAGUCCAUACAAUCCAGCAACAUCUGGAAGCUGCUCAAGCUCAUCAGAAAAGUUAUGGUGCCAAGAAGAGAAAACUGAUUGAGUUUGUAGUCGGAGAUCAUGUGUAUCUCAAGGUGUCUCCGAUGAAAGGUGUACAAAGGUUCAGAGUCAAGCGAAAGCUUGCACCCCGUUAUGUGGGACCUUAUUAGAUUCUUGAGAGGAAAGGGAACGUGGCUUACAAGGUUCAACUACCGGUUGAGCUACAAGCUAUUUUUCCUGUCUUUCACGUAUCGCAGUUGAAGAAAUGCCUUCGUGUUCUGGAAGAAAGAGUAGAGGUUUGGGAUGUCAUGUUAAAAUCAGACUUGGUGUAUGAAGAGAAGCCUAUAGCGGUUAUUGACCGCAAGGAGCGGGUGACUCGUAAUCGUGUGGUUAAGUUCUACAAGGUAUUGUGGAGUAACCGCGGGGAGGAAGAUGCUACUUGGGAAACAUAGGACUAUUUAAAAGAAGUUUAUAAAACCUUCUUCGAAAAUCAGUAAGCUUUCAAAUCUCGAGACGAGAUUUUUGUAAGGGGGAGGGCUGUAACACCCCAGUUUUAUGGUUGCAUCCUUUCACAUGCAUAACAUGAGCAUGAUCAUCUUCAUAAGCAUACCAUGAUCAUCAUUCACCUUGGGUCAUGUCAUUUUAUGCAUAAGUGUGGUUUAACUUGUUUAAUUAUGAUCUCUAUGCUUAUGUUUGUUUAUGCCAUGCUCAUGUUUGUGUCCUAGGCCUUGGUAAAUAGUUCAUCUAUGUUUAACUCAACCUUUGGAACAAUGUUCAUGUUGGUCAUAUCUUCAAAUUAUGUCUCUAAGUCAUACUUUCACUCAUAGGCCCUAUAAACCUCUUUUGCUUAGGCUUUUAAAAAGUUUUCAUAAACUAUUUGCAUGUAUAAACUUCCUAAAGCAAAGUUGUAGCAAAUUUUAUAAGGAACAAAAGUUGUUUUAUGGCCAUCUCAUGAAAAUGACCACAACUUGCUCAAAAAGGGCUCACAAGGCAGAAUUGGGGGCUGUUUUGACACUUACCAAAAUUUUGCCAAGUCCUGGCGCCACCAGUUUGCCUGAAGGUUAUUGGAAGCUCUAUAUCUUUUCAUCCAGGCCGAAUUGGUCUUUGCUCCAGUUGUCAAACCUAUAGAACUCAGUUAGUACUCCAACAGUGUCAACUACACCAUCUCCUAAUUCGCCAUAAUUUGGAAGAUAAUCAGUGCCAAAGUACCUCUGUCAAUCUCUGAAACCAGCUCUAAAUGGACACCGUCACCGACGACGUGGCCGACCAGCGGCAGCGUUUCGUCGACAUUUGGCAACCGUACGUCGUCUCUGGCCCCGCUCGUCGGUGCUGAGGGCGUGCAUGACCUCCACGGCGUCGCCCUCGAGAUCCUAGACGCAUCCAUUCUCUCCCUCUCGCCCUUCUCGCGCAGAAACUCAGCCGCAGCGGAGGCACCAUCGUCGGGCUCACUCUAGCGAGCUCGAGCGCGCCCCACACUGCAUCGCCGUCCACCAAAGUUUGCCCACAGCUCCGCUAUGCUCCGCUCUCCAACCUCCACCCUCAAGCUUGUCGUGAAACCCUCCGGUGAGCCGACAUUUUCAUCUUUCCCCAAAUCGGGUCGCCGGAACAGUUUUCUCCGGCGAGCACAAUGCAGAGCUCCUCGGAGCUUCUCGUCCUCUCUAGUUGGGUUUUCGGUGUAGCUUAGGACCUUAGCUAGCAUCUGCACCACUUGGAGACACUCUACCGCGCUCACCAUCGCCGGACACGACGCGCAGCGCCGCCGUGUUUCCGCCGGAGCUCGGUCCUCUCGUGGCCAGCCCUCUCCACAUCGUUUCAAGUCAAGUCACCUACCUAGAAAGCUUCGCUGUAGUUCACUGGUGCUGUAAGAAACACCAGGGCACGCUCUACCGGCCUGAGAACGCCGGCGUAUCGCCGAGCACCUCUGCCGAGCCACCAUUGUCGACGGCAAGCCCCUUUUGGUGGCUCCGCUAUAGGGAAAAGGGGGUCAAUCGGUUCGCAUGUGACCUGGGAUCUCGUUGGUGUCCUCGGUUUGGUCGAAGACCUUGCCGUCGUAGAGAAAUCGCCGGCGAACUUCGUCGCGGUCGAGGGGAAGAAGAACCUGACAUGCGGGUCCCGCUGUUAGUGGCUCAACGGCUCCCUCCUCUCUUUUAUUCAAAAUCCAGAUUUCUUGCAAUCUUGCAAAAACCAUAUCUCCAGUUCGUGAGCUCCGAAAAUUGUAACAAAUUUUGUGAUGAUCCAUGGGAUGGCUAGUUUUUAAUACAAAUAUAAUAUGUACCAUGUUUUCUGAGAAAAAUAAUUGUUAUGAAUUAAUCUUUUUAUUUCUAUAUAAAUUCAUAUCUCUUGAUAUACUGCUCCAAAUGUUGUAAAAAUAUUAUGCUAUGCUUUGUGUGUUACUGGUAUGCUCUGGUAAUUAUUUCAUGAUUUUUGGAGUACUAUAUCUCUGACAUGUAAUUUAUGUUAAUACUAUUGCUUAAAUCCUUGUGUAAAUCAUAUUAAAUGUUACAUAUCUAUGCUGGUGCUUUCCUUUGGUGUCAAGCUUUCUCAUGGUAGUAAUAGCAUGUAAAUAAUCUGAAAUCUGUUGUUUGACACUAUUUAAGCCAUGUUUCUUAAUUUAUGAUAUAAGCACCUUGUUACAUGUUAAUUAAAUAUCUUGUGUUUGGCAUGUGCAAUUGCUCUGAAAAUUUUAUGGUAAUGUCAAGGUAUCUUGCUAGUGCUUGUGUAAUUUUUGUAGAUUUUUAUGAGCACUCUUGCUGGUAUCUUUUAAUUAUGCACUUUUUAGAAUUAAAUUAAUAAAUGCCUUUUAAUUAAGUGUUUAGUAGUCAACAUGUGGUUUUCUGGUAAUCUUAGGUUAUACUUGUUCUUAUGAGUCACUUGGUCUGUACUAAAUACGUUUUUGCUAUAUCAACAAAUAAUUAAUUAAAGGUUAUAUAGCUGUUCUGGACAGCAAGAGAGUAAUCUGAUUAUUUCAUAAUGAUAACUCUGUUUUCAAAAAAACUUGUCUAUAUCAAAGAUAUUGUAAACUUUGUGUUCUAGCUGUGGUUAAAUUUUGGGGUCAUUUGGCCCAGUAGUUUAAGAGUUAUGGCUUUUCCAAGUUAAGUUCCAGAACUAGGUGCUCUCUGUCUUUCUGGAACAGAACCUGGAACUUUGUUUAAUUGACCUGUUUAACUUGUGAAUCUUGCUGUGAUGUCUAAAGAUGAAAUGUAAACAAUUUCAUAAGCUUUCCAUAAUGUCUUCAUUCAUGUUUGUUGGAUCUAUAUAUCUCUAGUUAUGGCUUGUUCUGUGAGCUGCCCUGUUGUUGGUUGUUGCUGCUUAAUUGUGUUAGUUGUGGUGGUACUCUUUUGUGAGCUUGUAAUAGAAGCUUACUCCGUAAAUGAGUGUCCAAUGAAGUAUGUAAUCAUGUUUUCCAAGCAUUCAUCAUUCUCUUCGUAUGCAUACAUUCCUUAUUCAUUUGUGCAUACAAUAGGUGCACCGGAGACUGCGACCUCGUUCGAGCUCGAGAGGGUGAUUCCAGAAGGUCCGGAGGUCACCCAAGAGACGGAGGCCCAGCCAACAGGACCCGAGGAGCCCGAAGAGGAAGUCGAGUGCCCUAGUCAUGAGCCCACUUUGUUCAUGAAAGGCAAGCCACAGAGCAUCUUAAGUCUCCCACUUUAAUUUCAAAGCAUACUUGAAUAUGUUAUAUCUAUUGAUGCAUUACGUAUAGGAGUUGUGAUGGAACCCUUGCUGCAUUAUACCUUUCCUUGUCCAGAUAUCUUAUCCUACCUUGUUGUAGAGUUAGGAUCGAGUAACAGCUUAGCCAUGCUUUAAUCAGUAGAAGUCAGGUGAUACCCUGUCACCUGUGUGAAAUAGGGUCUGUUGUUGGAUCACGAUAUCGUGUCACCUGGUUUAAAAUGACUUAAGCCGGGCGGAGUUUUGCAAGGUGGUAGUAACUCUGUCUGUGGCAGCUAAGGACUGAUCGUUGUAUGUUCUCUUGUCAUGUUGAACGCAUGCCUGACACUUAGUUGGCCGGAUAACUCAUUUCGACCGUGAAGCCUAGUAGUAUGACUCAGGCCGGAAGACCGGCAAGUAUAAAGUGCGCACUACCGGAGGAAGUGCUGUGUGCGGGGGGCCAUUGGCGUAAGACCAAGGGCAGGUGAUUUAAAAGUCCUGAUCUUCCUGGCAGAGUGGCAGCCCUGGGAGUGCGGCGCUGAUCGGAGCCGCGAUUCCUGAGUCGUACCAAAGGUGACCCGCUUCCUCUCCGACGGGGGAUGCAUAGGUGAGUGCUAGGAAUAACCCUCCUGUUGGAUAGGAAUCGAUUCGAAUCGUCAUCUCUCCCGUAUAGUGAGAACUUGACAGAGCAGCAACAAACUUAGCAUCCACUAAGUACUUAAUGGUUCUUAAUGAUGAUGUUGAGGAUAGCAAGCAUGAACAUAUGUUGAAACUUGAUAUGGUUAUUAUUGUUUGUUAAUAAUCAAGUGAAGUGCUUAGUCUAGGUGCUAAUCUAGUAAUAGGCUAAUGAUAAUCAAUAUGAUGCUUAUAAGAAUGGUUUAUUAUCCAGUCUAAGCUUUUUAGCAAAUGUAUAAGUCAGGCCAGCUACACUUUAUACUCAGCCUUGCAUGAUCCUUGGUGUCUUUUAUGUUUGGUUAGAUGGGUAAGUCUAGCUGAGUACAUCCUCAUACUCAGGGUUUAUUCCCACCUGUUGCAGAUGAUAUAUUCUAUGAUGGUUUCUGCAAGACCUGCCUUCAUCACGCUGGGGAUGAGGACUAAACCGUUGGGCACGGUUCUCUAACGACUUCAUACCUCUGAUGCUUUUGGUGGAUGUGAUGAGACUCUGGCUGUACAAGAACUUAUGAAAUGUGUGUGUGAAAACUAUGUUGCUUCCUCUAUUUCAAACUUGUGUUGUAAUAACUUAAGUAACUCUGAUGUGGUGUCGCUUCAUCAGCAAUGAAUGAACUAUGUAACAAUCACUGUAUUGUGUUGAACUAUUACGAUCUUAGUAUGUUGCAAGUUGGUUUGAAAUCCUUCGUGAUUUCGGUUGACUACCGAGAUUAUAUGGGCUUAAGUCUAGAAACUUGAUUGCUAGUUUGAUCGUUUCUACACUUGAACUCUUAUAAUUUGGUCGGUUCUAUGACAGAGCCAGAGUUUUCUUCGUAUCACCAAACAAUGACAAGCUUUGUUACGUCCUUAGGAUUCACUUCCCCGUGUCCAACAACAUGGCUGAGUACGAGGCAUGCCUAGCUACACGGCAUACGACUAGCCGUAGAGUUGGGAAUACUCCCUUCACUCAUUUCCUUGCUUGAUUGCUAAUCCUAGUGAGAUUGAAUGAGAUUCAAGUGCAUUGCUUAGUGAGUUGCAUCUAGUGGCACUUGAUUCUUGAGUUUGCUGUGGAAUUCGUGUUACUCUUGGGUGUUUCUCGACACCCUAGAUGGCUUGGAGCAGCGGAGGUGUUGAGCUCGUAAUUGGAGAUUGUUUCGAGCCUCACCAAGUGAUUUGUGAGGGGUUCUUGAACCUUCCCCACGGGAGAUCGCAAUUGGCAACUCUAGUGGAUUGCUCGUGGCUUGGAAGAUCCCCAUCUUGGAUUGGAUGUGCAGCACCCGCUGAGGGUUUGGCUUUGAAUGCCAAUUAGCUCGUGAUCCAUCAAGUGGGUGUAUCGCCACAACGAGGACUAGCUUGCCAAGAAGCAAGUGAACCUCGGUAAAAAAUCAUGUGUCAUCUUGUGCCGAGGAUUAUCUCUUGUGUUUGUGAUUGAUUGGAUAUAUCUCUUCUCUACAACGUCGGUAUAACAAUCACUCACCACUCUUUUACAUACGUGCUUACCUUGCUAGUUGUUUAGCUUGUUUAGCUUAGUUCUUGUUUAGAGUAGAGUUGUUGUGUAGCAUUCUCUUGUUGUUGUGGUUUAGUGUUUAGCCUUGUACUACUUUGUAUAGGUGGCUUGCAUAGCUCAGUUGAGAUAGUGCUAGAAUUUCUUCACCAUUAGUUUUACUAACUCACUUGCUUAGUGAAGUUUGUAGAAAAUUUAAAUAGGCUAUUCACCCCCGUCUAGCCAUUUGGACCUUUCAGCCGAAAAGGGUUUGCAUUAUGAUUGUGUAUAUCUUUACAAGGGUCGGGUUCCCAAUAUUUAUAUUCUAAAAUUUUAGUCUCAUGUCCUAAUACAACUCUUUCCUCAAAAAGGUAAUCUGGACUUUAACUUCUCCUUUCUUAAUUGAACCUGACACGUCUCCUUCGUCUUGCCUUGUUCUGACACCCUUUUGAUCGACUAAUUCCACUAUGCCUCUCGUUUAGUUGAUCCACUUAUCCGGCUGUCCCUCCUUCUAUGAAGCAGGCCCACUGGCAGUUUCCUCACUCACCAAAAUUUGAGAUUAACACACGCCCUCCAAUUUUGGGAUAAAAAUAGUUUUAUUCCAAAGUUGCCACUCAAAACCGAUACAGACAUAUUGAUUACUCUGUUUCCUCCUCCGUCUUCUCUGUUCAUCGAUCUUAAAAGAUAGAGUUCCCCUUGAAGCAUCCUCAGUUGAAAAUUCUAAACCCGCAUAAUCCACCAAAUUUCCACACAAUUAAACCCUAGUACACCGAAUCCUUCAACUCGUUGAUUUUUGCUCCAAUGGCGUCCAUCGACAAUAUCCAAGAGGUAUACCAUCUCCCUUUGAUCCUCUGAGUUUUCUUAUUUUGUUAACCUACCCUUACUCUUUUCUAGCAGGGUAAUUGUUGUCGAGACUAACAGAGUUCCUUUCAAGGAAUCCAAUAUGCAUCCAGGUCUUUGGGACAAAAGGACUUCUUUAAAGAACUGGCCCUCAAUCAUCCCAGGCUGGAGGAACUAGCUGAUCAAAGUAGCAGCCAAGAAGAGAGUAGAUUGGACAACUAGGAACUUGGACCAAUGCAUCUCCUUGUCCCUCUCUGAUAUCUAGAAGAAUGAACCUAUGCUCAAAGCUGCCUAUUUCUUCUGGUCCAACACCUAUAAUGCCUUUCUCUUCAGACAAGGCCCAAUGUCCCUAAUAUUAGCCGAUGUUCAUAUGCUGACAGGCCUCAGCAUCAUAGGACACAUUAACCCUUUCAGUCUGCUGGUGAAACCCACUGCUAAGCUUGAUAGCACAAAAACUGGGGGUUGGUCCUAAUACAUUAUCAAUCACAGGACUGAUAGCAGAUUUGUGUCUGAUAGAGAACACACGGCCUUUCUCAACAUGUGCCUGGACAUAUAUGUCUUUUGUGGACAAGCCUGCUCUCCAACUUCCAAUUAUCUGACUUUUGCAGAAAAGAUACCAGGCAAUUCUGAAAUCCCACUUGGCAAGAUUGUCCUUGGAGCAUUGUUCAAUCUACUAAAUAGAGUUUCUCAGCAUUUGAUGCAUAAUGAGAUUGUUCCAAUAAUCAUAGGCCCCUAGUGGUUAUUGCAAUUAUGGCUCAACUUACACCUACACAAGUUAGUGACCCCAGAGCUAAUUAACAUGUCUUUCCCUUCUUUGGAAUACUCAAAAGAGCAGGAAGAACAACUUCCAAGAAGUCAGAAAUUUCGCCGAUGUAUGUCCUUUGGUGAGGCAGCAUCGGCAAUAACUAUUGACAUAUUGAUUGCUGACUUCUUCAAGCUUUUUUACAAAAAUUCCCCAGAGGCAGCUCUAGAAUGGUUUGUUUACUCUGAUAUCCUAGAAUUUGAGUUCCCAGCAUGUGGGGGUAUAAACCCCUAUACCCUUACGGCAAGACUUGGGCUAGGAGAUUUGGCCCAUUACGAGACAACUUACGGCUUGAUCCAUCUACUUGGAGUUUCACGCAAGGAAACAAGACGUUGAGAUCAAGCAAGAUCAUGGUCGGUUAGAAUAGGAAUUGAUAUCGAAUUAUCUAUGGCAAUUGUAACCGACUAGGAUUAGUUUCUAGAUUUGUAACCCUGCCCUUUGGACUAUAUAAAGAGAGGCAAGGGACCCCCUUAGUUCAAGUCAACACAUCUCAGAUCAAUACAAUUAGACACAGGACAUAGGUAUUACACCCACACGGCGGCCGAACCUGGAUAAAAACCUUGUCUGAGUCUAGCAUCACCAUCGAGUUUGUAGCUUGCGCACCUGUCUAUUAAUAAUCUACUACCAUGGGUAUACCCCAAGGUAGACUGCUGAUCAGCUUUCGUCGACAGUGGCGCGCUAGGUAGGGGAUGUGUGUAUAGCUCUUCAGACAAACAAGAUGGUCAUCAUCCCCGCUUCUGCUUCUCUAGCAGAAGGCCUCAUGUUCACCGUAGGCCAGAUCACCUAGAGAAGUCAUGCCGGUGGCCUCAUGACCAUGGCUUUGGAAGAAAACCAGAUCCAAUCUGCGGCGACGACGGCGGUGGUCUCGACCACGUCAACCAUGACCACCCCUGCUCCGACAAUGUCACCGACCACAACGACAACUCGCCCGCUGAUUCCCCGCUACAAUGGGAAGCAGAUCGACAACUCUAACCUGCUCGAGGCCAUUGAUCGCGCUGAUCACAAGGUUUCCGAAGCCUUCGAUGUGGUAAACUCGUUCUCGGGCCAGACCACCAGGAUGACACCAUCCGAUUGCCAUGGAUCUACUCAGCCAAAUCGUGUCACUACACAUGAAUGGUUGGGAACGGCCCUAACGAUCACAGCUACCCUGGAAGGACAGACCGUUCAGAUCAAGACAACCUCCCAAAGCAGGCGUCGUUCGCUUUUCUCUCAUGGCUUACGCAACGCAGCCAACCUAGCCUCGCAUCAUACCUAGCGGCUAUUCACGAACUCUGAGCUAGUAGAUUCGACACCGAGUCAACACGUGCAACCAGCACACCACUUCGUCAACAUGGUCUUCGUCCAAACUCUACAGGAGAAUAAUACCGCCAGCACGCACUCUAGCACGGGCUCCGUCCCUAUUGAGGUUGUACACCCCGAGGAUGAGGACUAUGAUAUGGAUCUCCCCCUACCCCCCAGGCUUCUCUAGCUUCCUAGUUUUUCCUCCUCGAUGAGGAGAUCUGGUCCUCAAAGUUAGCUACGAUGAGCUAGUGCUCGAUGGGGAGACCGACGAUCAAAGACAACAGCGCGAGCAGCGCAACACCGAUCGCGCCCAGUGGCGAGCACAUGAAGAAGAGCAGCAGAGGCAACUGGUCCCGCACAAUCUUGAUGAUGCUUUCGACAUAGUGGGAGACCAACAAGUGUUCAAGACCCUGAGCACCAAUGUGGUUGUUGCUAUGGCAAAUCUUGAAUGACUCCCGAACACGCCAGAGUACCAGGACGUUUGGACCAGCAUACGAGCACACCUGAUCGCUGCCAUGGGACAAACGGCGGACCUCCUUAGGAGGACGCAAGCCAUCUCCUAUACGGAGGUCACUUCUGAUCGGAGCCACCGAAGCCAGGCCUCACUGUGACCCAACGGGCAUUGCCGCAAUCACUCGUUGGAUGCUUUCCAACAAAAGAACAACAACGACCAUCACAAUAGAAAGGCCCAUCCUGACACCCGUGGUUGGGACGCCAACCGCAAACGUCGUACUUAUAGGCCGAGAUACGACCACAACCAAGAAGUUGAUCAGGGAGAAGGCUAUGAUCUCUAACAUAGCCUCCCCUGCAAGGACAUCCAUGAUCACAUUAACAAACGCAUCAAUGACAGAGCCACACGCAAAAACAUCCGCCGUAUCAAAUAUGAUGUUGUACACUGCCCUCCUGGGUUGAAGCAGUUCUCCUCACACCUUCGACAAGUCGUCUGCCCACGCAACUUCAAGCUAGAUAAGCUCAAGAAGUACGACGGCAAGGAGAACCCUAAAAAUUAGAUCCCCUCUAUGAGAUCGCUGUUCGAUCAGCAACGGGGGACAAGCACGUAAUGGCAAAUUAUUUCCCCAUUGUUCUUGAUCAAGCCGGCCACCAAUGGCUCCUCGGCUUGCCUGAAAACUCAUUUGAUUCAUGGGAAGAGCUACACCAAGCAUUCAUCAAUAACUUCAUAGCUACUUGUGAGCAACCAGGCAACAAGUACGACCUCAAGAGAAUACGGGAUCGCAAAAACAAACCACUAUGCGACUACAUCCGAUGCUUCUCGGAUAUGCGUCUUAAGAUUAUGAAAAUCUCCCACGAUGAAGCAAUCUCCGCUUUCAACAAAGGUCUUCGUUUUCAUGAAACCGUUUGGAGCAUGCUACUUUGUAAGAGGCCAAGCAUGGUUAUCGAGCUCCUUGCUACUGCCAAAAAUUACGUCAACGCUAACGACAUGGAGAAAUUGAUCAGAGAAGACGUCAGAGGAAGUCAACAGAAUGACCACCCUCCCCGGCGAGACUACAAUCGCGACAACCGCGGGCGGUUUGACAGUCGCACUUCUUGCCACAAUGAUAAUCGGGACCUCUAAGAAGGAUGAGAUAGGCGUCGUGACCACCGUGAUGAAUUCAGGGGUAAAAGACCCCGUGACAACGAUCAUGAGGUCAACACGGUCAAACGAUUCACUGGUCGUCGCGACUAUCAGGAGGACUACAACAAAACCUUGAAAGGACCAUGCCAACUCCAUCCUAAGUCCAACCACACAAUGGAAGAAUGUUGUGUCCUCAAAAGUAUUUACAUGCAGCAGGCCAUCCAAGGUGACACCGCCAAAUCCACCAGCAAACGCGAUUGGCACAACUAAGAGGACGAGGACGAGGACCAGGACCGGGAUCCUUGCCAUCAGUAUGUCAAUCCAACUGAUGUCGUCCACUCCAUCUUUGGUGGCAAAGUGUCAAUUGAAUCCAAGAGAGAACAAAAACUCCUCAGAAGGGCAUGCCUGAAUGUAGAUAGCCCCGAUGGUCUCGUCGCUGAUCCAAAGUUUCCUGCCUGGUCUCAUCGAGAGAUAUCCUUUAGCAGACAAGAUCAAUGGGAUGCUAUCCCCAAACAAGGGCGAUUCCCUUUGAUCUUGGAUCCAUGCAUCAAUAGCGUCUGAUUCGAACGUGUGCUCGUGGAUGGCGGCAGUUUCAUCGACAUCUUGUUCUGCAACAGCCUUCUCGCCCUAAAGCUAACUCAAACAGAGUUGACGCCAUAUGAAGCCCAGUUCUGGGGUGUUCUGCCGGGCCAGACUCAAUCCCUCUUGGCUACAUAACGCUUUCCUUGCAGUUUGGAACUCCAGACCACUUUCGCACAGAGUUUGUAAACUUCGUGGUUGCUGAUUUCGAUGGAACAUACCAUGCCAUUCUGGGUCGUCCGUCAAUCACCAAGUUUAUGGCAGUUCCGCAUUGUUCAUAUUUGGUGCUCAAGAUGCCAACGGAGAAAGGGGUCCUCACGGUAAGGGGCAAUGUCUACACAGUAUACACCUGUGAGGAAGAAAGUUUCAAGAUCACCGAAGCCAUCGACCUCUCGAUCCGGAUGGCACAAACCGCAACCCAAGCAACGCAAACCCCCUCCGACCAGCUUGAGAUCCCGGAGUAGCAGGUCCCAAGGAACAACAUUAAGUCCAAGGAGCACAAAGAAGUCCAACUGGUCGACAAUGAUCCCAAGAAGACGACUCUCAUCAGAGCCACUCUGGAUCCUAAAUAGGAAGACGUGCUCGUUAGGAUUCUGAGGGACAAUAUAAGCGUUUUCGCAUGGAAGACCACAUGAUAGAUAUGCCCGGUGUCCACCGCCACCUGAUCGAGCACUCUUUGAAUGUCUCAAAGACCACAAGACCCAUCAAGCAGAAACUACAAUGGUUCGCUCGUGACAAAAAGAAGGCCGUUAGGACAGAGGUAACAUGGCUUUUCGUAGCCUGAUUUAUUAAAGAAAUGUAUCAUCCGAAUUGGCUCGCCAAUCUAGAACUUGUAAGAAAAAACAAUAACGAAUGGAGAAUGUGCAUUGAUUACACUGAUCUCAACACACACUGUCCUAAGGACCCCUUUAGUCUCCCUCAUAUUGACGAGGUGGUCGAUUCAACGGCUGGAUACGAACAUCUUUCUUUUCUUGACUGCUACUCUGGUUAUCACCAGAUCUCUUUAAAGGCUGAUGACCAGAUUAAAUCUUCCUUUAUGACCCCCUUCAGGGCAUAUUGCUACACGACCAUGUCUUUCGGGCUAAAAAAUGCCAGGGCCACAUAUCGACAUGCCAUCCAACAAUGUCUUCACGACGAGAUACAGGAUGACCUGGUCGAAGCUUAUGUCGAUGACGUUGUCAUGAAAACCAAAGAUGUCGGCACUCUGAUCUACAACCUCGACCAAACUAUUGAAUGCAAAAGCUAAUCUGCAAACACAGAGGGCUAAUACCCGAUUCAAACGUUAAGGCGUGCCAGCCGAUUUGACCUUACUAUCGGCAAAGGUGGUAACUCGAAUACUUUGGUCCCGACAAGAGCGAUGCGCCCGGAUGUCACGGCCAAGAGGUAUUCACGCGGAACUUGAGAAUACGCCGAGCUUAAGUCAACGAACUCCUAAGAACUCAUAAUGAAAAGGAAAAAUAUGACGAAGUCAUUGAAAAAGUAGAUGUUGGAAUAUGAGUAAAAACUUGUGUUUGAUUGAUUGAUAGAUAUCUCAUUACAAGGCCAUAGGGUCUACAUUUAUACCCUGCUCAAAGAGCUACAAUCAGACACGACUAGGACUCGAAUUCCAAAUUGAACGGAAUCCGUAUACAAAACGAAUUUAAAUAUCUAUGGAAAACAUAAAACUAUCCUCCCGUGACAAACCGGGACACCACCAUAGAUCAAUCGGCAACCUUCAUGUUCUCCUUCCGAGUCAUCGGCAGAUUUCUCAUCAUAGCCAUCGGCAAAGACUAACGCUGACCAUCGGCACGAACGCGCCACCACUUCUGGACUUAGUCACAUUCAGCUGUCUCUUCAUCGGCAACCAUCCUCAUUGGCAACUCCCCUGCAGACCAGUUACUGUUGCCCCAUCUUGCCGAUCUAUACUUUACCGAUCCCUAGGUACGUGUCCAAAAACGGUGUCAACACAUGCCCCCCAAUUUUGGAGUAUAAAAUUAUUAAUGCUCCAAAAUUCUCUGCAGUAAUGAUGCCUUUCCGCAAUUAAUUCUCUCAAUUUGGUAACCGACCGUUGAAGUCGAACAACCCUGGCCCGAUUCUUCCGUAGAUUCCUCGAAUUCCUCAACCUCCCAAACUGGACAUCUCCACUUUAUUCGCCUAUCGGCAAUAUUACCGAUAGAGGGAGCUGCCGAUGGACCGACCAGGAGAUCUUGCACAGUGAAAUAUCUCCAAAACCACGACCGCCUGCUGUCAAAUCACCUGUGCAAUCCCUUGAUUAUCGUGCGAACAGUUACCAUAUCCAUCUGAACACCCUCGGAUUUUACGGAUGCGGCAAAGAGAUAAAUCAGAUUUGCCCCUGCCCGUUUUGUCCCAUAAAUACUUCCUUCUCGGGUACUCCUUCUCCAUCCUGUCAUUCUACAGCCCAAAACUUUCACGGCGGCAGCACCACCCGAGGUUUCCAAGAUCUCCGACGAAGGCCCUUCUCCACCAACCCCAAAGUCUUUGAUCAUCUUCCUUGCGAGGAAAUGGCCAUCAACUUUGAUGUUCCUGAGGUCAGUUCACCACCCCGUCUUUUGUACUUUUACCAUAUCCCUGCUCAUCCACAAUUCAUCUUACUGAACAUUCCUCUCCCCUUUUUUUGUUCUUCUUUUUAUCCUUAAAAACUUCUAGGAUUUGUCCAAUAAGAUUGUCAUCCCUACCGAUCAACCACACCUCCAAUGUCUCAGCCCGCAAGGGAACCUAGAUCCCACUGAUCUGAUAAAUGCAGAGACAAACAGAAUUCCUUUUAUAGCCGAAAAUUUUUCUCUAGAUCUAUGGAAAGAUGCCUUCCGUUCCUGGUCCAGUCCUACCAAGGAAUGGAAGGAUUGGUUCUUGAGAGUCAGCCAUUCCAAUGAAGUUCAAUGGGGCGAGUGAAAAUUGGACCAGUGCAUUAGGCUGCCUCUUGCCGAUAUGGAUAGGAAUGAAUCACUGUUGAUUGCUGCAUCAUAUUUCUGGUCAGACACACUUAAUGCUUUUGUUUUCGGUCAUGGCCCUGCUUCUCCCACUCUUGCCGAUGUGCUUAUGCUCACUAGCUUAGACGUAUCCACUGCCGAUAGUAGUCACAUAUUUGACACCAAACCUAGCGCUAAGGUGGAAACUCGCUCUAUCGGCGGUUGGUCUGGGUACAUUCAGAAGUACCGUAGAACAGGGCCUGUCAACAUAAAGGAACAGACCACCUUCCUGGACAUGUUGGACAAAUUUGUAUUCUGCGGUCGAUCGGUAGGACCAACCUCUGUUUACCUAUCGGCAGCAGAGAGAUUAGCUAAUGGUGGCCGAUUUCCCCUCGGUCGAUACCUGCUUGGCUCUGCCUAUCAUCUUCUCCACCAAGUAGCCAAGAAACUUCUGCUCGGCCAACCCAUCGGCAACUUAGGGGGCCCUUGGUGGUUCAUCAACAUGUGGCUUAGCCUCCAUAUGCACAAGCGACUGGAAUUCGACCUCUUUGCACAGCAUUUCCCCAGGGAUAUAGCAGAGAAUCAUGAGUUAGAUGAAGAAGAAUUGGCAACCCGUCCUCCCUUAAACUAUGGUGAAGCCGUCAUAGCCUUGCCUGGUACUAGAGGCAAUGGAGAUCAAGUCAACCGAUUCUUUCAGACUCUUUAUGAGGGUCUCACCAAAGAACAGCGAGCCUGGAUGCCUUAUGAAGAUCCAGACACCAGAUUUCCUCUAACCUUUCACCCCUUCGACGAUGCUCUCAAUAAAGAUCAUGAUGUGAUGAUGGCACCUAUCACUCCAAGAGCUAUACGGGUAAACUUCUUUGGCAGUGGGAAAGCCUCCAACCAGACCUAUGAAUUCUACAACCCAUCGGCACUAGCCCGUCAACUAGCUUUCGGUCAGCUGCCGAUUACACUUUGUUAUGCCGAUGUGAUAAAACCCAGGAAAACCAUCACUAGUCUUCUCGAGUGGACUAGAAUAGCUCAACUGCCACCAAAUGCCAGUACAGAUGCUGAUUUAUCAGAUUGGAUCCCGGCCCUCUUCAUCACUCAGGCAUACAAACAAUGGUGGGAAGAAUGGAAAGAGCACCUGUUCUGCAGAUUGGCUCUUACAUACCGUGGCAUGAUUGACCCUCAAUACGAAGUCCCUGAUAACAAUGUAAGUACUUUUAAACCGAUGUUUCAAUCAUUCCACUUUUACUUCCAUCGGUAACUCACUUUCUAUGUUAUAUUAUAGGUUGAUUACACCCCCAUCGGUCAGCAGGAGUGGUAAGCCGAUUGAGCUCCUUCCAUCGGGUCCGAUUUCUUUCAUUGGCAACAACUCUCCAUCCCUGGCUGCUACAAUGCAUCGGGGUGUACGUCUCAAGAAAGUCACCACCAAGCGGACGAAGGCAUCUGUUGGGUAUUUUAAACGCAAACAGAAAAAUCCGCAAGCGCACGGAUACCGAUGUAGCUUUCACCCGGGAGUAUUCCAGAGUAUCGAUUUUCCAUAGAGAACGUGAGUGUACUAAUUAAGAUCCAAGAUCGCCCAAGGAUAACUAUAUAAUUAUUUUUGGUGGGAAGAGAGGAAGUUUCCUGAGAGUUCUCUAGUUGAUCUAAGAAUCAAGAAUUACUUCAAGAUUAUCUAUAUCGGGACAUCAGAGCACUAACCACAGAAAGAGAUGAGAAGGGGGCUAGGAAGGUCUGACUACGGUCCUACAAACACCGAUCCAAACGUGGUGGAAUACGUCGACCGUUAGGGCUGUCACUACCCUAGGGCUACCACAACAAUCCGUAGGAUUGGGUGCAAUUCCAGGUAAUCGCAAGACUAAACACCACGUCUAAUCUAUUAAUUACUACUCUAGCGUUAUAAAGACUAGAGCACUUGAUGCAAGCGGGAAUCCAAUAAAUAACUUGAAUGUAAAUAAAAGUAAUUAGAGAACUCAGGAGUUAUGAAUUGAAGAACCUGGAGAACGAUGAAGAACGAACCAGUUGCUGCAAAAGUACAAUGUUGAGGAAGAUCCGACAGAUCCGGCUCCUCCUCCGCUCUCCUCUUCUCUCUCCCUAUUUUCUAGAUUACAACUAGAACUAACUAGAACUAGAACUAGAACUAGAAGAACUAGAACUAGAACUAGAUGAACUAGAACUAGAUCUAGAUGAACUAGAGGUAGAACUAGAAGAACUAGAGGGAUCCUCUUUACUUGGAUGAAGAAUUGAAACCCUAACUUUGAUUCUGUAGAAGAGGUAUGAUCUCCAGAGGCCAGGGGGGUCUGGUUUUAUAGUCCCUUCAAGUGAAUCUGGGCCGUCGGAUCAAACCGACAUUGAUCGCACGGUUUUCCUUGAACCUUUAGGUCGGUGGAGCAUAAUACGCGAAACGGGUCCGAAUUGGACACUGUAGCUGGGCGGGCGCCCAGGAGAGUUGGGCGGGCGCCCUGCCUCCGAGCCCGAUCGGCCUCCCGUUCGUUCCCGUGGCUUCUAGAGUCUUCUAGAUGGUAGAAAAUUGCGUGGCACAUUAAUAUCUCUAUGUAAACCCGACGUGUGGGCCUUUCUUCCGUAUUUCCUGAUAACCCCCUGCAGAAAUAGACAAACACCAAAACUUGUGGAAUUCUGUCAGAUAAAACCCUAAGUCUAGGUGUUGGUUGCAUUUGGAUCCUUUCCUAUGAUUAAUUGAUGGUUAAAUAUGUGCAUUAAGGACCGUCAACAAGCUCCCCCAAGCUUAACCUUUGCUCGUCCCUGAGCAAAGAUGAACUCAAGAGUUUCUGCAGUGGUUUCAUGCCUUAAAGGUACACAUGAGUUCAAACAAGAUCUCAUCUCUGAGUUAGGGUAAACUGUUAAGAAUUAAACUUACUCAUUUUACCUUCACCAUGGGGCUUGCAACCGUCACUUCUGUCUUGAGUAGUUAGAAAAUAGAACAGUCUAGUCAAGUGCCAUGUCUCUUAUUCUUGAUCAGCUAUAGCUCUGGGGUUUUUGCAGAUUUUCAAAUAAAACUCAGAGAUUCCUUGUAUGACUCUCUCUAGUCUCUCUUUUGAGGUAUUUCUGGAUCCUUACCAAGGCAGUAAUGGUAUAUUCUUUCUCUCAAAGUAUGUGGUAUUUGUAGUAUAAGGCAUAGUGACAUUGCCUUCUCUCUCACCCUACUCUAAUAAGGCUUUGAUAUCUGGAGCUCAUAGGUGGGAGACAACUAAUACAUACUUACAAGACAUUUAUUGCAUAGUCAAACCAUGGAUCCAGAAGAACAAGUCAAUAAGUCAAAUCAAGAUGUGCAUGUCUGGCGAAGGAAUAGUAUAUGGUGAUGAUGGUGAUAACAAUGGUGAAAGUCUAAUUCUACUUGUGCUCUUUUGAGGGGAUACAUACCUUUCUUGCUCUUUUGAAACUUUCAGGGAGAAUGAGAUGCUCUGUAUUUUCUUUUUCUUUCUUUUUAUUUUUUUUUUCUUUUCUCUCAGGUGGGUAUCUUGUACCCCUAAUUCUACUGUCGGACACUUGUCCAUUUUUACCUCUCGUCUCACUUUUUCUUCUUUUUUUUUCUUUCGAGGUUCUGGGCACUUGCCCCUUUUUAUUUCCUCGUAUUCUUCUUUUUUUUCUCUUUUUUUUCUUUAGAGCACUCAUUUCAUGAGAUAAUAUAGCAAGUGGUAGUAACAAGAUAACUUGAGCAUUUAUUUCACAGGGAAAAAAUAGAAAUAUUUUUGGCUAUUCUCUCCCGGAUUAGGAGUAGAAUAUUUUUGGGUGGUUCUGGAGAUGGAAAUGGGUAUAUGUGGAUGGUACUUCCAGAGUAGAAGUAGCAUGUAUGAGUGAACGUGCAAGUGAAUCUUGACUUAACCACAUGACAAGCUCCUAAGGGUCUACACAGCUUGACCACACUCAAUGCUCAUAAGCAGUAAAAAGUAAAUGUGUGGCUCAAAGUCUAGCAAGCAUGUAUAUAUGGCUGUGGUAGGAAUUUAAACUCUCAUCAUACAGGAACUCAUCAUGUGAUAUUUUAAAGAUUUUCAAAGAUAAAAUUCUCCAGAAUUAUAGCAUCUCUAGGAACAGAUAAACAGCAGCUCAACCUUCCCAUAUCAUAUCCGUUAACGACUUAGACUUCAGAUCAAGUACUCUUCCCACAAGUUCAGGUUUAGAGCAAAUCUUAAUUAAUAACAGUGAUGCCUAAACUUGAGAGAGAUUUCAAUUUUGAGAACUAGUCAUGGCAGAGCAACUAUUCAUCUUUCCAUGUGAGAGCUUAUCAUGAGGGUUCAUAGCAAAUUUUUAUUUAUUUAUUUAUUUAGCAAACUAAGCAAAGAUAUAAGCACAAAAUCUUUAUUUGGGUUUUUAUGAUUAUGCAUCUUUUUAUUAUUUGAGUAAAAUAUAAACGUGAGUAGAAUACUUAGCUAGAUAAAUGGAGGUGCUCUCCCCCAAGCUGGAUUUUGACGUAAUUCCUUUUGAUGUAGCAGGUGGCUGAUGUGUAUUUGAAUGUCGGCACCACCCUGACAUUGAUUAGGAUGUCCUCCGUCUACUAGUCUUCUUUGAUCCUUUAAUUCUGUGGAGCUCAAAUAGACAACAAAGCUUUGUGGAACUAGUUAAGUGUUAGCAUAAAUAUCUAGCCUUUAUCAUGUUGAGCCUCCUCAAUAAAUGUUACUCUCUUUAGUAGGAUCAUAAAUUUAUUUUUAUAUUUUCAUUUUUAUAGGACAGGAAUAUAUAUAUUUAUUUUUACGCCACCACAGUGAAUGUACUUAUGGGUUUUAUGCCAUGAGCAUACUCACAUGGGGCUUACUAUUUUUAACAUUUUUAUUUUCUUUUCAAGAUAGCAUGAACCUGAUUAACUGAGCAAACUAUUUUAAAUAAUUGAAAGAAAAAAGAUAACUACCAAGUUUACCUCUUGGCAAGGCGUUUGGUGUUUUUAAGUCCUCCGAACGGGACUCUCCAUAUUCUCAGUCGUCCUGGGAUUCGCUGGGUGGCGUAGUCGGUGGUUCCGGCGGCACUUCUUCUUCAUGUAUAACUAUCUUCUCUCUCCACACCUGACUUGGUGCCACGGUUUCCUCCGGAUAGUUCUGUUCAAGUUGUAUGUCUUCAGACUUUACAACUUCUCCUUCAUAGUCUACCCAUCCGUCCUUGAUGAUUUGCCUCCUCUGGUUGCGGUUGCGUCGUCGUCUUCUUGUCCUCACCUGCUUAGAGUCUUCAACUAUAUAGUUAGGGUCAGUAAAACAGCGGCGUACCUUCUCAGAGAGGAAAUGCAUGUGGACUUCUCUGGUUCCAAUGUAUAUGAUUGCUUUAAUGGUGCUAAAGAACGGUCUUCCAAGGAUGAUGGGUGGAUCGUACUCGUCUUCUCCUAUGUCAAUAACUUUCAAUCUUUCAGAAUGUCUGAUCUGCCAUCUGAAGCUGAAUGUAUGUCAGUUUUAGGGGCAUGGUUCCGAAUAGGAGCUGAUAGGUGACUGACGGCCAUUAUGUCGACGCCUGACCCGGUGUCGCAAAGCAUCUUCUAGAAGUUGUAUCCAUCAAUGGAGCACUGGAUGCUUGGCAUACUUGGGUCAUCCUUUUUGGUUAGGAACGGUGACUUAAGUCGACGAUCUUGACCUCCUUAAACUGCAGUGACCAUCUUUGCUGACUUGGUCCACAUUUGCUUGUUCAUGUUCCUCCUGUUGGUCCUCUUCCUUGUUUCAUGUCGGGAUUGCUCUGAGAUUUGUGUAGUCUUGUUCUUGAAGGAAAAUGUCUCCUUCCUCCCUUUGAUGUAGGAACUGAUCUUGGCAGCACUAGCGUGGAUGACUGCUCCUGAGGUGUUCAGGAAUGACCUCCCUAGAAUGAUGGGUGCCCUCUCAUCAGUAUCAGUCUCUAUCACCAUGAAGUUUGCUGGGGCAUACAAGGUACCAACUCGGACGUAGAGGUUCUUCACUUCCCCACAUCAACCAACGUGGCCGAGUAUGAGGCAUGCCUGCACGUCAUACAACCAGCCGUAGAGUUGGGAAUCAAACGUCUCUACGUCUAAGGCGACUCAGCUCUGGUCGUCAACCAGCUCAACAAAGAUUGGGAUACUACGCAAAACAGAUGGAUUUAUACUGCAAGG
rnacentral:lncRNA from 1 species